AAGCACAAUGCCUGUCCAAUUUGAUUUUUGAAGAAAAGGGGAAAAAGGGGGGAAAUGAUACUUAGAAGCCAUACCAAAAUGCAGCUGCCAAAUCAAAAUUUUAGUUCAGAAAUUGUUUUGAAUGUGAAUAGAAGCAUAAAGUUUUUCAUAAUUUCAAAAAUAUAAUUCAGAAAUCCAAACUGUGAUGGCAAUAUAGUUCAAGAAUUGUUUUAAAUUGAAUAGAAACAUAAAGCUUUUAUAGAAUUUCAAAUAUAUAAUUCAGACAUCUGAUUUGAGAUGGUGAAAAAUUCUAUAUUAUAGGGCCAUAAUGUAUGUACCAGCAAAGCUGACAAAGUAGAUUUGCCACACCCACUUGUGCCGCACAAAAGAACUGUUACAGAUUCCUUUCUUUCACGAAUUCUACAAAAGAGAGGGAGGGGGAAAGAAGUGAGUAUUAGGGAUCACAUUGAAGUAAUUCAAAAGCAAUAGGUUGAAGAACCAAAAAAACCUUUGUUAAGCUUAAAAUUUUGACUGGCUUUAUACAUAAGUUAAUGAGAAGCAUGCAACAUGGUACAUUGGGCAUCAUUUCAUACGGGUGUCAAUAUCGAUGCCUUUCAUGAAAUUUUAAUCUUGAAACAGGUUUAUAGGGCAUCCAUUCAGAACUUUCCAGCAAAACGCUUUGACUUUAGUCAAACUCCUUCACACAAAGCAAAGUUAUGUUAAAGAAGGUAUUAAUGUGAAUUCAACAUGACUACAAGUAAAAUCUUUAUCCAUCCAAAAAUUUCAAUAUCGGUGGCAAGAACAGUGAGAGUCAGAAUGACUCACACUUGAUGUGCACGUGCCCAACUAUACAGUAGAACUUUAAGCAAUCAACUGUGUCAACUGUAACAUGAAUGUUAAAAAUUGAGAACCAAACAUUGUUGCUGCAGAAGGCACUAGCCAAAAUGUGUGCUAUCUAUAUGUGCUGGUCAAAACAUAGAACAACUUUAAGCAAGAAAGCUGCAACAAGAUCUAAUGCUCUUAUACUAAAUAUGACCUCUGGCAACAUCUACUAAUUCAGAACUUAAUUUGAAAGCCAUAUCUUGACCCGGAUGCAUUCGGUAUGCCCUAAUAACUAACAAGUGAUUUUCCUUGUGUAGAUCCUAUUACUCAUCCAUGCAAGCUGUUUUAGAAAAAGUAACUGUAUAUAAUGAAUCUUCCAUUGAAAAAUGAUUGGUCAAAAGAAAAAGGAAAAAUGACUGAGCAAUCAACCUAUAUAUCAAGCUGUUUUAACUUUUAACCAUAUAAAAACUUCUAGCACGGAUUUAUCUAUCCAAGAAUUGUUGAUUUAUACUCUCUUUUUUUCAUUCUUUUUUCCUUAUUCCCUUUUUUUUAAGGCUCAUUAUUCCAUAUUGUGAACCUUCAUCCCUGUUGAAUUAAACUUGAGUUCCAACCCCACAAGUGCACCUCCAACAGGCAUCAAUAAUAUGAUAAGACUUGAGGAUAUAAAAGCCAAUUAGGGGAAGGAAGAAAUUGAUAAUUCCGUUUAUUGUCAGGAACUCCCCUUGACUUUGAAGAAAAUGCCAGGUAGCUUAUCCUUACAUGUGUCGUUUUUCUCUUUUUUACCGUUAUGCUAAUCAACCACCAAAUGGAUCCAAGGCUGCCGUAAGUGGCUGCCUACACCUAGGAGGUCCAGCCUAGUUACUAGGACAACCUAACCACCCAAGUGCUUGGCAUUUUUUAGGUGACACAGUCACCCAAGCACCUAGGCUAGUGCUUAAAUCGGUUUAGGUUAGUGCAUAGAUGGGUUUCUAGCCAUCUAUGGGCCACCUUUCCCGAGAAAGCACCUCGCUCAUUGAUUUCUUAAAGGCAUUACUCUUUGAGUAAAACGGAUUUUGCUUCAAGAGAUAAAGAAGCUGGGUCUGUUUACAACAUGUCCCCUAAGAUACUAAUUGAAGCUUGAAGGUUACAUUCCAAGAAGCUUUACAUUUACUGGAAAAAUUAUUACAUAAUUCAAAGAUGUCAUUAUUUGGCAAUUACAUUUAUGGCAUUCUUUGAUGCGCCUUUUGUAAACUAUAUAUAACACUGUAACAAAAACAUACAAUUUUAUAGAUUUUUUAAUAUUACUUUUACUUGGAUGCCCACCUAGGGGUGGAGCAUGGAUUUCAACCUAGGGGGCCCAUAGGAAUGCAUUAUUCAAAUAAUAUAAGUUUACAUGUAAAGAAGUUAUUUUUAAUUAUAAAAAAAUGGCAUAAUAUAUUAAGGAUGUCCAAACAUCUAUAGAAGGACUGCACUUAAUUUUUUGGUACGAAUUAUUUAUCACAUAAAAUAAAUUAUAUUAAAUCACUAUAUAUUUUUAUUUUCAUUAUUUAUUUUGAAAUCUCAAGAGACUCUAUAUUCAGUUUCCACCAACAAAAGGAAAGAAAUUGAAGUGAAUUAAAAAUAGAAUUAAGGGGUGGCUAGACCAUGUCAAUUAAGUAGUAAUUUUUCCUUUAUUUUCUCUUUUUCUAAUUUAUGACCUUAAUGCUUAUACCAAGCCACUAUGACCUACCAUGAAGAAGCAUGUAUUAUGUCAAAAGGACAUACAAUACAAGGUUAGAAAAAAACUUACAACUAAAAAUACAAAAAUUAUAAAAUAUAUGAAUAUUUAAUAGAGAUUUGUUAACUUCCAUAGACAAUGGAUAUGAAAAGAAAAAUUAACAAAGAAAUUUUUUGAACAGAAAAAGGACCAACAAAAAGAGAAAUCUAAAAAAAUGAUAAAAAUGAAAUUUUUCAAAAGCAAAAGCUAAAGGUAAAUGCAAGUCCAAAAAAUAAGCUUAGUGAAAUGGUGGAUCUUUGCACUGUUUUAGAAAAAACUAUAGGUGUUUAAGGCACAUUCCUAAUUAAUUGUUGAUGCUCCAAAUUAAAGGACAAUUUACAUCUUUCACUAAUCGGGAAGGUAAAGAAAGGCUUUUUUGUGGAAAGAUAGGUGAAUCAUUUUUUUUUGGGAGGGGAGGUGGGGGGAGAGAACUUGUCCCAUUUCUCCAUUACUUUCCAUUUUCUCCAAAAUCCUUAAAUAGUGCCCAUCCUUAACACCAUGCUUCCCUCAGUUCACAAAAAAAAAUAAAGAAAGGGGAAAAAAACUACCAUACUGCCCUUUCUUUUCCUUGAUAUAGCCCACAUUGCUUACCCCUCAUGUCUACCUUCUCUCUCUCUCNNNNNNNNNNNNNNNNNNNNUCUCUCUCUCUCUCUCUCUCUCUCUCUCUCUCUCUCUCAGAGGCUUCCCGUCACCUACAAAUUUGGUAAGAGGGGCCUUGUAUAAAACAAGAGAAAAAAAUCAGGGUUGCUAUGGGAACCGUGCAUGAUGCAAACAGAAAAUCAUAGAGGCCCAUACAUGUGAACUAUUGUAAUUUUUUGAAGUCAGGGGUGGGGGUUGGGCAUUGCCCCUCCUAGCCCAUGUGUAGCUGCACCUAUGCACCAUGUAGCCAAACCUAUAUAUUUAACAGCAUCAAUGCCUAAGAUUGCCUAGGCGAUUUGACAACCUUUAGCUAGAUUCGGAUUGGAAUAUAUUAUAUGAUCAUAUUACUACUUGUAUUAGCAUGUGUACAGUCCUCUUUAGAUUUAUGUAGGACAGCAGCAGUAUGAAGAUUUCUUACUCCCAUUGUUAUUCUUGGAAGGUUAAGGAAGCUCAACAAUGAAUGGAGAUAAUAAAAUCAAAUGAGACAUACACAAGAUGAGCAAUUUCUAGAUAAAGUACUUCUACACCAGUAUACAAGAAGAUGAGCAAUAAUUUGUGUGUGUGUGUGUGAGUGAGUGAGAGAGCGAGAGAGAGAUGCUAUGGCUGCCAAAAGAAAAAUCUUAACAUAUAUCUAACUACAAUAAUGUGGCAAAUAAUAGUGGAUACUAAUUUAAUUAAUUGCAUGAUAUAUAAACAGAAGUAGAAAGCCUAUCCUAUUUUUCAGAAUUCAAUAGUCAGCUUUACAACAAGAUGCAAAAAUAGCAAACAAAAUGGAGCAUAUAUUGGUAACUAAGGAGAUGUUAUCAACACUUAGAAAAGUAGUUUUGGAUCAACAAUUUGUUGAAUUCCAAUAUUUAUGGGAAUUUUCUUUCCUAUUCCUAGAAUAGAAGUAAACAUCAUAGAUUUUUAACAUUCAACCAGAAACAUUAGAAAUAUCAUGGUGCUUGAUCUAAUACUGAUUUGUUGAAAAAAGACUUCAUGCAUCAGGGGCACAUAAUAAUUGUCUGGUUACUGUUCAACCAUAAGGGUAAAUUAGCCCAUCUUUGAGAAAAUAUACAAUGACUAAGUAAACAAUAACAAGGAGUCUGCAUGCUGUAUAUGAAUUAUUAUGUAAUUAAACAACAAGUAAUGAUGUGAGAUAUAGUUAAACAAUUCGAACUUAUAGCUCUGAUGAUCCAAAACAUCUCAGUCUAAUCCAUUAGCAUUCUUACUCAGGAAAAUCAAGUAAGGCAAUAGCAUCCCGACGAGAGAUAGAGAUGUCAUCUUACCUGCAUGCUAGGAGCAAGUCAGCUCGUUGAUUGGGACCAACGUACUUAUACAUGGAUAGAGCAUCACAAACGACGUCUAAAAAGUUCUCUCGUGUAACAACAACAGUUGUUAAUCUUUUAUACAAUUCAAACAGUAUUGUGCUACUUGUAUCUAUACCCUCUCGAGUCAAGUGGCUGCUGACCUCCUCCUGACUCAAGCAACCAGCCUGGCAAUGUUCAUUUUUUUUGCAUCCAUUUCCUUUACUAGAUGGCCUUUCGCAAGCAUCACUUUUCGAUAUGUUUUCACUUCUCAUCACUUCAAAUACUCUUCGGCUAAUCUGACAAGAAAAUGAGAUGAAUUUUAGAUGCCAAGAUAUUAACAAUUAACAACGGAAAGGGAUCCAUAUAUUAAAAUAAAUAACAAUUUUCAGUAUUCUUUUCAAUCUCAUUGGGGGCUUUAUAACAGACUACUAUAAUUCCUUUAAUCUAACUAGUUCAAGCAUUUUGUUAAAUUGAAAAUAUUUGAUCAUGCAUGCAGUAACCACAACAAGGGAAGAAUAAGAAAUUGCUGCCUAAUUUGUCACAGAGACCGCCAACCUAACACAAAUAUCUGAAUCAACAAGCACAAGCAUGGAGAUCGCCAGUUAAAUCCUUUUUUGUUCUUCAAAAGGAAAAAAAAAAGAAGGAAAGAAAGAAACAUAGGGAAUAUUGCAAGACAAAACAAAACUGAAAGCAACCACCGGAUCUUGAGAGGUAAACCUUGAAGGCGUGGCGAGCCUUGCAUCCCAUGAGCUGGAGCGUACUCUGCAGCACCGGCCGCGUGUACCGGAACGGCGAGCCCUCUCUCUCGUCCCCUCUCCUUGUCGUUCCUUCGUCCACCACCACAAUGUACAGCAGCUUGGGCAACUCCGACAUCUCCAAAAAUCCCUACAAAUCCCCCACCACAAAACCCACCCAGAAAUCCAUCAAGAAACCCAAAUAAAAAACCCAAGGAAACAAUCAAAACAAUCAAGAACUCCCCCGCAUUCCAGAUCCCAACCAAGAAUCACAUCCGAAACCAAAACCGACGGGAAGAAUACUAAAGUAACAGAGCAAUGCCGCGGUACAGAUGCCGGAUCGAGACGAAAGAACAAACAAGAGAUCGGAGGACUAACCUUUAAGGAUUGGAAGGGGGAACGGGGGGACCAAGGGUUAGGAUUUCUUUAAGAGAGGGGCCUCCAUCCGCCACAACCAGAGCUUCCAACACGACCUCUCCAUUCUUCUUCGGUUUGUCUUCCACGCCUCGCCGCGAACGCCCCUCUCUCCUCCUCCUUUCUCAAGAUACGCGGUCGCGUCCUACUCGGAUCUCCUCCUACAAGAGCCCUACUAAUCUCAACUUCCAAUACCGUUGCAUGAUAGCCACGUUUCACAUCGCCGACAUACUCGAGUAUCAGUCGUCGGAUGGGACGCGUGGCGGGCGAAUGAGAGGUCGGAGAAUGGUUCUAGAAGGGACUGUAGAUUUCGUUGAACGCCGGGGGCUAUCAUGACAAGGUUCAGUUUGGUCCGCUGUUCCUGCGGGAAAAGAUUAAAAUAAAUAAGAGGAAGUUUUGAUCGGGACCCGACUAUGGGACGCCGGCGCACGUGUAAGGAGAUCUCCGGGCCCCGCUGGCAAUGCGACAAAGUGUGGUUCCCACGUGGUAGCUAUAUGUUUCAAGAGGGGGUCCACUUGUCAAGCACCCAUGUCGCGGCUGCAUUCUCGGUGCACGUCUUCCAUGUUUCUAAUUUGUUUUGAUUGAGAGAAGACAAAUUGUGAUGAAUACUUCACGUUGUUCUUUUGAUAGGCACGUUCGCAUCACGUGAUUUAUUCAAUAGAGCACAUAAUUUUCAUCCAUUAAAGUUACGUUAUGGACAGGGAUUAUAUUUUUUUAAUGUUGUUGUUUAUAGAGAGUAAUAUGCCAGAGAUGACAUCAAAAGUGCCUGCUUAAGGAUAUGAGAAAAGUUGGAAAAUUUGUCUACAACUCAACAUAAUUGUGAGAUGGGUAAACUUUUUUUGUUCUUUGAGAAUACAAUAAAUUUGAGAUUCAUGAGAAAAAAAAUAGUUACUAGUUAGAUUUGUCUGGUUAUGAUAGUCCUGUCAAAGUCUGAGAUCUACCUGUAUAGCAAUUAAAAUGCCAAAAUAAAAUUUUGGAUUAUCAUGAUUAAGAACUAAAUACUAUGGUUCUUAGUCAAUUAUAUAUUUAGUUUUUUUUCGAAAAUACAGUUGAAACGCAUUAUGCCAAAUUAGACUAAUGAGCCUCUUCGAUUAUCUUGAAACUAUGGAGAAGUCACUUAAUAUGAUGAGUCAAACCUAAGGAGGAGUUACUAAAAUGUUUAUGGAAGUAACUAGAAAGACAAAGCUAGUCACAAAAAGUGUAUUCAAGGUUUACCCAUACUAGGUCCAAGGAUAUAUAGAAUUGAACACUAACUUAUGUCAACAAUUAUUAAAAGCCAAUCACAAGGAUGCUCACAGAGAAGACCAUAUGUUUUGUUUUGAUGAUUAUAGACAUUUGUGCUUGCCACAUCCAUUACCAAUCUAUAUUUUUUAUAGCUUGUGGUGCACGUGUUGAAACUAUCUCCCAUCUCUUUCUUAAGUCCCCUAUUUCAAGAAUCCUGUGGUCCUCUUAUGACAUGAUGUCUCAAGUCAGAUGGGUGGCCACCUCGUAUCCAUGCCCUUUGGACGUUUUGGAGAGCCAAUACAUUAUAGUUGGUGAUGAGGAGGGGUUGGGACCAACUUUUAAUAGCUUUUGACAAUUGGUACGAGAGAAACUCAAGAUUCUUUCUUAUAAGACACUCUUUCCUUAUUCUUAGAAAACUCUCCACGCUUUCAACUCGUGGAAGAAUCUAAGCACGGGAAAAUAUCUGCAUAGCCAUAAGAUGCUUACAAAUCUUGUGUCUCACCAUCUCCAUUGAUGUAAAAACCUCCUUGAGACUACCACGGUAACUCUCCUUCCUCCUUGUAAUUACCAUUUUGUAAAUAAUUUUUCACUUUUAGUAAAGUUGGGGGAAGUGCCUUACUUCCUCCAAAAUUUCUCACAAAGAAGAAGAAGAAGAAGAAGAAGAAAUGAAUGAGAUCCACACACAUAUUUAAACCUUAGUUAAGGUCAACAACUGUUAGCACAGUUUGUUGGCCUGUCACUCUUCAAGGCUAGGCCUUCAGAGUCCAAAGGUUCAAAUCGUGGAUGUUACUCAAAACUUCAGACCCAUGGAAGGAAUAAUUCUAUGUACUCAAAACUUCAGACCCAUGGAAGGAAUAAUUCUAUGGACAUCAAAAAUAUGAUGUCGGGCAUUUAAACUUUGGGAAUAAUUCGAGGUCCAGGUUGACAGCUUCCCAAAGUGGAAUAUGAAUGCUUGUGAUGGCCUCCAUUUAAACUUCAGACCAUUCUCUCAUGGAAAGAACUGCUAUAGUUAUCUUACCGUGGUGCUAUACGGAUUUCUCCCACCUGGAGCAGCAUGGAAAUCAUGUAGCCUUUGAUCAGCAAAGAGAUGUUAAUUACCACUCUUUCUCCAAUGUGCCUCUUGUUGGGUGUUCUGUUGCAAGGUGCCAAUUAAGCACUCUUCGCGCAAUUGUGUUCUUGCCAUCCAUCCCAAUCUCCAUUAGUGCCUUAUUGUCUUUCGAAGACUGUUCUAUAUUACUGGCUUUUUGGCACUGAUAAAACUAAAACAUGAACAUAUAAUUGCAAUAAAUGAUAACACUAAGGCCUUGAUUAUCCCAUUACAAGUUUCCAAUGUGCUGCAUCUCAGAAAUAGCAAAGGUCAAAGGCUCAGCUCCUAGCCAAAUUAUCACCAACACACUAACACAGUCCGGCGCAAAUAGUAUAUAAACCGGUAAUGGAAUAAAGAGUUAAAACAUAUUCUGAUCAAGGAAGGAAAGAAAAGCGAAAAAAAAGAAAGCAUGAAGAGAUUUGCCAUAUGCAAAACAACCAUUCAGCCAAUUCUUAUAUGAAUAUGAAAGACAUUACCUCGUGUGAUGACAUUAUGCAAAUCAAGCUUGCUAUUAACUUGGAAUAUGGAAGACAUUACAGUGCUUGUACCGAAAAAACCUCAUUAUGGUGAAACAAUUACCGCAUGCCUGCAUUCGUACGAUCAUAUCAAGUGUUGACUUCAUUAAGCAUCUCAAAAAAACUAACGAGAAUAUGAAAACACAAUGAAAAGUCCACUUAAAGGUAAAUCCGAUAAUGCUACUUCAAACGACACUCCCAUUCAUCUGUGACUUCCCCUAACCUUGUACUCGACAGACAAAAGCAGCCAAUGUGAUCUCAUAUGGUAAGGCCCUGGGGUUGUGCAGCGGGGCGAGCCUUUGGCUUGGGCUUCUCCACCACAAUGGCCUGUGUUGUUAGCACCAUUCCAGCCACGGAGGCAGCAUUCUGUAGCGCACAUCUGGCCACCUUUGCAGGGUCAAUGACUCCAGCUUCUACGAGAUUCUCAAACUCGUCAGUCAUUGCAUUGUAACCAACCUCCCACUUGCUGUCCUUGAUCUUCUCCACCACCACUUCCCCCUCCACUCCUGCAUUAUGAGCUAUCAAAGCUGCAGGUGCUAGCAGUGCCUGCUCAAUACCAUUUAAAAGGCAAAGUGAUUCAAUAAGCUACUCCAGUAACAAGUCCAAUGCAUAUCGUUUGUAACACAAUUCAUCCAGAUGCAAAGGCAAAGUCAUCUAUAAAUACAUUACAAACUGAUGAAUAAUAAGAUGAAUCAGAUAACUUACUUUCUGCACAAUGUCAGCACCCAGGCGCUCAUCUGGGUCUUCCAACUUGUUCUUGAUGGCAGGAACACUAGCGGACAGGUGAACAAAGGCAGCACCACCACCAGGAACAAUCCCUUCCUCUAUAGCUGCAAAAGUAGCGUUCUUGGCAUCUUCAAUCCGGAGCUUGCGGUCCUCAAGCUCCGUCUCCGUUGCAGCACCAACUUUUAUAACAGCCACACCACCAGAUAGUUUUGCGAUUCUUUCAGCCAGCUUCUCAGAAUCAUAAACAGAGUCUGUCUGAGCAAGCUCUUUCUUUAACUGGGCAAUUCUGGCCUGGAUCUCAUCUUUGGUUGCUGCAUCUGCAAUGAUGGUUGUAGAGUUCUGAGAGAUAGUGACCUUUCUUGCAGUGCCAAGCUGCUCCACAGAUGCAUUCUCUAUCAACAAGCCAAGAUCUUGGGCCUGGAACUCAGCACCUAUACGGACAAGAUGAAACAUAUAAGGAUACUCAGAUCAGAAAAGCUAAUGGAAAGAGCAUUUUUUUGAUAGAUUUCCAUAAUAGGGACAUUCACUAAACUAGGAAUGGAUUACGAUUUGAAUCAUGAUAAGCACAGACUAACUUGAACAAGUAAAAAGUCAGUCCUGGAACGAAAAAUGGCAUUAUUCUGUACAAAAAGACAAUGAUGAUUGCAGUACUAUUGACAUCUGAGCUUCUUUAUAAAACAUUAUAAUUAAAAGGUACCACAUUUUUCUAAAGUUCAACUCAGGUCAUACGCUGCCAAACUAGCCAAUUCAUUAAAUUAUAAGAUCAUGCUUCUGUAAAUGCAUGCACGGAAUAGUCAGGUAUUCAGAAGGCACAUGUUUCACAUUCCCAUAUAUUCACUAAUGUAUCACAAACAUGCACAUGUUCAUAUGUUGAAGUACACAUGCACUGAGUCUGGUGGUUCCUCUAAACAAAAUAUGUAAAGCUCCUUGCACUGCAGGGUUAUAUAUGCAAAGAUCCAUUAUUAUUUUUCACUAAGAAUCUUUUAUCACAUAAGGAGAAGAGCUAUACUGAACUGGAACAGGUGAACCCAAGAAACCAAGUACAACAUCAAAAAGAUGAAGGGAGCAAAAAGAAAUAGAAAAUUGCUACAUGGCCAAUGUUUAAGCCAAUGACUAUGCCGACCAAUAUGAAUCGGAAAAGCUAUAAGAGAGAAAGUUAUGCCUCACCUAAGUUCAGGAGAACUAAGAUUUUGCUUUAUGUAUUCCUCACCUAUUACAUGGUUGCAAAAGGAUAAAUCUCAGUUAGUCUAAAGGAUAGAAAAGAAUUUUAAGAAUCUAUAUAUUUCACUUCGCUCAGCAGCGAGAUUGAAAGACCACAACCAUAGCCAUCAAUACUAGGUCCCAACCAUUCUGGAGUCACUUCAUAAAUCUUAAAUGGACAUAUAAGGCUUUACAGAUCCAUUCUUCAGCUUCUGUCCAUCUUUAGCCCCCUGGGCCCCCUCUACCUCUCCAUCUUUACUUUUACUUUUUUGGUGAAUACAAAGUUUCAAACCUGACGUCUAGAGAAUCACUUUCGCCAUCAACCACCUUAUAACAUGGAUCUGAGUACCCCCUAUUACUAAGGCAUCCUUAAGUUUUGUUGCAAAUGCUCAUAUCAUCAGUUCCUUCAGUAGUCAUGUUUAUAGUGCAACACAUAUGCCUCUUUUAAAAUAUCUGUUCCUCACUUUUCCCUCCUAGCAUUACCAUGCAUCCAUUUCAACAUUUUCUUUCAUGUCAAUCUUGUUAGUUGAAUACUCUACUGCAGAACAUUUUGAAUACGAAAAUGAAUUUCUUAUUGCUACCAUAUAAUUUGCUUUGUUUUAUCCUGUAUUUGUCUUGUAGCACCACAAAAGCACCUCGACACCUUAUCCACCAUCUCUACUAUUACUAUUCCUUUACAUAAUAUAAGCAAAAAUAGCUUAAAUUUAGGAUAUCAAUUAAUAUACCGAACAAACUGUGUGAAGACAAUAAUCAUAUAUCAACCAAACAAUAAGAAGUUGUCCCAACAUAUACUCCCACCAAAACAAAGUCUAAAUCAACUACCAAACAAGCUGCCAACAAAAGUUUCACUACUUUGGUUUCACUAAACAGCCAUAAAAUCAUCUUCCAAAAACUCAAAAACUCCAGUUUGAGCCACACUGAGACCUUAAACCAACUUAUGACCAACAUGAUAGCAAAACUACCUAAAACUCUUUAUCACCAAAAACUUGUAAAACUUUAAGGUCAAGUUUGGUGACCCAAAUGGGAUCUUAGAUCACCAGUAAUCCUUAUUCUAGAGUAAUCUGAUCCUCGAUGAUCUAAGAUCAUCACGUUUGGUAUACUAUGUUCCAGUGAUUAAAAAUUUCCAAAUAUCCAUGAGUAGCUUGUUUGGUAUUCCAUAAGAAUCCAAGAUCACUAACCAUAUAUUAAUUAUUAAUAUAUUCAUAAAAAUAUAUUUAUGAGUCCUAUAAAUUAUUAAUCCAAUAAAGAUAUAUUAAUUGUUAUUAUAGAAUUAAUAUUCCUAUUUAUAUUUAUAAUAUAUUAUUUUUAAUACUAAUAUUUAUUUUGAUUAGAAAAAUAAGGCAAAUAGAAGCAAUAUAUUAAAUGAUUUCAUUAUAUAAGUAUAAAGCACAAUAAUAUAUUUUUUACUAUAAUUUAAAAUAAUAUGGUUAAUAAUAUAUUAUAAUAUAAUAUACAUCAUAAAUACAAUAUAUAUAAUAUCAACAUAUUAUAAUAUAAUGAUAUAAUAUAAUAAUGGUAUAUUGAUAUAGCAAUAUUUUUUAUAUGAUUGAGAAGUAUUUUUGUUCCUAAAUUUCCGCCCAAGAUCAUUGUCCUAGGGUGAUCUUGGAUACCCGAUCUCAAGGCUAGACAUCCCAUCACUGAGUUGAGCGGUGAUUUGAUGAGUGAGAGUAAUUUGGGAUCACUGCCAUGUAGGAUUACCGUAGUACAACCAAACACGGUGAUCUCAUCACCUCCACCCACAUCAUUCUUUAUUUUGGGAUGAUCACCCCAUACCAAACGCCUCCUGAGAUUUGAAAUGGGUACACACACAUGAAGGAACCUACAUACUGCUAUAUAUGCCUUAGAAAGGACAGCUCCAUUUAACUAAAUAACUAAAAAUAUACACAAAAAGUCCUAAAACAUAUAGGAAUUUGUGAUUUGCAAUACCUUUCCAUCGUUCAUCUGAUGGACCCAAGAUAACAAAUUGAUUGAAUUACAGUAUCUCAUGACCAUCAAUUUUAAGGGUACUUAUGUCAGUCUCUAUUGUCAUUGAUUUACAUUUUUCUUAAGAAUAAACAUAACCAAAUCAUAGGAACAAUGGGCAAAUUACCAAUGUCAAAACCUGGAUAAAAACCUCCAGAGUUUAGUUCCUAAUAAAGCAUUCCUCUAUAAUUCAGAUGUAAAAUAACACCUUUUCUCUUCUUAUUGAUCAAUGGCAUGUCCUUUGUAUGAAGCAUGCAAUUUGAUCAAAUAUUAAACAAAAAUCAAGUAAAAGUGGGAAAUCAAAUCUAGUUUGACUUUACAGGUCCAUAAAGAAUUUGAUGCAUAUUCACUAGUAAAGCCAGUAAGUGAUGCAUACUGAGUUAACCAAAGACAAGAAUGACUUUUUAAGUAUAGUAUGGAACAACACUUUGAAGUUUGAACCUAAUGAAUGACUUUCACAGAUUGAUGUCAGUUCCUCAUAAGAGCAAAUUUAAAAGAUUUAAAGAUUGGAUGACAUGUGCAGUUAAGUAUAGCUGCUUCAUGCAUAAAGAAGCAAGACAUGAUUUGACCAUGAACAAUGCACAUUAUUUCUGAAAGAAACAAAGUCUUCCAAACAUACCCGUCAAAAUUGCAAUAUCUUGAAGCAUUGCCUUCCUUCUCUCACCAAAACCAGGUGCCUUGAUUGCAGCAACAUUGAGAACACCCCGAAGCUUAUUCACAACAAGGGUUGCCAAAGCUUCCCCUGUUACAUCCUCAGCAAUUAUGAGCAGCGGAGCUCUCAAUUGUGUUGUCUUCUCCAACAAAGGAAUAAUUUGCUUUAUUGUUGAAAUCUUUUGAUCAGUCACCAGAACUUUGGCAUUUUCAAAUUCCACGAUCAACUUCUCAAGGUUCGUGACAAAUUGUGGGGAAACAUAACCUCUGUCAAUCUGCAAGCAUGAUUACAACACUGCAUUAGACACGAAAAACAAACGCAUAUAGUUUCGAAAGAUUUUAAAGAUGACUCACCUCCAUUCCUUCCUGAACCUCAACACUUGUCUCAAAUGAUGACGAAGACUCAAUAGACAAAACACCAUCAGGACCAACUUUAUCAAUAGCAUCAGCAAUCAUGUUGCCCACAAACUCAUCAUUGCUAGAUGAGAUAGAGGCAAUAGCUGCAAUAACAGAUAACAUAAUUUUAGCAAAUUUUCACUUGGGAAUUAAUAAUUUUUUAUCAAAAAAAGAAAGACAUUUAUGAUUUAUUCAUCUAAUGUUCACACAAGCAUCUAAAACACACAAAGUCAGCUCAGACAUACAAAAGGACUGCCAGCACCUUUAAUAUCAGAACGUCCCUUAACAGGCCGAGCUUUCUUUUCAAGCUCCUCAACUAGCCCCUGCACAGUCUUGUCAAUUCCCUUCUUGAUAUUAACAGGAUUUGCCCCAGAAGUAACACUUAAUAAACCCAAGAAUAUGAUUUCACGAGCCAGAACUGAUGCAGUCGUGGUGCCAUCACCGGCUGUGUCAUUUGUCUUGCUUGCAACCUUCAACAAAGAUAAUGAAACAUAUAAACAUCCACCCCUAUACAAUUGCACUUUAAAAUCUAUCAAGAUUUAAUUUUCAAAGAGAAAAAAACAACUUAAAAGAUCAUGCAAUGACACCCUAAGUACCAGAAGACAGUACAAAAGAAGAAGGAUGCAAUGCAACAAAGUGUAUACCUCCCGUAUCAAGGCUGCACCUGCAUUCUCCAUGGGAUCAGCAAGCUCAAUAGCGCGAGCAAUUGUAACGCCAUCAUUAACCACCUUGGGAUUUCCAAAUUCAUCCAACACAACAUUCCUCCCUGUUUAUUACAAGCAAACAUCAACAAAGAAUCCCCAGCUAUAAACUUAUGAAUCCAAUCAUGCAAGUAAGGCAUAAAACUGUAACACCCCGGCCCAAAAAAUUCAGCCAACCUGGAUUGGACUUGGACCUAGCCAAGCCCAUAUAACCUGAGCCCCUCUUGUUUUCUUCUUGUGGGGACCCCCCAACCCCUUUCGCUCUUCUCCCUCACUCUCCUCUUAGCUUCUCUACUCGAGUGCUGCCACCUACCGCCAUCCAUCUGGUUGUUCUACCAUCAUCCACCCACCACCACUUCCAUCUCUCUUUGCAGUCUCUUCCUCGCUGCCUUAUCUUCACCUUCCUUCUAUCUUUCUCUUCUGAUCAACCCUCUUUCUCCCUUUUCCUUCUCCCAUUUUCUAUUAUUUUCCAUCUAUGUUGGGGAGAUUAUCCCUCUACUAAUUCUCUCCCUCUUUAUUGUAGUACUUCUUUCCAUCAAUCUAAUUCUAAUGUACAUCUUUCUUGUGUCAGGAGAGGUUACCGGUAUCUUGGACAACAAGAGGUCAAAUUCGAGGCCCCAUGCCUGAUGAAGGCAAACCCAAUUCUAUUGCCUUUAAUUUGAUGGACUGUGGUAGCUUUGUGCUAGAUUGAAGAAAAACCUAGGUCUAGGUUCAUGUUGCCAAUCACCUCUGGUGAGUUUCCAAUGACAUAGCUUAUACCCUUAGAAUCCUCAUGCUUUGAGGAUUCUAAUAAAACCAAUAUUAUAAUUUUUAGUGAUCUAUUUUUGAUAUUUAUGGACCCUUUUGUUUUAGAAAAAUCUAGACCUAAAGUCGACAAUAUCCAUUGGGGCCUAUCAAUAUUUCUAAUUAAAUUUUGUAAAUUUUAAAAUUGCAUUUUAUUAAUAUAAAAUUUUUAUCUUGCAUUGAAUUUUCAGAAAUUACAUGUGUUUUGAUGAGGUGCUUCCUAUUCUAGUACUCUAGAGGCUAUAUUUUGAUGUAAAAUUAUUUUUGAUUGUUAAAUAUGAGAGAGAGAUUGAAUUGAGUAGAAGGGGUCUUCUUGUUGGAUCGAACUUGUUUGGUAACUAACAUCUACCUAACUAGAGUUUUAACACCAUAUCUUUAAAAUACAUUCUUACAUUAAUUUCUUACAAGAAUGCAUUGAAAAUUAUGGAUUAUACUUCGUGGAACACUUCUUUCAAAUGAAAUACAUAUAUGCCCUCUAAAUGCUAAGAGUUUCAGACCGUGCAGGUUUGUAUCCAUGAUAAGGAAUCAGUAUUUGCAUGUGAUGUGAGCCACCACUAGCACACAUCCAUACCAGCGCUCUCUUGUUAGCACAUUCAUGCUCGUCAAAUACAGCAUGAUAUUAGUUAGCCAUUGACACGACAUCGAAAAUAAAAACUGUAACCAUUAUUCUUGAAAAAUGUUCCUUUACAUGCACACAUUUGGAUCGUGCAAGUAAAGAUUGUGACACCGGAACUCUUAAAUCUCUUCAAAAAUUAUAUGUUCAUGAUUAGGGAUUAGUAGACAUGUUUAACAGAAUACUGAAAUUAUCGAAAACUUUAAAACUUCGAAACCUUAUACCUUUGAAUGUGCUUUGGACUCUUCCUUCAAACCAUGCACAUUUGUUAACUAUUGGAAACUCUUGGAUAAAUUAUGUAUGAUUUGAAAAUUUGGUAAACUCCUUGAGCCAUUAUUAUAAUUUGGAAAGCACAAUGAAACUGAACUUGUGAAUAUUUUGGAAUCAAUUUUCUGUUUUGGACUCUCAAUUUGGUUAUGUUUUGGACCUAGCCAGUGGGAUUAUACAUUAGCACUCUGAAGUCUGAACAUUCCAAAACUUGACCAUUUUGGAUCUACUCUGUAGAGGUUAAAUGCGGUAUUUUUGACCUACCCUACAAGGAUUAAAUGCGGGAUUUUAGACCUAAUCUCCAUGGGCGAAAUAAGAUAAUUUGGGCCUUUUCACAAGGAUGAUGUGGCCAUAAUAAGUUAAAAAUUGUUUUUGCAUGGUUUAUGCAUUGCUUAUUAGAAUUGUAUGUGAGAUCUUGAUUUUAGAAAAUGUCUUGUAGGUUGCAUUUUAAAAAUACAAGUGCACUUUUGAUUGUGGAAAUCCUAUUUUUGUUAACUAAAUUCUCUUGCUCUAUGCAUCCAUAAAUUGUUAAAAGCUCCUUUUAUUGUACUUGGUUGAUCCUUCCAAUUAUGGUUUUUGUUUACUUACUGGUCCUUGAGCUCACUAAUUCUCUCACUUUUCAGAUCCCAACGCUUAAGGGUUGGCAGGUAGUGCUUGGGGAUGAGUUUAGAGCAAAACCCGAGACAGUGUGUGAACCAACAAAGUUGUUUUAGUUUUUGCUGUUGCAAACCUCCUUUUCUAAAUGUUGUCUUGUAACACUUGUUAAACUUGGAGAAUUUGAUGAAUUGUUUAGUUGGUUGGGUAGUAGGUUUGUUUUAAUGUUUAGCUUGUGACGAUGUUAAUUCAGUUACUUUGGAAUUGGCGUAUGGCCAAUUGAAGUUAUUAGAUCUCAAUAGUUUUGAAGCUUUACCGUGCUGUGUUUGUUGGAUAGUUGCUGGGAUGGGUUUAUAAUUAUGGUUAGCAGGAUUCCUUGCAUGAUCAUGGGGCCGACCUAAUGCAUGUGCAGCUAUUGCCAUGUUCCUUGGCACUUGCCGCUAGGUCGAGAGGGUGACAAAAACAACGCAACCAAAAGUGCGAGAAAUAAAUUUGGAGAAAAUCCAAUAUGUAAAUGCCAUCUCCUUCGCAAUCCAAUAAGAAAAUCAUCAUCUAAUAUAAUGAUGAUAGCAGAAGCGCGAGACAUGGCAUAGCAGAAUGAAGAUAAUAGAAGAUUGAUCUUUUUCCCGAAGCAAAAUACAGAUCAUGGAAUACCUCUAGGGCCAAGAGUGACUCCGACGGCAUUGGCAAGUUUCUCGACGCCGCACUGGAGGGAAGACCUCGAGGCCUGGUCGAAAGCGAUCUCCUUGGCCUUGGCGCGCACCACCAGCUGCCUCGGCCUCUGCCCCUGGCUCGCCCUCCUUCUCAAGCCCUCCCGCUGCAUACCAGAACGCAAAACAAUAAUAUUUGAAGAACGGAAAAGAAAAAAACCAUGAGAUAUAAACAAGAGAAGGAAUUAAUCGUGACACCAAAUUAACCACCACAACGAGUUUAUUUUUUCUCUCUCCCUCUACAAAAUCUCACGACAAAUAAAUCAAAUCCGAAACCCUAGCAAAACGAGAAAUACCUGGAGAGGGGAGCGAAGGAUGGAGGCUGAGAAGAUCGCAUUCGCCGUCGCCAUUUCCGUGGAAACGGAUCGAGAGCCUUUGGAUCAAAGGCGGCUGCCGCUUUUUUGGCCUAGAGGAGUUUUGAGUUCCUGGAUCGGAGAAAUAGCGACAGGAAAAGAGGAGUUUUUGUUACUUAUGUAUGUACUGCCGGGGUGGGAAUGGAGUGAAUGCCGGAGCUUCCAGAAGACUCCAAGAUCUGGAUGCUUCGAGAAAGAAAGACGGCGCGAAGGAGAAUUAAUCUAGGGUUUGGUUCACGAUAACCGACCCCGCGCACCUGGCGCAGCCUUGGAAUCUCGGUACUGGUUUCUGGCUACGGAGCGCCUCGCAUGGAGCAAGGGGCGCGAAUCACAGAAAGGUUAGGCCGCGAAAAGAUUCGGGCUUGGGCUCAUGGUUUACGCUACUGAAACCAUCCCUAUAGAAACCUCAAGACCUGAUUGGCUCCAUCAGGGACUUCUUUAGUUUUAGCUCUCCACUAGCAAUUGGCCUGGAGCCAGCAGACCUGAUACAGACCAAUAGUUUUAUCACAUAAAUGAUGCAUAGAUUUACAUUUAUAGCUAACGCAUAUCAUGAAGACCCUUGAUUACACUUUGAAGAUGUGAAGGUGACUGAACUUAAUAUUGCUGCCCUCCUCACGGUUGGACCCAGACCCGAUCCAUAGCCAAUCUUAAAGGUAAGAUAAAACUUUAAUUAUACCUGCACACCAGGUCUCAUGAAAUCUCAACUGCUCGAAGUCGGCCCUAACCCAUUGCUUGGAUAGGCAGGGGUUGGAUCAAAAUUUUAGACAUAAACCUUACAUGUAUUUGAAUUUAGAUUAGCAGGUACCCAUUCUCGAUCCAAUUUGAUGACAUACUUAACUGGCAUCCCUUUUGUAAGUCGCGAUAUGUUAUGAUACUGUAUUUACCAUUGGCAGCUAGUGAUAACACUUGAAUCAAUUCCAAUGUACCAGCCAAGCUUCGAGCAGCAUAGAAGAGUUUAUUUUGCCUUUGAACAUCUCUAUGCUCAUCAUAUUUAAUUGGAGGGCGAUUCUAGUACGGUGGUCAAGUGGCUGCAGCGAACUUCUCCCAAUUUAGAGGCUUAGAGCAUCCACCCCUGCUGCACGACACCUUCAACCUCAUCUCUCCUCAAAAGAGAAGGGAGCAGACCAUCAGGCUGGGUGACUAACAAUGUAGCCGAUCAUGGAAAACUUGCCAUUUGACACUGUUUCAACUCCUCGACAGCUCCAGGACCUCGUUCUUUCUGAUAGCUUGGGUUGUAUAUGCAUUCAUUGCACUAAGCCACGCACUGUCAGAAGAAAAAAAAAUGGGUACAACAAGGUGACAUCCUUUUCCUUGUGCAGUUGUGCAGGCCAAGCAUAGGAGCUGGACCGAGCCACCAAUGCACAAGCAGCAGCAGGCUUCAGACAGUGCUGAACCAUAUCAUGAUGUAACCACAUUACACGGGCUAAUAUGAGACAAAUUAAGAGCCAUUUAUCGGGAAUUAUAUAGAUAAAUAUAGCAAAGCAACGUCAGGUAAGAAAAUGAAUGUCAAGGCCACAGCCCAUGGGAAUGUACAAGCAAAUGCGAAUCGAAGGAGGGUGGAUAGCACAGGGAUCGUGCCCUCUCUUGCAAUGUGCUUCACCCGCUGCGUCACCAAAAAUAGAAAUAGCUUGCUCUGAGAAAUUCUUCCUGGGAAACGAGAGAUGCGAAUGAAGGCCGCUGUAAAAACCUGCACUCCUAGUGCUUGUUUCCAAAGUGCCACCACCUUUUCUUCUUCUUGGAUUCCAGUGUUGGUAGAUCUGCACAGCCAAAGAAGAAAAUGAAAAACAAGCUUCAGACAACAUGCAAAUCAGACCAGAUCGAGCACUUUGGAUCUAGUCCGAAUGAUUCUGCAAAGAUUUUGGUCAUAUUUUGAGGUAGAUAGAAAUAUUGGUGAUAAAAAUGCGAGUAAUCUCAACAUUGUCAGUGUCGUCGAAAGUAUUAACUGAUAGAAGGGUAACUAUAGCAGUCAAACAUAGAGUAUCAUUUACUUACCCCUUUCAGGAUAAAUCGAAUUGUAAUGCACCUCAGCCCAGAAGCUCAAAAAAAUAACUGCCAAACAGUGAAAAAAAAUUAAUAUGGCACUAAAUGGCCAAGCAGGUGAAGGGACAUAAACAGUUUUCGUUACAUAGUUCCAAAAAUGAAAUAGUUGUCCAUAUACGAGGAUUACAUUAAAUUAAUGCUAUAUCCUUGGUUAAGGAAAAUUUCAAAUCCAUUUGCACGAUGGAAGGUCAUGACAGGCUAAUUGUAUUGCACAAGUAAUAGACUGCUGAACAUACAGGUAACAAGCUCAUAAAAAUACAACCAUACAUAUGCACGGCAGGAUGGCAAAUAACCAUUCUCUCCCAUCCUUUAACAAUGAGUUCAUAAAAUCCCAACAUGUUCUUCCCAUAGAUCCAUUGCAUGCAUGGCAAGGCAUGUACCAGAGCACUCAUGGGACACAAUAUUAAAUGUCUUCCCAGUGAAGGAAUAAAGACAACAGCAAAUUUUCAGUCUCUAUGAGCUGCAUCUAUUACUAAUAAAGCCCCCAAAUUGCCAUUAAGCUCAUAAGACAUCAGUUUUUCGAUAGUUAAAGAAAAACACAUGAAAUAUAAAAUAUUAAAUGGAUCAAGCCAGAUUAGUAAUUGCCACCAGGCAUGCUUCCAGAAAGUCAAAUAAUUACAAAGCCAGGCUCCAUUUAAGUGUGAUCAGAUUUGCAUAACUUGUCAGACGUUCCCUAUUAGUUUAAUCAAAACUUCUUAAACAGAAGAAAUACAUUAAAAAAUAACAAGAACAGCAAGCAACCAGUUGUACAUACCUCGUUUAGAUUUCUGAACAUUUGGCAGAAUCUCAAUAUAGCAAGUAUCCUUGAAUGAUGUUAUGACAAAAAUUUUAACGCCAUACUGCAUAAGAUCAAAGAAAUUGAUAAUCACUAACUAAACCUUUAUUUAUAUAAAAUAUGGUGAUCAGCUUACUUCAUUUCAUGAAAUAUUGAAGGAAACCAUUUACAUCUUACAGGUAGAAAAGCAUGAUCAACUAACAUAUGAAUAAUACAACAUGAAAGCAAUAUCAAGCGAGCAUGAAAUUAUCAGCGUAAGACAGAACAACUACCCAGAUAACAAUCCCUAAGAAUAAGAUCUGCAUAAGAAAGAGAUAAUGUUCAUAUUACAGAACAAACCCCUUGGGCCUUUCCCUUCAUCAACAUUCUAUCCAUGAGUCAAUAUGCAAGUUUGCUUAAUUUGUUUUUAUGGCUGAAGCUCAAUAUCCAGCCAUUGCAAAAAAGUGGAUCACCGAUAUGAACAUGAAAUGAAGAUGGAUCCCAUCACCAACGCAUGAGUCAUAUGUGACAACCAAUCUACCAAACAAGAAUAUUCAUAGACUCAAACAGGUAUUCAUUUAUCUACAUGCACUUUCACGAGCUCUCAUGUGUGACGCACUUUUUGCUCUAUCCAACAAGCUAAAAUGAAAUAACAAUAUGGAAUUCCAAUAUAACAGUUCUAACACGUUUUUUAGCUUGUUACACUGAAUAUAUCUUAAAAUACAGAUACAUCUUUUAACAGAGAAGUGAUCAUUCUCAGAUCUAAAUUCACGGAGAUGAAGGCAAGAAUCAUCAACACAAUAUGUCUGAAGCCUGGUAGAGAUAUCAUUAUUAAAUAAUGUAAGUAGCCAGGCUUUAAACCACACACCACAGGAAAGAAAAAGCUAGACAAGAAAUAAACUUCUGACAACCUAAGAAGAUUGCCUACCAAAUACCAAUCCCAUGAGUCUAAAUCAAACAUUUCAUCAGCAUAAUUUGAUGUCAUUUAAAUAUAGAUUUUAAGCAAAUAAUGUGAGAUUCAAGGACAGAUGGAAAUUGUAUUCCUUAAGUUAAAUAACUAAGGGCCAAUCAAAAUAGUGUGCCAAAGGUUGACAUCAAGGUUCGCCAUCUUGGUACCGGACCCCAUACCGGUGCCACACUAGCACAGUAUCGGUACAAUACGGUAUGAAAUUCUUUUGGCAUACUGAGUAUUGGCACACCAUCCGUACCUAAUAUCGGUACUGAACUGGUACGGUAUGGUACGCCUCGUACUGCUCGAUUCAGGCCAAUACGGGAUACCUUAGUCGAUAUCACUUUAUUAGGCUCAAUAGGAGAUAGAAGAACAAGCUAGCUAUGGGGUAAGGCAUAAGCAUGAGGUGCCAACUUAGGAAAAGGGUCAAACAUGGACACAGGAUGAAAAUUUUAACUCCAAGAAGUCUAAACCAAACCCAGCCAAGAUCCAAGGAAAAGCACCUGAUAUAUUGAGACACCAAAAUCCCAAUGCUAGAAGAAUUUCACAAGAAAAAAUGAGGGUGGCUGAAGUUGCAAAGACCAAAGAAUACCAAUAGAGGCCAGAAAUGAAGUAUCAAAGAGAGUUUUGCAACCUACUUAACCCCAAAGUCCAUGAAGAAAGUAUAGACCACGAAUCUCAAACAGCCCAAAUAACCAUUAUGACACCAGAGAAUUUGGGCAAGUCAUAAAUUAUCAAAAGUUCUCAUCUCAAGAUUUGGGUGUUGAUAAAGCAAAUUUCAAUAAAACAAGCCCCAUCAGAUUAGAUUAGAACAGUCUUGGUUAAUAAAAAUAAUGGUUAAUAGUUCUUUCAUAGUCUUUCUAAAGGAAGAGAAAACCCAACAAAACCUGACCAGCAAUACAUCUUGCCUCAAGCCAGAUAUGAAGUAAAAAAGAUCAAAAUUGCUUUUGCAAUAUGAACCUCCAUUUAAAGCGACUAGCACUCAGUAAACAGCAAUGCCACUGAAAAUGGCGGACUAUGCAUCAGCUACAAUAGCCUUGAACUCUUGAUGCAGUCUCAUGCCUUAUCAUCCAGUGAUAAAGAAGUGAUAAACAAAACUUACUGAUAAAAAUUAUUCAUCAAAAUUUCAUUAAUUAGAUCCUAUCUGGCAUUAGCUAGAGGCCCAAGACUGAAUCUAAACUUAUAAGGAUAACUAAAACAAACUCAUAAGGUUUAAUUCAGUCCAGACAACUAAUGCAAUGAUCGAUGGCACAGGUUCACAUGCUCCAGCAAUAGUUCAGCAUAGGGAUGUCCAUAGGACAAUUCACAGGCCUAACUUCAUAGUCAUACACCAGGAAUUGAGCCUAUUCAAAGUCUUGUCAAACUCUGCCCGGAUCCGGCUAAUUGACAUCCCCAGUUCAGCUUCAGGUAAUAACAACAAAAGCACGCCAAGGAACCAAGUCAGUCCAGUGACGAGGUUACAGGACUGCUCAAACAUGCCCCACAGUUGAUCAUUACUUUGCAAGUAUCACUAAAAGCGAAAACAUAGAAAGAAAGCUAAUAAAGGGUCUUUGACCAAAAUGUCUCAUUCACAAUGAAUCCAAAUAUAUUACUAAAAAUAAGACCUUGCAAGCAGGAUUGUCCAGCAGCUAAGGGAUGUGAUUUCAGAAAUCGUGUAGACCUUUCAACAUCCAUACCUUGUACAAGCUAUUACAUGAUAUCAAACAUAAACAAAACCAAACUAGAAAUGUAGUAUUUAACAUUUUACUCUCACUUUUAAUGGCUAACUAAACUUGUCUCAUUUAAGUCCGUUGUUUAAAGGUGAAUCAGCAAAAGGAAAAGAAUCUGUCAUUUGCUAUUUGCUUUGCGAAACUCUUGAGAAGGUAACAUCUCUCUUGAAAAGAAGAGCUUCUUUUUCCUCUCAAUGCAAGGAUGGGAAUCCUAUCAAAUUCAAUAAGAACAAGAGAAAUAAAAUAAUCCAGUAAAAGUUUCCAAAACUGAUUCAUAUGAUUGCCAUGUUUUGCACUUCAUUCUCAUCACUGUCCUGACACAACUUAAAAUGAAGUUGUACUCUUGGAGAAGCUCCUCACUCCACAAAACCCACACCAACAUUAUCAUCAAAGUUAAGAUAUUCACAAUAUAGUAAGACAUCAAAUUAAGGGGAAAAUGUAGUACUGACCAGAAACAUCAAAAAAGGAAAAAGAAAAUGAAAAAAGAGCCAAAACAAUAUUAUAACAGAAAAGAAAAGGAAUGAAACAGUGGAAAUUGGAAGAAGGAAAAAAACAUACUGAAUCCGCAGCAGCCUGUAAGGUAACAUGAUCACCCCAUUCCCCACCCCUGUUAGCCACAUUAAUAUAAAAAGAUUACAUACUUAUAUGUAUUUCCAAAAUGGCAUCAUAGAUUAUAAGAUAUAGAGCAUACGUUGAAAUCUUUUUCAAAUAGUCACCGUACGCCAUGGGAACAUAUCCCUCAUAGUUCUCAGGGUGAGACUCAAGCUGAAAAAUGAAUGAAGAAAGACAUGCAUUCAUUGAUGAUGAAAAAUGCAGAUCAACAUAAAAAUGAAAUGAGAAAAUACCCUAGAAAUACCAAAAAGAUGAAGAUCAAUAGAAAUUUUAAGAAUGAUACUAGCAGUAGAGGACAAACCUGAUUAACAACUUGCUGCCUCACAAACUUGUGGUGCUCAGGGGUACGGUAAAAUUGAUCAGACAGAGCUCGAAACUGUGAAGGAUAUGAAAUUGAAAUUUGACAUCUCAGUUGAUAAGAAGAAAGAUUAAGAAUUGUCAAAAAAAGGCUUCACAGCUAAUUUUGAAUAUGUACACAUGCACACACACAUACUAACAUGAUUGACCAAUAAGUGAAAAUUGACAUAAUUUGGAACAUUUGAUGCACAAGUGCAAAUAUAGUAAAAGAGGAGAAUAUAUUGCAAACAUGCAUGUGUUUAUCAUUGCAGGGCUAUAUUAUGGAAAGAUCCAGCAUUUAUGGAGCGAACAUAUAAGGUCAACCAAUCUAAACUGGUUAUAUCCAAUUCAGACGAUGUAAUGCCUUUUAAGAAGCUUCCCUUGUUUCUAUCUUCUCAUUCUAACAAAUUGAGGCGCAAGAAUAAAAACAAGAAGCAUACAAGAAAAUAUUCAGAGUAAGACUCCAAUUAUGAAAAGGUAGAAGCAAGAAUGCCUGUUUGUGUUUGAUUGAACUUAAAAGAUGCAAUUCUCAUGUUACGAGCUUGAUUCGUAUGAAAAUUUUGAACUCCUUUUAUGGUUAUUGCUUCAUUCAAUUUGUCAUGCAUGAGUAUCAGUGUCUUUUUCUUCUUCUUUUUUUAAGUAGAGAGAGAGAGGAGGAGGACUCACCAGUACAUUAAUUACCCAAGCCCAAAUACUUAGAUAUGCAACGCCUAAGAUUUGAACCAAAAACCUCUGAUUACUAAGUUUAGGGGUGUGGCCAUUGGGAUAAGCCCCUAUUCACCAUGCAUAUCAGAUUUGAUGUUUGAACUUUUUGCAAAUUAUUUCUUCUACUGUGAAUUAACCUUGAAAAAAUGAUUGUAUUAAAAAUUGAAAAUUGUAACAUAAUUUUUAAAUGGAUCAUAAACUAGGACACGCAUGAAUCAUAUUGAUAUCUAAGCAUGUAGAGUUUAACUUCUGAGAAAUAUAAUUUCAUGCUUUUGUGACAAAUUUUGUUUUUCUGGACUUUCCUAGUCUCUCAAAAUUUAAUUUUGAUGAGCUACAUAUGUUUUUAUUGCUUUCAUCAUAGUCAUUCAAUUUUUGGCAUAUAAAUUGUUGGCAAGAGUUUACCAGACAUAACAAUUUAACAAUAUAAUAUGUAGACUAAUCUUUCAAUUUAAGGCUAUAUACUGACCAAAUUCAAAUCAAAUUCAUUGAAGUUUUGACCCCAAAAUCAUUACAAAAUGGGUGAAUUUGAAAUUGAGACCUAAUCAAAAAUCAAGAUGCAAACUUGAUGACUAAUCAGCUCCAGUUCAGGUUUUAGAUAUGUUCAAAUCAACCAGAAGUGAUGAAGACCAAGAGAGUAAAACCCAGACUUCACCUAAUACAAAAUUAUCAGUAUCCUCCACAAAGUUACGUCAUCCUAUUCCCCUCCUUCCCCCAAAGAAGAACCCCUGGACCAAGAUGUUGCUGCAUGCGAUAAUGCAAUGCAAGAAUCACCACGGACUGCCUCAGAGUGAAGGACUUUAGGUUACAGGGGAGACAGAAGGGAAGGUCAGAUGGGUAGCAGAUGAGGAAACAAAAGCUUGCCUUGCUUCACCCAGGUAAAGGAACAAAACCAUAAAACUCAUCUACCUUUGGACAUACGAUCAGGUUUUCAGCAAGGCUGUCCCUGGAGCCUGAUUGGCUCAAUGAAUAUAUCAGUCAAGUUGGGUCGAGGUAUCAACAAAGUUGGCUCAUGACACUUCGAGCUGUGUUUGGAAUGUGGGGGAGUGAUCAGGCACUCGGUGAGCUUGGUCCAAGUUUUCAAUAGUUUGGACAGACCUAAAAUCACCUGGCUUGGCCAAGUUUGCUUGAUGCGCACACCAAGUUUCAAGUUUAACAACAACUCUAGGCAACAUAUGAACUCAACCUGAAAUCAAAUGGAGUCUAUUAUGCAAAGAACCAAAAUGGACCAAAUCUAACCUCGUGAGAAUUGUGAACCAGCAUCUCAAAUCCAAACCCAAUUCAUCAACAAAUCAUCAGGUAAGAUUACUUGAAUUUCACUUUAGAACCCUACUUACACGCUUGCCAGCGAUAUGAAAAAAAUCAAUGCAUCUAAGGUGCAAAAGAAUCUUGUUCAUAGAAGGCAUGCUUGUUGCCCCAAAGCACAGCAGGGAUAUUAGAUAUAGUCAACUUAUAAAAGUUUAACCUUUAGACCCUUAAAUUGAGUCGGCCAAUAAAAAACAACCUCAACAUUCUAUAAGCUGGCCAUGGAUUUCAAUUUUUAGUUUGUUGAAAACUCUAGAUAAUCAAAAUUUACUAUGUUAUUUAUUACCGAGUAUACAGUGAGAAUUCAACUGAUGUAAUAGAUGUAGUUCCAUGAACGAAAUCAUAGUGUUGACAUAUCGAUUCCAAUACGAUCUUAUUACUAUAGCAACAAAUCAGGAGAAAAACAAAAAAUAGCAUGGUGGGACACUGGAACACUAUAGUGAUACCUAUCCUCCCAGAACCUGAGUUGACAAAUGAGAAUAAUCAAUUGCCAACAAGAACUCAUGUAUUAGCUGCAGAUUACAAGCUUAUAUGCUAAAUAAUUUCUUUAGUACACACCUACGUCAUUUAAUUUCAAAGGAAAAGGGGAAGAAAAAAGAGACCUAACACACAACUAACCUGACAGUUACCAUCUCCUUGAACCUUGAGCUCAAUCAAAUCAUAGAGUCGCAAUCUACAGAAUAUAUAGCAUCAGACAAUCAUAUACAGAAAAAUUUACAACAUGACAAUACCAUUUACGACAUGCAGGUAUUUUACUAAUGAAUAACCAUAAUCAUCAAGCCUUUUUUUUAACCAACAAUUUGGUGUCAACUUUAUGAAUUCUCAGUAGCCAGUGCUCCAAUCAAGGGCAAUCGGUAUUACAUGUGUCAACCGAUGAAUUAUGCAAUUUUUUCACAUAUAUUGAUUAAAGUAUAUUACAUGUACUUGAUCAAGAAGGUAAAAGUUAUUUAAGAGAUAAAUAUAUUCCCUUAUUAGUCCAUGGAAAUUUUUCUGCAGUCUUUAUGUAGCUAGCAAUGUAAGCUCAUAACCAAAAUUACAACUUGUCAAAACCAGUGCACCUAGGAGACCUGCCAUACUGGAGCAAUAACUCAAAUUUUAUCAUGUUAUGCUGCUUCCAUGAUGCAAACCUAAAGCUGCUGAAGGAUUUUUAUAACAUGGACUAACUUAACGCAUAAACAAUAAAUCAAUAAAUGUGAACCCAUGGAAAGAGCUUUUGAAUAACUACUAUGGGAUGCAUCUCAUACCAAUAGACUUACAUAAAACUUAUCAAAGUUGGAUAAAUCACAAUAUCACACAAUAAUAAGUUGAAAGUAUAGUGCUACAGUACAGGCCAUACCUGUCUAUAAGCCUUUGAUGAUCUGAAGUAGCUUCAUCAACGGAAGGAAUUUCUCCAUUAAUUCUAGGAACAUGCUGCACAAACCAAACAAUUUAUGAUGUCAAAGAGAACAUGCAUGCUCGUCAUUUAUAACUUCUUACCUUUCAAGUACAUAAAUAUGGAGCGCCCAUAUAUGGAAAAGGUGAGAGCUAGCGAUGAUGGCGUAAAUGAAAAGAAAUAUACUAUUCAUAGUUCAAAUUUCAGCAGAUGACAAGUAACACUAUUAAAGUGGUAUUGCCGCAGAAUUUAAGUGUUGGAAUUCUUCAAUAUUGAGUAAUAGCAAGAACCAAAAAAAAAACCUAGUAUUCUGGCAAUUUCAAAUGGCAAAGACAUGCAGAGCUAUCACUCAGUAGAAAAUGCAUACUAAAUAAAGUGUAUAAACUAUAAAGUGUAUGCAUGUGUGCUCAUAGUGCAGAGCUAUCACUCAGUAGAAAAUGCAUACUAAAUAAAUAUUCAUUUCAGUUACCCUAGGUCGGUCUUUUUUUGGUCAGAUACCACAUUUCAGUCUUGAUAAUAGGUAAGUCUGAUUCAUUUUGAAUCGGAAUAGACCAUGUUCAGUCCUUUACUCAGAGAAAAAAGAUAAUAAAUCCAAUGUUGUCAUUUUAGGAUAUGUGAUUAACCAGAAUAACUAGCCUAUCAGCAAAAAAAUAAUCAGAUGAAUUUCCAACACCAAAGUUAUGCAGAAUACCAUGUUUACUUUAGUUGCACAUAUGCUAGAACCUGAAACUAAGAGGGAAGUUCAACAGCUUACUUUUCAUGGUUUCACCUAAGUGAUAGGAGAUUUUUCCUCACUUUAGCUGCUCAGUCAAGAAUUUUCAUAUUACAAGAUCAUUAGCAUUCUCUAAUCCUCUAAAACAAUUUUCAAAGGAAAUGUUUCUUUAAGCUACUGAUGGUUAAGUUAUAUUUUUGAAAAUCUGAGCUUCAAAAGUAUGCAUAAACUUACAGGAAUGGGAACCAUCUGAUUCAAUCUCUUGCCUACUUCACCAUCUAUGUCAGAAAAGUCAUCUGUGAGCUCUAAUGACCACUCCUGCCCUUCAUAUGUGUAUUCCCCAGGACUUGAACAUGAACUGGGAGAUUCCAUCUCAUCUGCCUCUUCCUGACCACCUUCAUUCCCUACAUAAAAACAACAGACACAAUAAUAAACAACAGAGCAGAAAAAUAGGAAAUGGGAGACAAAAUGAACAACCAAACAGGAAAUUUCUUAUAAUCUGCUUACCUGAACUAUAGUUCCUCAUGGAUGGACCAAACCAAUCUUGUGCCAGAACAGAUGCUUGCAAGUGUUCUUCAUCUGCAUGUGAAGGUCCAGUUGCUUCUGCAACAGCAAGGCGCGAAAAUUCUUCUUGAAGAGCAUGAGCAAUAAUCUCAUCAUUCUCUAUAGUAGUGUAGCCUGUUGUGCCAAUAUUACCUUCUCUGGCAUAACUACUAUCAUAAAAGCUGGCAUCAUGUUGAGUAGUUCCUCCACAAUACCCACAGUUUGAAAAUGGAUCAUCAUGAAGGAUAUCAAGACCCCAGCGGAGAACUUCAGAAUCUUGCUCGUACAUAAUCAUCAGCAACAAAUGUUUUCCUAGCAGAAUAAUGUGCCAACAACAAGAAUCCUGUAUAUUGACACUGACAUGAUUAUCUUACUGUAGCUUAAGAGGAUAUUUUACAGGUGGCAUAAGAUCAUCCCUGGCAUUCAUUCCCUGUACAUUUAUGAAAUUAGCUUCACCAGAUAGGCAGGUGAAAUAUACAUAAAAUCACCAACCACAUGAAGAAAAUUUCAAAUGAUCAUUUCUGAAACAAAAGAAAUAGCUAGAAACAUGACUAUGUCAGAUGGAAUAAAACUAAAUCAACAGAAUAAUCAAAACUUCAUAACCAGGACAAAAAAAAUUUGCAACUCCAGGAUUACUAUUAUAUCAUAUUCUUAUGUGCUGACAUUUUCGGACAUACUUCCACAACAUAUCAUCGGAACUAAAAAAAACAAUUAAAGAAUAUGUUGACAUUAAAACAGCAAAAUAUUGCUUACUUAGAAGCAUUGCAGUUUGAGAAAGUAGCUCGUCAGAUAUAUAAACUAUUAAUGUGACUAUAUGAAGCACAACAAUCAUGAAUUAGUUGAAAGCUGGUGUCGAUCAGGUAAAAGAUUGAAUUUAGGGCCAGAGGAAGAAGAUCAAGGCUAGAUGAUGUAGGCUCCCAGUUAAGAGUUUAAAUGUUAAAUUCAGUAGGUGAAAGCAAACACUGUGAUAAGAUGGUCAUCUGAAAGGUUUAUUCUUCAGAAAACAGAUAACUUCUUACACAUUAAAAGAGAAAACAAGUUCCCUGCCAUAUGGCAAUCCCAAUAUGUUCAAGGAUGAUAGAUCCAACAAACCCCCCACCCACUCCGAACUGUUUUCUUUCCUGAUUGCACUCAGAGAAGAGUGCAAUACAUGGAGGCAUCAGAUCCAAUCUCGCAUCCCCGAUCUANNNNNNNNNNNNNNNNNNNNNNNNNNNNNNNNNNNNNNNNNNNNNNNNNNNNNNNNNNNNNNNNNNNNNNNNNNNNNNNNNNNNNNNNNNNNNNNNNNNNNNNNNNNNNNNNNNNNNNNNNNNNNNNNNNNNNNNNNNNNNNNNNNNNNNNNNNNNNNNNNNNNNNNNNNNNNNNNNNNNNNNNNNNNNNNNNNNNNNNNNNNNNNNNNNNNNNNNNNNNNNNNNNNNNNNNNNNNNNNNNNNNNNNNNNNNNNNNNNNNNNNNNNNNNNNNNNNNNNNNNNNNNNNNNNNNNNNNNNNNNNNNNNNNNNNNNNNNNNNNNNNNNNNNNNNNNNNNNNNNNNNNUCACAAACAUGCAACAACAAAAUGGAAGAUUAUUUAACCACCACCACCCCCCCCCCCCGGGGUACUACACCAAUUUCCACAAGUCAGACCAAUCCCCUCAUGCAACAUGGCAGGAGGAACUUUCAUGUGCCCGACACAGGCACCACCUCGCAUGACUCCUAUUAUAAAUAGACAUGUAUAAAGGAGGCAAAAUCCUUCAUGAAUGACAUAUUAGCAGGUCAUUUUAUCCAUAUUUGACUACAAAAUGUAAUUGGAUGUUUUUUUAUCCUUUUUGGAAAUUAUUCAUUGCACUGAAAAUCUUCUCUACAUUAUCAAUAGCAAAGAAUGUCAUAAUUAGCAGGAUUAAUGAAGAUUGAAUAUGGAUUUAGGCAGCCCAAUGAAAACUGAAUAUGGAUUUAGGCAGCCCAAUGAAGAUUGAAUAUGGAUUUAGGCAGCCCAAUGAAGAUUGAAUAUAGAUUUAGGCAGCCCAAUUCUUCAACAUACUGUAGGCCUAAUAGCUACUGCGCACAGCACCUGUCUGCAUGGUUCUGGAAAAACAUAUGAUAUCUACACUGAAUAAUGAACAAAAUGCUCUUAAAAAACAGAGCUAGAGAUAUUACUAGGUAGGAAAUGUUACAAAAGUAUGCUAGUCAGUGUGAAAUAUAAUCUCAUUAAAUCAAGCUUGCAAAGAAGUCAAAACCUCCCUAUUGAGUUGGUCUAGGGCUGGAGACGAUCCAAGAUCGAGCAAGACAGACCAUGCUCCAGCUCAGCUUAUACUAUAAUUUAGCCAAGCUCAGGUUCAAUUCAAUUAAUUAUAAACUAAAUUUAAGCUGUUCAAAAAUGGUUUUUAAGGGAUUAACCAGUGAGAGACUGAGGUCCCAGAGCUUUCACUUAUGUCUAAACAUUUAAAUAAUAAAUAAGAAUUUCAUUUAUAAUAUUAACUGAAAUAAUAUAAAUUCAUAUUAUUUACUUAUUUAUUUAUAUUUUGAGUUUAAUCAAAGCAAGCAUGAGAAAGCUGGGCAAAUCUUAAUCUCAUCUGUUACAGCAAAGAAAAAUCUCAAUCUCAUCUCAUUUACCAAAUUUGCCAAACACCAGCUGCUCGUGAAACGCACUUGUUAGACACCCCUAAGGCAUUAAUUCCCUUUUUUUGCCUCCAAAAGAAGUACGAAAAUCAGACUUUUCACUGGUGCAUCAAAAAAACAACAUCAAGAUUGGUUUGUCAAAUUGUGAUUUCAGCCACAUCACUGAUUUCAAUAAUUACUACUGGAACAUGGAAGCAGUACAAGGACUUCGAGAGAAAUAGAUUAUAGUAAAGAUGCAAGGUUUUGGUGUUAUUUAUCUACUCGAUAGCCUCAAAACUAGCAGCCAUGGAUUUCAGAUCAACAUGGACAGGAUUCGUCUCUACAGAUCUUAAAAAUGACAACCCUAUAGACAUAUAUAGAAUUAACUCAAAAAGUAAAAGAUACUGAAAAUAAGCAGGUAACAGUACACCCCAUAAACCAAAGAAUAUAUCAUCGCACUAAUAGAAAAAAAAAAUCGCCACUGUAAUCUGAUCACAUCUGAAGUGAAAUAAGACGGCAAUUCAAUCACAAGAACUACAUCAAGAAUCCAAAACAACGACAAAAAUCACAAAACAAAACAACAAGACCAUAGGCAUUAUCGAGAAUCCGAGAUCUCCAAGCUGCAAUCCUCCAUAGGAUCAAGAACAAAAAAAACAAUAAAAUCAAAGACCGACGUCAAGAAACUACACACGAUCCAUCAAACUUCAGUGAUCGGACCAACCCUAUACCAUAAGAUUCUUUUCAAUGAAAGAAGAACACGCCACUCGCAAAAUCACACCCAAAAAAAUCCUUUAGUUUUUUCACGGAUCGCAACAAGAACUUACUUCCCAAUCUAUAAGCCGAAGAAGUCUCUCCGUCUCUUGAAACGGAGACGAUCGAGCGAACCAGCGAGAGAGAAAUAAAUCAAAGAAAACAAUAAAAAGCGGCUUCGAGACGCCACGAAGGAAUGCAGAGCGAACGAUUUAACCGCGACACCCGAUAAAAGAGAGAGGGGGGAGGAAUGUCGCGGUCCCGGACGUCACGGGUUUGAUAAGCCUGAUUGGAAGCGGCGCGGCCGCGUUUUAAAUGCCGUUUCGGUUUUCGUAUCGGGCGGGGCGUAUCGGGGAGCCGCACGCGAACCCCACCGUCGGAUGCAUUGGACACGUGUACGUAUAAGAUGCGUCGGGGUAUAGGCGCUUGGUGGGGCUCUGUUCUAUCACGGGGGGAAUCUCCACCCUUGAUAUCGUAUCUGACCGCUGUCAGGCAUGGGUCCCGCCACUCCUGGUACUCUGCCGGUACAAUGGGUAUAAUUUCUCGGUACGAUGGGCCCGAGGCUGGCCUCAUGCGACGCCAGAAGGACAGCCAGGAAUCAGCCGUUUGAUCUUGAUUGGACGGUCCUGACAUGAGGAUCUCGCAUUGUUAUCGCCGCUGCUUUCCCGUUUGGCAUUCAUUCCGAGAACUAAAAUGGUGACCUAAUUUUAGCUUGGGUUGCUUUUACGAGGCGCAAUUUGCCUCGCUAGCACGUAAUUUCAUUUGGAAGUUUUGGAAUGGUUAUCUGUAAGUUGACUGGUCAUAGUCGGCAUGACAGGGACGGAAACUGACUAGUUUGGGCUGGCUUGGACCAGCGCCAACCAUAACAUGUUUCACAUGGGUUGGACGAAAGGUUAAGAGACAUACUAAGUCGCACAAAAAAGGGCUCAUGCAGACUGAAAAUUUAUCAAUUUUAAUCCAACUUAUUUAUUAAAUAAAUCAAAAAUCCAUCCCCAAAUCUAAUUAUUUUAUUUAACACACAACCUAAUCCACACAAUGGAGUGAAACAACUUAAUUCGAUUGAACGAUCACCAUUUCUGCUCUCGCAACAGCCUUUAUUAUGCCGAGGAAUAUUUGAUGAAUACAUUAUGUUAUUGUCCAUCUUUUUUCGACUAAGACAAUUAAUGAAUGUUGUAAUAUUAAAAUUGAAAUGGCAAUGAUAAAGAAUAAUUUUAGUGGGAUAUGUUAUCUGGAGACAACGCCUGUUAUAAAAUCCUAGUUAGAUGGUGUCCAAUUUGAAUUUGAUCAUCUAAUUGUUGUCGUGAUUUGACCAAACACCUGAACUAAGAUAAGAAUUUGGUAUAGAAUCUAAUGUUGUUAGUCUAAAAUUAUUUAAUAAGUCCAAUAAAUCAUAAAGUAGUCACAGAUGACUUGGAUCCGGCAUGUCUGCAUUCUAGAUUAAGGAAUAGAUAGGCUUUGAUUGACUAUUUGUUUCUAUUUUAUUUUCUUGUUCCAAUAUUCAAAGGUUUAGGUUUACUAACUGGAAAAAUGACAAGCGGACGUGACGUAAAUGAGAGAUGCCUAACCCGUUGGAAAGCUGAAGGUGAAACAAAAUUCCAGGUGCAGAAAAGGUUCGCACAAGAUUAGGACAUUGGGUGGAUCGGUUCGGCUGGAUUUGGUCGCAUCCCUACUCAAAUUCAAAAUAUUUCUAUUUGAAUCUAAAUCCAAUUAAACUUGAUAUCUGUAUCUAAUAUUGUAUUAAAAAAAAAAAUCAGUUGUUGGAUUGGAUUUUAAGUAAAAAAUCGAGUAUUUAACAAGUUAUAUAUUUUACUAUGCUUCUAAAUUAAUUUUUAAAAUUAUUUAAUAUAUCCAAAGUAUUACCUUACAAACUGUGAAAUAAAAACAAAACGAUGAUAAUGCAAUAGAAAAAAUCAUACCUAAAAGAGGGUAUGUAUUCAAUCAUCACUUUUGUUAUCUAAGUAUCUGUGCAAUCAAAAAAACAUGAAGAAUGACUACCAAGGAAUUUGAUAGAAUAAGAUUGGUUAUGGUUUCACUACUCUAUUUGAUUUUUUUUCUAAUUAAAAAAUUAAUAGGUUUAUGCCUAGAAUAUUUAUAUAUCUAAGUAUACAAAUGUACAUAAGUCUAUAUAUAUAUAUGCAUAUAUUAUAUUAUAUUUGUGUGUAUGCAUAAAACCAGAUCAGGUUUCUGCUGUGCCUUUCCAGGUAUAAAUUUACUUGAAACCAAAUAUAAGGAGUUUUGGUCUAAUUUCAGAACCCAAACCUAACCCAAUAGCUUAUUGAAUUUCUUGUAUCCAAAUUUUCAAAGCAUACUACAGAAAAAGAAUCUAUCAUCCGUCCGAUGAAAGAUAGAAACUAUACAAUGGAUCCCUCAUUUUUAAUGCUGGGAACUCUAUCAGGUUAAACAACAGCAGAUAAAUGUUGGUACAAUUUGUUGUUUCACUUGGAAUCACAUCUCAAGGCCUUCAUUUGCAUUUUCUUCAGGAAGAAACAUAAUACACUGUGAAUCAGCAUAUCUGAGGUCCAAGUCCAACCAGCUCUGGCGUCGAUCACUUCAACAUGCUGCAAUUUUGCUAACAAGUACGAACAGCUAACAAGUAACAAAUCAAAGCUUGCCCUGAAAAUUUUAACCGAUAAUAUUGAAAGCUGAAUGCCCUCCCAGAGGGAAUGUGUAAUUCAACUUUGUGAACUGCUAGUGCAAAAUAAUUAAUUCUGCUAUGAAGCACUAAAAUGCUAGGGGAAGUUUUUCAGGCCACAAUCAAGUAUGCCUAAGAGUUGUGCCAUCUGUGUAAUGUCAUUUGAUAUUAAGUACAUAUAAUUAACACUAAGAUUGUGUAAUCAAUAGUCCAUCAACGAAAUUUUGUAACAUCAAGGAAGUGGUUCUGCUAUUAUUCCACUCUGUUCAAUUUCGAAAUGUUACCCAUUCAUGUGAGUUUAUGUUUCUGGUUAGAACUUGAAGCACGGAUACAUGCACACAAGAACAAAGAAAAUACAAGUACCAAAUACAUGCACUUCGAAAACAUUCUCUCUCUAACUGCCAGAUCUGGUAAUCGAUCGUUCCCAUAUGAUACGAGGAAUGAUCCCUUCGGUUUUCAACAAUCAUGAAGACCUACUUCCAGCAAGAUCCUCUAAAGUAAGAUUCAGGGUGUCCACCGAACCUUUCCUCACCUCCUCUCCUCGUGCUGCUAACAGAUCUUCCACACUACCAGGCUCCCCAAACCAACCAAGUCGAUCUGCAAUGAGAUGGAGAUUACUGCAACCUCCGCAGCGAACCACCACCACUCCCUUUUCAAAUGACUCACGGCAGAGAGUCUUCACAGAUCUGGUCUCGCAAACCUUGCAUGUAAAGAUCAUGGCAAGAUCAUGCCUCUUGGAUGCUUUUAAGUUAGAGAAGGCUGUAUACUUCACACUGGACUCCUUAGCAAUAGGACUAAGCCCUUCAGCCAAGUUGGAGACCUGUUUUGAAUCAUCCUGGCAAGAUUUCAGGUCCCCAGCAUCUUCACUGGCUGUAUCUGUAAAUUCUGCCUCUGUUUGGAUAUCUCUAAUGCCUUUCGUUAUGUGGGCAGACCAAGCAAGUCCUGCAAUAAUGGUAAGUUCUAUCAUAUUGGCUUCAAAUUAUAUGAAAAUCAACUACACUGCAAAACAGAAUCAUUCGGAAAGUGGUAUGCAAGACCCGGAUACGCAUACUGUGGAAGGGAAAGGAAAAGGGUGUCGAACUAUUCAAGCAGCAUGAUGUAAAACAGAAGUCAGGUGCUGUUAAUUUGGAAAAGUCGUGAGAGUUACCCUGCCGGAAUAUUCAACCUAGAAUGCUGCACAAGUCAUGAUGCAAAAUGAAAGUCAGAUGGCUGUUAAUUUGAAAAUGUCAUGAGGGUUUCUCUACCAGAAAAUUAAACCUUGAGUGCUGCACCUGCUUCAGGCUCCUAUUACAAUUUCCUAAUGCUUCGUACCCCUUUUGUCCACUCAUCUUUUAUUACCAAGUAAUGGUGCACACGCAAUACUUAGUUAAGGAAUUCAAUCGUAUAGGCAGGGUUAUAAUUCACCAUGUACACUUUUCUUAUUAUACCACCAACCCAAUUAGUUCUAGCACUCAAACAUUAUAUCGGCAAAUUAACCUCAUCUGUGAUGUUGUCCAAAAGGAAGAGUGAAAUGAUCAAGGUUGCUAUUACCACUUCUUUUGAAUGACAGCUACGUACUAAAAUUUACCAUUACUGAAGAACCUUCAACCAAACUUGUGAAGACACCAAAGUAAGAUGGAGAGAACGAAGGAGCAAACUAAAAGAGAGUGAUGCUGAUUUAAAAGUUGAUUUAUUAAUAUGCUAGGCAGGCCAAACAUCACGGUUGCCUUCUUGUUUGGGUUACUGCUAAUUAAUGGUAAGAUUUAUACAUACAAAAAUAAUCUGUAAAUUAAUUUAUUAAUUUUGUGAAAUUAUGUGAUUACUGCAAGAGGGAGUCCUUUUCCUUUACAAAGAAUAAAUGAUGACCCUGACUUCAAGACAUAUCCUGGGGACGUUUUCCACAAAUUUGAUGGUUCUUUUGAAGAGCUUACAGUUCACAAAGGGAGCUAUAUUCUUGGUCAAAUAUGAUGAAACACAGUAAACCCUCCUUCAUGUUGCUUAUGCCGAACGAUCACAUGAACUUCCCAUCCAAUAAAUUCCUCCCAUUAGUAUCUUUGUUUCACACUUCAAGAAAGGAUUAGGGAACUAAUGUUUAUUCUUGGGCUAGAAUUACAAAGCCAUCUGACUUGGGCUCCCACUGGCAUUUUUGUUUCACACUUCAGACAAGGAUGAGGGAACUAAUGCCUGUUCUUUGGUUGGAAUCACAAAUGAAGAACAUAAUCCACCGUUCUAAGCUUUGUUAGCAUCGAACCUGAAUCUGAAUUAGGCCAAAGAACAUACCCCAUCAAUCUAAUGUUUGCUGGCAUCAAGCCUAGAUCCUCCUCAAGAUUAUUCCAAGGAAGGCAUAAUUUUCAACAUUAAAAAAAAAAACAACCAAGGUGACGAAAACUGAAAGUUUGAGAACAGAAAAGAACUACAAUAAAUCUAAACAUGAAGGUAAUGAAUUUCUAAAAGCUUUUUUGUCUUCCAUUGGACACCCCCCACCCAAAAAAAAGAAGCUUUUGUAUCUACCGUUCUUAUAACUAUUCACCAAUCCACCAAAGAACGCUUUUGACCGAAAUCAAACAACUAUGAAUAAAAAAGGGACCUUAAUUUCAAUUCAAGAAUGUAACUUUUUAAUAGAGAAGAAUGAUUGUAGAUCUUGAUGAAUAGCGCAAGAAUAGAUGCAAGGUUGGGGAUGACAGGAGUACCCUCGGAAACGAGGGGUUGGAGUCGAUCUCGGCGGAGAAGGGAGGCGACCCGCCCCUGGAGGAGACGAACGGCGGCCAUGGGAGCCUUCGCCGGAGUUCCCAAAACCCUAGGUCCCUAGGCCGCACUUUGCUUCACGAGGUCGAGUCGAGGCCUGGCAUAUCUCCAAAUGUUGGACCGUCCGGUCUUGGACUUUGGGCCCAGCCAAGGCCCGGAUAAAUGAUUGGUCACACUAAUAUUGGAAGGUUUCGUCAACUACCGGGCUCCGGGCCUGAUGUAGCAGGUGAAGAAGUUAGGCUCUCGAAUAGAAAUAAAAAUAAACAACUCCUAUUCUAACCAUUUAAUUAGAAAACAUUCUAUUCCCAUUCCGAUUUUAAAAAAAGUACGAAUGCCCUAAUCUCUCCAAAACUCAAUUUUUACUCUCUCCUAGUAUUCAAAUUCCUUUCGGAUUCUCAUUCCGACUCCAAUCACAAACCAAACAUGUCGAAAAAUAUGGCCAUUCCAAUUUUCAUUUCAAUCCAUUCUGAUUCCGAUUACGAACUAAGCGCGUCUGAUAUGAUUUGAAAGGGUUAAUGAGAUCUGGUAAGUGCUCAUGCUAGAAGAGAAAUCAAUGAACCCAUCUGAAUGCCUUACUUGUUGGUGAAUGAAGUGGCGAUAAAUAAUAGUUUCUAAAGCAAAAAAAAAAAUAGCCAAUCUACUUUAGACAAGCCCAAGAAGAAUGUUAUAAUCUAGAUAAGCUCCAAAAUAAACUAUGAAAGUCAAACACUUGGGCAACAAUAUAUAAAGAGGUGAUGUAAAUGUAGGCCUAUGCAUAUAUACAAGAUUGGCUGGUGAGGUCAUUGGUGGGCAUGCUGGACAACAUUCUCCACCUCGUUGGUUAUCUAGUAUUAAUCAGCAUUUUUUGUUAUAUUUGAUGAAUAAGCUCAAAAAAAAAAAAUACCCUCCUCACCUCUCUCGAUUUACAUGCGGGUCGAAGUAGCAGGUCUGGCCCGAGGUUGAGUUGUUCCCCCGCCCACCAAAAAAAAGAACGUCUAUUUAUCCGUAACCCUAGUGCCAUGGAUGCAUCAUAAAUCUAAUCCCAGCUCAAAAAAACAGUGACAUGUUCAUCUGCACUCCAAUCCUUGACAAGGUUGAUUCAAGUGUUCUCUUCAAAACCUCCUAGCAGUCCGCAUUCCACCUAAUCUCAUUUAGGUUUGAAUAACCCAAAGGAAGCUCUACUAAAUCUAGUGCCCAGUCUCCGUCUAUAGUACAUUGAAAAAUCCAUGGCCAUGAAAACAACUUCCCUCGAGGAAUGGAGAAAUGCGUAGAAUGAAGAGUGUCAGAGUGCAUAAAUCCAUGGCCUGAACAUUAUGGCGUUGCUCUGAUUUCUUCAACCAACCAUCCAUGAAGAUAAGUCAGUCUCCGCAUCGAUCAAGUCAUGGAUGCAGAUGUAGAAAAUAAAAAUGUGGCAUGCGGUCCUCUUAGUCAAUAGUCAGUAGCAGUUCUUCAUUUGUGGCCUCUUGUUUGGGGCAAAGUCUUACCAUAGACUAUGUGUAUAAGCCAACCGUCUAAUCUGAGAUUAAGCAUGGAUCGCAAAGUAUUGUGUAGCUAUAGAUGGCCUCCAUCAAAAGAUGGACGAUCAUCACACAAAGUAGCCUACCAGUAUAUACCAUAUUAUACAUGACACAUGUUGUUUGAUAAUCGUCCUUGUUCCGAUAGCAGCCAUCUAGAAAUACCAGCACUCUACAGUGCAGUUCGUGCACUACAAAGGAUCCUGGUGGGAUUCUAUAAGCCUACACUGGGUAUCAGGGCUUUUCUACCUACUCUUUGCACUCGCCUCCCGAAACCCCAUCAUAUCUAUGAAUUUUCCGCCGCAAUGAAAAAAGCCAGGUUUGGUGCCUAUCGGUUUUCAGUUAAAUACAAGGAUGGCAUGAGCAAUUGAGCAUUCCAUUAGGCUUCCUCCACUUGCCCAAGUUGUAAUUUUGUACCUUGUGCAUGUUGGGUUGAUUGCAUUACCUAGAGGCAGUUUCCGACUCAAUCCUGGCUAACUAUAUCCCAUGUUAUGGCUAUCACACCAUAUGAUGGCAACGUUGGGCUCUCAAGCCCUUAUCUCUUUCUCCCCUUCUGAGAAGUUUAGCCUAACAGUAAGUAGGGCCAUGUAUACCAGAACACUCUCGACCUAAUUAUAAUCAUAUUCAAUUAGUUGUGCCCUAAUUAUCUUAAGCCAACUUUACAAGUUCUCAUCACGGAGCAUCCUUAUUCCAUAUCUCCUACAAUGUCAUUUCAUGUUUUUCUUUUCAGAUUAAGAUAUCUAUAUUUAUUGGAGCUUUUUUAGAUCUUCCUCAGUUGAUUCCAUGUCACCUCAUCUGAUACAACACGCCAACUAAGUUAAGAAAAAAAAGCCAAAUUUCGAAGCGUCUGACUUAAGGGAUAAAUUGAUUGUUAGCCACAACUUAGAAUGGAGGAGAGAUCCAUUCAAUGUGGGUCAUGAUUUUUAUUCGUACCCAUCAGCUAUCCUUAUCUCAUCAUCUGCCGUGCGAGUCUUGCAAACUUCGCUAUCCAAUUCAUGACAUGACUCCGUUUCCGUACUCAUCUCACCUGAUGGGAAUCAAGCCAAUUCUUUGGCCUAGAAUUGGCCAGAAUUUCGAAGCAAAUUACUCUCCAAACUAAAUGCAAACCACGAUGCAUGUUUAUUUCAAAUUAACUCAAUCAUUUGAAGGAGCCGAUAUCACGGAUAAGGUUGCCCCCCUAUUCAAUUUUGAUGAGCGCCGAAUCAAAUAGCUUUUACUAAUGCCAAUCCAAAGCAGCUGAAUAGAGACAGCUUAAGUGACAAGUCUAUUCAAUUGACUACCCUGACCCACGUCAACUGACUUCCCUGAUUUCACCAUCCCUUAAGUCACUCUCCACAUCUAUUUUAUCCUGGAUUGAAGAAGAUAAAAGGUGGCAGGCCCCCUUUCCUUGAUUUUUUUUUUAAAAAAAAAUUAAAUGUACCAGAAGAUGAGCCUGAUAAUGUGGCACAAUCGGAUUCAUCUAGAUCACAACUGAUAUGGCAAUUGAGAUAUAUUCUGUAACUCCUUGAUAUUAUCAGGCCACGUCAAUUCUAACCGAUCCGAGAGUUAGACCGAAUAAUUGUAAGUGACUGACCUCUGAGAUCAGACAUCGUUCGAUGUAUUGGAUGAAGUCUUAUAGUUUGGCUGGAUAACUAUUCAGCUUGGCGAUUAUCCCGAGCCGACCUGAGUUCCUUUAUGUCGAUCAGCAAGUUCAACACUUACAUCAUGCUGAAAGUUUAGAUUAUAAUGAUGGCCCUCGAUAGUCACAGUGCAUACUAGACAGCUACACAACAUGAUUUUAGGUGGUUAUAGCGUAUCUUGAGAUAGUUACAAUAUAAUUCUGGACGGUUACUACACAUCUCUCAACAGUUAUCAUACGAUAUUAGUUUGUUACAACAUAACCUUCAUGUGAUAUCGGAUCCCAUUGCUAUAUAUAGAUCCAAAACUUUUGCAUAAAAAAAACCCAUUUUCCGAAUACUGCUCAAGUUCCGUCUCUUUCCUAUACCAAAUACUUUUUUUUUUAUUUAAGUAUAGGAGAGCCCGACUGAAACCAACUUCAACAAGUUCUAUGAUAUAUUGCUAUUUUGCAAACUGCUAUGAAAUGUUGUUAUUUUGGAAAUCGAUGGAGGCGCUCCAUGUCAGCAAUUUGGAGAUCAACAGCAAUAGGAAGGAAAACCAUCCAAAAUUUAAUUAUCCAGUCGAAUCCCCCUGGUGCACCACCUAUGACUCAAAACCAUCAAUAACAGCUCCUCAUCUUUGGCCCCUGAGUUCUGUAUCAAUUGCUGCGAGAUUUAGGAUUCCAAGCAGAAGUUAUGUAUCAAUAAUGCCUAGACUCCAUGGAGCCGCAGAGACUUGAGGCAGGAGGAAGCCCAUCUUCUAAUUUUAAACCAAAGCAGGAGGAACCUCCUCCNNNNNNNNNNNNNNNNNNNNNNNNNNNNNGGAUCCCCCUAGACCCCAUCAACCAGCUAAAAAGUAGACCAGCCCAAUAAUAUUCAACCACAUCAUCUGAUUUUCCACUGAACAAAAUAAAAAAUAAUAAUAAUAAAGCUACGAACUCCAUUCUCUUCCCUCCGCCAUGGAUUCCGACGAUACAUUCGAAUAUGAAAUCCAGUCCCGGAAAUACAACAUUCCACUUUCCUUCCUCGCUCCUAGAAUGGCUCAAGGGUUCGACGCCUGAAGAACAUUACCACCAACACCCCUGCACCCUCUUUCUCUGCCUCUCUCUUUUUGUGUCUCUUCUCUCCCACGGCUCCGGCAGAAAGAUCCCCAACCAUUCUUACCCCUUCUUUCCCUCCUUAGAGGAACCUUGAGUUAUUGAUCGGAGCUCAUCAAGAACGCCAAGCCCUCCUCUUCCACUUAUUGUACAAGCCCCAUGCAUUCACACAAUUAGAGGAUUAAUUCAAUCCUCCAUUGGAGAUUUGAGUAGGGUUCGGGAUCAAGACGGGGGUGAUGCAAUGCAUGCAGUCUAGUAGCACUGAUAGACCCACCCUUCUUCUCUCAAAAUCCCAACCUACCCCAGAUCGCCACUUUUCCCAUUUCUUUGCUCCCUUCGUUGCCGGGAGGCGUGGCGGCGGAGCAUCGCCGGCGAGGGGGCGGUCACAACUGGUCAUCAUCCUCGUCGAUGAUAUCGAAUUCGUCAAUGCAGUCAUCAACUACAGUGUUGAAGACAUCGUUGUCGGUGUCGUCGAGGAGGGCAUAAGAUUGGAGGAGGAACCGUCGAGAUAAAGAAGCCCUAGGGAAGGGGUAGGAAGAGAGGCUGGAGUGGAGGAUAAAGAAGGAGAGGAGCAGGAAGAGGAGGGCGAAGUGGUGACAACGAUUCAGCUGACGCCUUGGGUGGCGAAGAAACGGGCCAUGUCGACCAUUGGGAUCGUGAGGCCAGGGCUCGUCAGGGGGAAGAAGAGCAUGGAGAGGACGCCGGCGGAGGUGGAGACUCGCCGGUGGAGGCCGUGGUAGUCGGAGCCCUCGAGCCGUUCUAGGAGGGAGGAGGGAUCGUCAUCGAAAUCCAUGGUGGAGGGAGGGGAAGGAAAUGGGUUUCGUUUCUCUCUUUUUUUUCAAAAAAAUAUUUUUUUAUAAUUUAUUUGAUAAAAAAAAUUAGAUGAUGUGGCAGGAUAUUAUUGGUCUAGUAUCCAACUAAGUUGGUAGACUCCGCCUACCUAAUAAUUUCGCGUUAAAGGUGCCGCUUUUUUUUUGGCUUUCCAACGCCAUGAGCUGCCUCCAAGACUCCCUUUACCCCAGCCGACGUCUUGCAGCUUCUGCAUGUUGGUGGUGGGCAAGGUUAGGCAACAGGUAGUUUCAGACCGGUCCUUACAGGGGUUAUCUCGGCCCAAGGUAAAGUUAUCCCGGUCAUGUUUGAGUUCUUGAAACAGAGUGCAGGAUGUUUUGAAUUUAGAACCAGACUUGAGAGGAAAGCAGCGUAUCGAUACAGGACUCAUUGUAACUUGUCAGAAAAAGUUCUUCUUUUUUUUCUUUUGCUAAAGAAAAAGUUCUUUCAACGUUCAAAAAUAGAGUACCACGAAAAUUCUUUUGCUAGCAUCUGAGGAUCCGGUUGGCUCGCAAGCAAUUGGCUAAGCUCCGCAAAUUCUUUUCCUUUUUCAGUCAUAAGCUGAUAUGUAUUUUCUAAAAUGUUAAAUACACUCCGAUUUCAAUCGCACUCAUUUUUUUUUAAUUUUUCACUAUUAGAAAAAUUAACAUUUUAAGUCCUUAUUGAUCAAUUUCUCUUUUGUUAUGAUCAUUUAUAAUUUUAUUUUAUUUUACAUCUUCUCCAUUUAAUAUUGCUACAGAGGGAGGUCCCCAUUUCAACCUAAUUAGAGGAGAUCUGGGACCAGCGAACUCGAGUGGAAGCAGUGUCACGUAUGACGCCACGUGCACACAUCCUUCACGAAGCUGUGGACUUGUUUCAGGAAACAUCUGGGCGUUUACACCUGAUCCCCGCACCGCCGAGGCCAACCCUUUUGUCGCCUCGAUCUCCUCCGUUCCCGUUCCUGCAAACUCUACCCCUUCUCCCUUCCCUCCUCCGGAGUCCUAAUUCGACGAGCAGAUCGAUUCCUCUAUGAUUUCGAGGCCUCAUCCCCUCCUCCUCCUCUUCUCCUCCCCCUCGUCCCAUGUGCAAGACCCGACGCGCCGCCGCGGCCUCCGAUCCCAUGCCCAGGCGGUCGUCCCGCUCCUCCGCCAGCUUCCCGGUCACCGACUCCGGUAGCUACCACCACGCCACCACCUCGUCCAUCACCUCCUCGUGGGCCGUCUCCGCCGACUCCAAGGCCUCCUCCUCCCCCUCUCUCGCCGCCAUCCGCGACUCCCUCCCGGAGACGCCCACACUGUACCCCUUCUCCGAGAUCAGCGCCGCCACCAACAACUUCCUUGCCCGCCACCUCGCCUCCGCCUCUUCCUCCUCCUCCUGGCGAUGCUCCCUUCGCGGCAAGGACGCUGUCAUCUUCCAGCGCCCCUUCCGCGGCGACCCCGCCGGCCUCCCCGCCCGCCUCGCCGCCGUCUGCAAGAGCCACCACAGCAGCCUCGUCCGCCUCCUCGGCGUCUCCCUCGCCGGCGACCACAUCUACCUCGUCUACGAGUACUCCCCCGGCGCCACUCUCGCGGCGUGCCUCCGCAACCCCCGCAACCCCAAUUUCACCCCUCUCUCCUCCUGGAUGUCUCGCAUCCAGGUCGCUGCCGACCUCGCCCAGGGUCUCGACUACAUCCACCACCACUCCGGCGUCAUCCACAAUCGGAUCAAGAGCUCCACCGUCCUCGUCACCGAGCCCCAUUUCCGCGCCAAGUUCUGCUACUUCGGCGCCGCGGACCUCGCCGGCGAGGUCCCCGCUACGACCAGCGCCGAAGACAAGGAGGAGGCGGCGGGGGAGAUCUCUCCCUCGUCCCCUCCGUCUCGCAAGAUGAAAAGAUCGGGCAGCCGCCGGAUGAAGAUCGAGGGGUCUAGGGGGUACAUGGCGCCGGAGCUGCUCGCCGGCGGGGACAUCUCGCGGCGGUCCGACGUGUACGCCCUCGGCGUUGUGCUCCUGGAGCUCCUCUCCGGCGACGAGCCGCUCAAGUACCGGUUCGACGAGGAACAGAAGGACUUGCACAGGGUCUCCCUCAUCGAGACGGCAAGGAAGACCAUCUGGACGGAAGAGGACUCCACCGAGCAGGAUCGGCGUUGGAGGGUGCGGCGGUGGGUGGACCGGAGGCUGCGGGACUCGUACCCGGUGGAGGCGGCGGAGGAUCUGAUGCGGGUGGCGCUGCGGUGUGUGGAGCCGGAUGCGGCGUUUCGGCCGGACAUGACGUGGGUGGCCGGAAAAGUAUCCAAAAUCUUCUUGGACUCCAAGGCGUGGGAGGAGACGGUUAGGCUUCCGGCGGACUUCUCGGUGUCCAUAGCUCCGCGGUGAGGAUUAGCGUCGGAGACCGCGGUGGUGGCCAUGGAUAUUGACGGGAGUCACGCGACCGGACGAAUUCCCCCAAUUUUUUAUGUUGGUAUUUUUGUAAUUUUGUGUUCAUAGGAUUAAUUGUACCCUGGAAGAGCAGAGAGCUGACAAAAGGUUACACUGAUAAGAAUUUUUUUGAUAUGUUUAUGAUUUAAUUAAUUGACAUGUGAUCGGCCACAUCAUUACCAUCUAAUAAAAAUUGCGUUCAUCAAAGCAGGUUCCUAAAGCCAGUCUCAACCUAAACGAAAACCGAAUCGGAAACCUAAUGGGCCAGCCUUUAAUUUCCGGAUUCCCAGUUGGGCCCAGUUUACUAAUUGCCAACAAGAACAUGGGAAGAUGUAGGCUGAGGCCUUCAAUUAAGCAAGCCCAAUUUGGACGACAAGUAGUUGAUGGCCCAAACCCGGCUCGAACUACUUGAAUUCUCUAAAGAAUUCAUGACACAAAAUAUCUGGGGAUCGAUCUCAUGACUGCAUCUUGAGUAUAGAGAACUUUCUUUCUUUCUUCUUCUCUUUUUUUUUUGUUCCUCGAGCAAGAAAUCAGGGGGAAAAAAAGAUCUGUAUUUUGUUUAAAAAAGACCAUUUGGGCGGUUUGUAUGUACUUAUUAUUUUUAAAAUAGAUCUGCAUAUAUAUGGCAGCGGGGAAACAAAAGAAAAAGAUAAUUUUAAAAAAUAUAUACAGGUUAUGGAUUUGCCACUGGCUUGUACAUCACGCGGUGUCAUAGCUGGGCGUACCGUGGGUUUGUGGGUGUCACACCAACACAAGUGGAUGGGAAAGCUCCGGAUGGAGGUGUUUGGGCGUCACACCAGCACAAGUGGAUGGGAAAGCUCCGGGGGGAGGGAGGGAGAAAUAAAGAGGAAUGGGAUGCAGGUGUUUGGGUGUCGCACCAACACAUGUGAAUGGUACGUAGAACCGGGAUUAAGCAGGAUGGCGGUUGUUUUUAGAUGCUGAUGCCUUUUUUUUUUAACUUUUUUGAGGCCAAUCAUACAUUUGAGAAAUAGGUACCUCUCUUUUGUCACCAUGAUGCAUUGUGUAUAACACCAAUAACAUCUUAUCGAUUCUAUUUUCAAGAUAGGUGAUAUGGUUGCUAUCCGCAGUAGUAUAGAGCCCUAUGAUGUAAAAGCUAGAGCUCAAGUUGGACAUUUUUUUUUCUGGGUAGAAAAAAAGGGGUAGGAGGGAGGAAAGGACAAGUCCGCCCCCGAGUAGCAGCCUCACUGAGCGCCCGCUCCGCCAGGAGAGUGUUCGAUGCGGGCAGAAGCUCAAGUUGGACAUUCAGUUUAGUUUUUUACUUGGGUUGGACCAAGGAAGUAUUGGAGGAGAGUUGAAGCUAGGUAUCCCCGCUUCUCACCUCCGUCUUGUAGCCCAAAAUCAUCAUCAACAUAUCUUAUUCGUUAAUUUCUCAAAUAAAAAUAUUUUUGUUUUGAAGUAGUUGGACAGGAACUGCAAGUGGUGAUGAUAACAAGACCCGGGACGUGAUAGCUGAAGAAGAUGUUCUCCGACAUCCGAUUCUCCCCGUAACGAAUGACAAAAUGGAAAACAAUUAGAUUCUCGAAUUCCAGCCCUCACCCAUCCCUAAACACGGUGAAGUUAGUAGGUCAAUCAAUAAUUCAUCCAGAAAAAGGCGAGGAGAGAGGAGCCUGUGAUCCCUCGGAUGGCAAGCCAUGCAUGUUUCCCAGCCUCACGUCACUACAGUAACCUUAGCCCACGCCUACUAAAAGCUAUAAUUAUAUAUCACAUCUAAUGCAUCAACGAUGGGCCACUCGCAUCCACUUGUCAAGGACUUUCUUAAGCAUGUGAUGAUGAGGGAGAUUCUUGGGCGGCGGAUUACAAAUAUUAUACAUAGCAAGUAUAUUUACUUGCCUUGAAAUUGUUAUUUCAUAAAAGGUGAUAAUCGACUAUGCUAUGGGUCAUCUUACACAGCUAUAAUUUUUUUUGUUUUAUAUUCAACGAAGAAGUGUGUGACGGAUUACAAACUAAAAGUUACGGCAACUGCCGCAUAUUCAUAGAAAACUCUCUCCAUGAGCAUGCAAGACAUCUUAUCAUGAUAUCAUAAUCAGAUAGUAGCAACAAUUUAAAUAAUAUCGUUCAAAUUCUAAUUAAAUAAUACAAUUAAAAGUCUUACAAAAUCAAAAAUAUUUCAAAAUCUUGCAACUACUCUAAAACAAGAAUAUUACUUACCUUGCAAUUACAAUCCAACUAGUAGAUCUAAUUAAUUCCGAAAAUCCUCCUCGAAGCCUAAUAUUUCAAAAUUUUACAUUUUAUUAGAAUUUCAUCAUCAAUUAUUUUAAAAAUAAAAUUUCUAAAUUCCAACACCAUUAUAGGGCUGAUUAAACAAGAAUGCCUAACAUUCAGGCCGGUUUGAUCAAGGUGAUUUCAUCGAAUAAUGCUCGAACUAGGGCACAUAUGGUUCAACAACGACCGAGAGUGAUCAAAUCUAACAAUAUUUGGCAAGAAUCAGGUGGGGGUUGACACAUUGCCUGAUGACCUUGUAUCAGGUCCUUCACCUAGGUUGAUCCAGAAAUUACUAAGAGUUGUACUUACGGAGUUCAAUCAACCCUAAAGAGAGAAAGUCUAGAUAGAGAGAGAAACUUUGUAGAGAGAGAAGUAAGAAAAAGAAAUGGUGGAAAAGAGAUAGAAAAGAGAAAAAACAAGCUUCUCUCUCUACCAAGGAAGAUGAAGGGAAGGAUGUGGCUACAAGUGAUGCUAUGGGUCAAGGACUCAUGGCCGAGCAACAGACGGCCAACAGCGACUAAACCAUGAGAAACAGGGAUUUCAACCUUUUAAAUCACGAAAUCAAGGUGUUCCGAUAGUAGAAACUGGAGCCAAGGCUACAACCUGCUGCGGAGGAACAGAGGGAAGCCUCAAUGAGAAGAACUGUCGGUGGAACAUGCCGGAAUCAAAAUAAAAAAAAAGAAGAGCUUGCUUUCCGCAAAAAGGAGAAACUGCAGCUUUGCCACUUCUCAUCCAAAUUUCGGUGAUCAUCAGCCAAAAUCAAGCUUUCAAGGAUUUCUUCCCCGGCUUUCGGCGACAGUGGGCCACGGUGGUGGCGCUGACACAGUCGACAAUUGCGGAAGAAAUCGAAAAGAAAUCCUGCGACUAAACUCCAAUUGGGACUGGCUUUCUAGCGAGGAAGGUGGGGUGGAGCUUAUAUAGAGCGGAUACUAGGGUUUCCUAGUCUUCGGUAGAAUUCGAGGAGGAGGAGGACCAUCGUGCUUAACAAGGGUGGUUCUUUUUCGACGGGCCUUCGAAUGCUGGGCCGGGUUAACAGGCCGGCCUAGUGAGGCUAGGCCUCACAAAAUACCUUUAACUGGCGAUAUUUAUUUAUUAUUAUUUUUUUGGUAGAAACCUAGCGAAUUUGUUAAGGUGGAACUCGUAGCUAGGUGUCUUCGAAAGAUAUAAAUUUACUCGCACACUAAGAGGGGGAAAUAAGAUCAUUAACCGAGUUCGGCAAACUUGACUAUAAGUGAAAAUUUUCCAAAAUAGUUAUGGUGCGAGGUCAAAAACUCUUGCCUUCAAUGCAUGAGGAAUGCCCUAAAAAUUGUAGUGUAAGCUAACCAUACAUGUAUGAUAAUUUUUUUUUCUUUAGAUAAAUCUAAUGAUUUAAAUUAAAUGAGAGAAGAUACGUCCACAAGAAUCAGAAAAUAAGAUGUUACAAAAGUGUAUAGGAAGAUCAGUCAAGGAUGCCUAUAAAGUAGAUCCCAUGUGAUUCGCCACAUUAUUCUUGUGCCAUAGGGAAGCCACAAUUGUCAAAUUUCUAACUAUGAUGUUUAAGAUGCAAUUGAACAUCAAUCUGAUGAAUCGAAGCGAACCGAGUCUUUCAUAUCGGUUUCAAAUGGUUCUGAUAGGUGGCCGGCUUAGCUUUGGUUUUAAGAAACCGAUUUAUACAUAACUCUAGUGAUAUACUUAUUCCAUGUAGUUUUCUAUUAUGUCUGUCGUGUCACAUAUAUAUUAUAAAUAAUCUGAUUGCAGGGCCGUAUGUAUCUCCCCGGUGCUGCCCGAGCUCUGAACUGAAAUCUAAAUAAUUAGCAUGCAUAGCUCUUGUUUAAGGAGCAAGUACCGGAGGAGUGCACCAAUAACUGCAGGUCUCCGCAGGCAUGGAUGUUCCUCUCACGUGAGCUGACUGCUUUACAAUGACCUUCGUCAAAGAUCAAUGCAUCCAAAACCGAGCAAAGGAUGCCGGACGUCCCACUCGAGGGCCCUUGGGAAGCACAAACUCUUCCACAAAUCUUUAAUCUAAGCAUCGUUUUCUCGUCUAAUGUUAUUUCCGGGAAGAGGAACUGUCCGGUUUGACGCGACCGUACCCUGAUGCCCAGAACGAAUUUUAUGCAUUUCCGGGCACCAUUAAGCCUUCAUUCUUUAAUAAGAGCUGCUUCAAGCCUUCUUUAACAGAAGGAUAAUCCCGGUGUGUGCAUGUGUGUGUGUUUUGAAGCUUGAAGAGCAGAGUUUUCCAAAUGGAAGAAGUAAUAUUCUAAUAUUCUGCUUCUAAAGUUGAAGGCAUUUUCAUUUUGUUUGGAUUAGAAAAAUAGGCAAGCCAGCGGGAUAAGAAAAUAAAAUAGCUGCAUGAAUGACCAGCCAUGGAGUUAGAAAAGCUUAGGUCAAUUGUCUGCAAUAAUUAAAAGGUAAAUUCCCAUCAUCCAGGUCGACGCUUACUCUGAAUUGAUCAUAUUAUUCCUGUAUAAUAAUGAAGUAGGAGAAUCAAACAUGGUGGGGACUAUGAGGAUAAGAAUCGAAUGAUAUAGGCCGGUUUGAUUUUUUUUUAAGGUCGCAUGGGUUGAUUAACUUGACAGACAACACUUCUUGUUAUUUUAUAAAUACAUCUGCAUCAGCAAAGCCCUUUAUGAGUUUGCUGUUAGAUCCUUACUUUACGAAGUAUCAUCGAGUUAUAAAACGUCAGAUAUGCUCUUCUGUUGCACUAGUCUUGAAACUCGAUCAACUCUGGACAAUAGAAAAUCAUCGGUACAUUCAAUAUUUUGCUAAGAUGGCAGUGUACAAAUAUACUUUAUGGGUUGUGGAUCAACUUUCAUAAACAAUUAUUCACCGAUAUUUAUUCCUAGCAUAUCGUUACAUGUAUACAUGCAUGGAAACUGUGAUAUUCCUCUUUCCUGAACAGUUGAUGUGCUUUGUAAAUGUGAAUCGAACAAGUUAAAAAUCAUGGCUAAAGCAAGUGAAAUACUUUAUCACUAUAACUGAUUUGAAUGGCAAAAUCAACAUGCACUCCAUAAUGACCGAGAUUCUGAUUAUUAUACAUAACAUAAGGUGGAGUUUUGUUAGGAUCCUUGCAAGAUGUAUAUGCAAAUUCAUAUCAAUUUUGUACUAAGUAGAUUUUAGGUAUCUAUAUAAGAUUAAUAAAUCUAAAUAAUACAUUAGGCUAGUUUCUUUUGGUGAGAUCGUAGAUUGCGACAUAUGGUAUCAAAGCGGGCCGGGUUAUAUUUAUAUAAAUAAAAAAACACUACGAUAUAGAUCUAUUUAUGUUGAUCAUUAACUAAUUGUAGACUUUUAGCUUAACAAGGAUAUUGGAGAUUAAAUUGAAUGAAUAUAUAAGAACUCGUGCAAACGUAUGCUCAGCUCCAUAUCAGUUAUGUACUAAGUAAAUUUUGGUACUUAUAUAAGAUCAAAGAAUCUAAAUGGUAUUUUUUGGCUCUUUUUUUUUAACUAAGAUUCUGAAUUGUUAUAAUUCUUUCUUCAAAAAAAAAAAAAACAUGAUUCAUUAGAUGCUAUAAUCCAGCACUCACCUACUGUGAUGAAUCUUUCUUUAAGAAUAAUAAUAAAAAAAGUUUAAGAUGAAGAAUCUUAAUGCAUGGGUAAGAAAUUUUUGGCUUCAUUAAAGAAGAGUCAACUACAAAUGUGGACAUUACAAGAAUGCACGCCAUUGAAGUUCUCACAGUUGAAGUCCUGACCCGAAAUCGAAUCACUGUUACAGACUGGAGUGAACUCAAAAAGUACACCAUUCUUUUCCAAGAGGGUAAAACAAAAUACCAACACAAAGUAAGUCAGAACUGGGUGCAGAUGUUAAAAAACAAAGAAAGAAAGCCUUCCUCCUUAAAUGCCUCCCACAGCAGAGAGAGAGAGAGAGAGAGGAACGGAUGCGAGUUAUCUCAUAUGAAUGCCGCCCAAUCCCACCCUGUCCCUAUUGGUCGGACCACGUAACGCUACAUGGGCCCCGGAAGACCACCGGACCGUGUCCCAUCUUCGAUGUCUCCUUUCAUCAGAUGACAACACGCAUAAGAUCGCGGCCGUCCAAUCACGAUUGGACGGGCGACUAGCUUGAAACCCUCCAUUCAAGAAGGUCGCGACAAGCUACUCGCAUUAAAAGGUCCGUCUUCAAUCUCGGCCGUCCAAUCAGGUAAGCACCAUUGAUUGGGCGGCUGAUACACACUGAUGGGUUGCGGUGGAGGUUCCUGUUGGGGUUCAUUCAAUGCACAGACAUAGUUGGAUGUCAGAUUACAGAAUCUGCUGUAGCUGCGGGAUCUCGCCCUUUAACUUAAAAUCACGCGGCUCACAUUCCGAGGCACGCGUAUCCGAAUCAUUGCAACCCACACGCAAUUUAAUGCAAUUAUCUCCCUUUAAUUGCCCCAACCCCACCAUCCUAAUUUAAGUAACUCUAAUUCCCCAAUUUUCUCGAUUUCCGAGAUAUUUCCGUGAGUUACUCUCUGACGGAAGAUUUCUUUGCAGGUCUUACCAAAUUCUUCAGUAGAAAUUGAGGCUGGUUGUAAACCAACGACCGUUAACUAGUAAUGUACGACAGAAAGCGACUGAAGGAGGUUAUGCAGUAAUUAUUUGGUAUAAUUAUCAGUGCGAUGGAUUAGAGACAAUUAUAUAACAUAAACAGUAAAAUGAGGGAGAGUAGGGCCUUCCCUAGAAGUAGGCUUUUUUUUGUUUUUUUUUGCCGUUCAUCAUUUUAGAAAUUUUUUUAGACCCAUUUUUAUCUAUUUUUCUAUGUUCAUACAAAAUUAGUAUGAGUUGUUGAGAUAAAAAAAAUAUAUCAUAUAUAUUUAUAUCAAAUUAAAAAAAUAAUUAUAAAUUGGGCUAAAACUUAUUAUUUAAUAAUCGUUUUACUUUUUAGGAACAAUAAUAAGUAUAUUAUAGUCAUUGCUGAAGUAAUUUUUUUUACUUGAUUUUAAUAAAUUAUUAAAAUAAAAAAAGAGAAAGAGAAGAAAUAAAAGAAAGUCCGUACGUGGAGCAGGCCUGAUGGCACCGGCGUCAUCGGUAAUCGGCAAAACCAUUCCCUCCCGCCUCAAGCAAAAGAUCUGGCGGUAGCCGGAGGAAACAACAAAAAGCCCGCGUGGGUUCUGGUGACCGCCCCGGUAAUCCCGGUGCCAGUCCUGACGUCACCUUCUCCCCCGACACCGUACGGCCACUCGAACUCCCCCACGAGACACGGCGUCCUCCAACCAUUCCCUGAAUGCCACGUCACCGAAAACUGCCACCACGACAGCGAUCAGUGGCAGUUGCGUCAAUCCAGUAGACUGCGAGGGGCGGUUCGCAUAUACCUCAUUUCGUAAGCAGCCAGUGGCACGGGGCCGUAAUAAUUACUUUCUGACAUGCCCUUUUCCGGAAUGCGGUUCCGCUUUGUUUCCGGUCCUUUAUAAACGAGGACGGAGAAAAGGAGGCGAAAUUUAUAUGAAAAAGAAAGGAAGCAGAGUUUUUUGUACGAAAAAGAGGGAGCGAAAUUUUCCAGGCGGCACUCACGCUGUAAAACGUAACGGCGAAGCUAUCGGAAGCCGUAACUCUCCGACGAAACCCGGCCGACGCGAGGUAAGUGGUUUUUUUUCUUCCCUUUCAACGAGUUUCUCGAAAUCCCGUAGGUUUUCUCGUUCCGCUCGCUCCGUCAUCGGCGAUCGGAUUUGGUAGAUCGCAAUCUUAUCCGUUGAUUCGUUCAAUAAUUGUGAUUGUCGAGAGGAACAAUACACCGUCACUUGGGAAUAUAUACUUAACGGCACGGAGGCCUUUUGCCGUUAAGCGUUACGGCGAAUUAUAUGGGGGGCUUGGAAGAAAGAAGGAUAACUUUGGGGUUCCCUCAAAAUUUUUUCGUUUCGGUCUAGCUUUUCCUUUAUCGAAAAAGCGGUUUAUUCUCCGCGUUUUGCUCUGUGGUUCGUGCUGUCUACCCAUUCCGCGGCAUCCCUUCCCUCCACGGCGGUAAAAACCAACAGGAUGGAACCAGAAAGAAAUACCGUACCUGGUAAAUAUUUUGCAUGCCCGAGGUAUAAGAUGUAUAAAAUAAAAGGGAAUACUAGGCUAUUUAAUUACUGUUAUACGUAGAGUUUUUUUUUUUUUUACUUGAGGGUUAUAGGUGGAAGAUGGAUGGAGAUGGAGACAGUGAGGACCCGAGAAGGGAGUUUGGUUUGCUUUCUCUAUCUACUGCCUUUUUCCUGGGCAUAUUUUAUACAUUUUAUGUAGGCCUAGGUUAUGGCAUAACCUUCACGCUUCUACUGGUGGCCUCUCUGCCUCCUCUCUCCGGCGAUUCAUCUUCUCUCCUUGCUUGAAAUCCUCGCAGCUUCUUUUCCAGCAUGCUUCUUCGUUUGUUUGUUGUUUACAUGAACAUCUCGAUGCUACUUCUCACAGAAGAAAACUGAUGUCUGCAUCAUCUAAAAUUAUCGCGAGCCUACCAAAAGAGCUGCUGCUGGAAGAUCAACACACAUGAAUUUGAUCGCUGCUCGGCAUGAACAGCUUGAGGCCGGAGCUCCACGUCGCUCAACAAAGCCGCCGCGAAAAGCUCCGGGUUCAGCACAGCCCGUGCCCGCCCGCCGCCCAUCGCGAAUUUCCCGGAACGAACACUCGAAAUUCCGAUCCAAUCCCGGAUCUCGCCCAGGUCCGGGACGUCUACGACCCGGCGUCCGCCAUGCUGGACUUGUCAGCCCGCGCCCAUAAUUUACCGUUGGCCGGCGCGGAAGCAUCCAUGAUCGGUCCGCUGCCGUCAAGCUUUCAUGAAGCGUCCGGGAGCCUCGCCCGUGCCGGCGAUCCCCCGAGCCCGUGCCUCUGGCGAGGGCAGCCGAACUGCGACUGGAUCGUUCCGAGCUUUGUCGCUGCCGGCGGCAGUGGAGCUCCGGAUAUGAUUACAAACCCUUUGGUCUCACCCGGUGUUUGCCACCCGAAGUCCGGCUUCUCGGGGUGUCGGGACGCAUCCAGCGAGCUUUCGAGCCAAGAGAGCCACCAACAGCAGUAUGGGGACUUGCACUUCCCCUCUUCCCAAUUCUACCAUCACGCUCUCCAAGGGGUGGUCACCUCCUCUCCCUCCACCGCGGGCAACCAUGGCCACGAAUUGGCCUCUAUUCUCCAACCCUCAAGCGUUCGCGGGCCCGGCCAGCCGUGCUCGUGGGUCGACGGUGGAAAUGAACUGCUUCUGCUGCUGCCCAGUUACGGUGAGCAGCCGAACACGGUGUGGGCGAGUCGUCCGCCUGCGCAAUGGAACGCGGAAGGAGGUUUUGCACGGGGUAAGGCUGCAGAGGAAUUUAAUACCGUUGGAAGCGAGGGAGGGACGCAAGGUCUGUCGCUAUCCCUCAACCCGGUGGCGGAUCUCCCUGUGGCGCAGUUGGGAGAGAGGUUUGGACUUCCAAAUGAAGCCGGGCACUCCUGCCCGCACCCCAAGUUCUCGAUCUGUGAUAGAGGUUAUGGGGUGUCGCUUCAAGGCAUCGUGAGCUCGUCGGUGGAUGCUCGGAGGGGCGCGGGGCCGCUCGGGCCUUUUACGGGAUACGCCACGAUUCUGAAGAGCUCCAAGUUCUUGAAGCCGGCUCAGCAGCUGAUGGAUGAAUUUUGUGGCUCUUCGACGGGGCCCAAGCUUCUCGAGUAUCGUGAUGAGGGUGGGGGGAGUUGCCAGAUCGCGAGUGCCGAUCAUGGUGAUUCACAGGUCGGUGAGAAGGAGAAUACUGGGAGGGGAGGGAAUCCGGCGGUGUCGUCGUCUUCGUUGCAUAGUUCGAUGGAAGGCGGUGGUGAAGCCGGUGCGAGUGGGGAGGCUUCUCAAAUUCAUAGCCCCGAGAUCCAGCAGAAGAAAGCGAAACUCUUGUACAUGCUGGAAGAGGUUAGUCUUAUAAGAGAUGAGAAUGCUUGCACUAUGUGCGCUGACAGUAUUUACUGCAUGGUAAUUAUUGUUAAUUUCCUACUUAAUUUGUCUGUUAGAAGUAAGCUUAAUUCUUUUUGCAUGUCAAAUCAUAGGCUUUAUGCUCCACUUUUCAUUGUUGCAGCGGUAUAUGAAGCGUUUUCUAUAGUGCUUAGGACUCUUCAUUGAUAUGCUGUGGCAGAUGACUUUGCAUUACUAUUCAUGUCCCCAAAUUGAAGGAUGAUAUGAAUGUCUUCAGAGGCAGAUUGCUGUCGCUUAAUUGGAAUGAUCAUUUUUGAGAUACCUUAAUUAAUUAAGCAGCAUGUAGUUUAUUGAUCUAAAACGAUUUGGUUCCCACUUUAAUGACCACCAUACUAUGGAGCUUUUACUUAAUCUUUUAGGUUGAGUUGAUGCGUAGGUUUUUUUUCUUUCUGUGGCGGGGACACAAUCCAUGUUGUAGCAACCCUAGGGAUCAAUUUUUUCUAAAACUAAUAGAGGCAGUCAUCUUUUUUGUUCUCUUCCAUGCCUCAUAAAUUGAUAAAUGACCUGUAAAUGUGAGUUAAUCCUUUCCCAAAAGUAUGUUAGAUGAACAGUGUUAAAGUGGUCGACAGGUUCUCUCAAUUUUACAAAGAAAAAAAAGAAAACAAUAAAAAAUAUUGUUGAACUUUAGUGAGUGAUAUAUAUGUAUGGAUAUACAUAGAGGUCUAUUUGAAUUUAGAUACAACCAUAGAUGUAAGUAUGUGUUAGGCCAAGUGUAUUUUAAGAUGUGCUGUUGAUUAUUUGAUUCCUGCAAUUCUCUUAGUUUUUUCAAUGUGUCCAGUCUUUGCUUUCUUUCACUCUAUGGCCUCUUCAAUUGAUAGCCUGGUCAUUUAUUUUGGGUAGCAUAUAUGUUUAUUACCUACAAAAAUUUAGAUUUUUCAAAUGUUACCACGCAUAUGCCGUAAUUUAGUUAUAAGUUGGGUAAAGAAAAAUUUGGAACAAAUAUGAUUAACUUUCAAAAGGGUAUGUGAACCGUGUUUAGAAUUAUAAUACAGUUAUUUGUUUCACUUCUUCAGGAAAAUAAGAUUUUUGUAUGUUUUGUCUUGUGCUCCUAGACCACAAGGACCUUUACAAUCUGUGUAUCUCAUCAUUUACUUUAGUUUGUCAAUUUGAUGAAUAGGGCAUACUUUCUUCUUUUUCAUGGUGUUUAGUCCAUUGUUCAACUAUCCGAGCUCUUCCACUCUCGGAGCAACUCUUUUGCUAAUUAGGUAUAUGGUUCUACAUCAGUCACAUUAUUCUUGAAUAUCUUGUUGAUGAUAUCUUGUACCUUUUCCCUUUUAUCUUAAAUUUUUAAUCCAAUGUAAAUCCUUAAACUCCUCAGUUCGGUAUCAUUAAGUUCUCUCAUGCUGUGUUCAGUCCUUGUAUACAUCCCAACUUUCACUAUUAGAAUUAGGCUUUUCAAAAGUUUUUGGCAAACAUGUGAUCCUCCAUAAGCCUUCAGUCAAAUUCUGAAACAAUUUUUAGAGCCUUUGUUUAAAGUUCCGCCAGUUAAUUUCCAGCAAGCCUCCAUUUUUUGCAGUUUAAGCUAAUAUAUAUCUUAAGGCAGAAGCAUUCAAGCGAGUAGAUAUUUUUUGCCUUCUCACAGCCAUAAGCUCCACCAGAUCUGAAUAUUAAUUUUUCCAUACCCAUAUACUAUGUUUAUGGGAAUUCUAAUAAAACUUCGAGUAAUGCAAUUUUUUAGUUGCUUUAAUGCUCAGCACUACAAUUGUGGCACUUAACUAUUUCAAAGAGAACAAGGCUGUAACUUUUUAGCUGCCAUAUUACAAAUGAACCGUUUCAAAUUUGACCCUGAUGCAGUCCAAUUUUUCUGUCUUGCAAAUGGUUUUGAUAUUUUAAUUAUUAGUUAGAAGAGCUCUAGAAAGAUAUUGCAAUGCAAACUUAAUACAGCAUGCAUUUUAUGAAGGCGACACCAGAUGAGGACCUUGUAGCGUUGAUUAGUGAAGAUGGCUUCACAAUGCAAACUCAAUAAUGGGGCGAAAGAGUUUCCUUGAUGGGGUCUUUUUAAAAAUUUCAUUAUUUAUUUUUUAGACUGGAGUUUGUUCAUCGUUAAGAUUAUAAAUCGUGGUUUAUCCUUGCUUGGAAAUAUAUAAGCAUGUCUCUCUUUGGGACAUGAACUAUCUUUUCUUAUACAUGGAGCAUGAUGGUUGUUAUCUCAAUGUAGAUUUAUAUAUUUUCUUAUCCAUGCAGCCUGUCUUAAGCAUGAUGAAGAUGACUGAUGUAGUUCAAUCGGAGUAGCAACUGCAAAAUAAUCAAUUUUUACAUAGCUAGAAAAAAGGAAGUGCACACCAGAAGCUAAAUUUUCAAAACUUCACUUUUGUGGGAUCUCACAAUUUUUUUUUUUUACGCUGCAACUGUAUUAUAAGACAUGAAGGUAGACAAGAAAUCACAUUUUGCCAUUGCAUAUUUAUGAUUAUUAAAAUAGUACGGGCAUUCAUUUGACAUAUGAAUAACUUUGGAAAUAAUAGAAAAUCCAAAGAAGUGAUAAAACUCAAAACUGCACUUACGGUACCAUACCAUCAAACUGACUUUUUUUGUUUCUUGGAAGCAUCUUGACCUUUCAGUUUUAGGAUUCUGAUAGCAUCAUUAAAUUGUUUAUGCUUCUAGAGAAGCUUAAAGCUGUGUUGAAAUUCUUUAGUGAUCAAAUGUUGUAAUUGCUAUUGCGACCGAUUGUUUUAAGUUAUUGAUUAAAGAUAACUGAAUUUGCAUGCCAUUCUUCUGAAACAAAAUUUGUGACUGUAUUUCUUAAUAUAAAGACCUUUCUAGCAAGCAAGGUUGCCAUCUCAAAAGGUUAUUUGACUUUAUGUUCUUCAAUUUUGCAUCUCCAAAGUGAACACAUGAUGCCGUGCUAAGAAUAAUAGAUAUUCAAGCUGGCUUUCUGUGAAAUUUAAUGUAUUUUACAUAGGUCGGGUGGAAGAUAUGAGAUAGCUAUUUAUGUUCGCCAUGAGAUUAAUUAGUUAAGUGAGCAAUGUGUCCCUUUUUAGGUACCUCAACUUCUUUGUGCUCUAUGGUUACUGAAGAAGUUUGUUCCUAUGAAAAGAUUAUUAGAGUAAAAGCUCCAAAAAUUUAUUUUCAUGAACGAAAAUUAAAUUAUUGAUGUGAAGUUGUACCAGACAGGCCUUAUAAAUGCUGGGUACAGUGUCCGUCAUUUAUGCUUGCCUUUUCUUAGUAAGUCACCAGAGAUAUGAGCUGACAACUUGGCAUUUCUGAUGCAAGUUGAUGAGCUAAGUGCAAAUUUAUAUGGCAUGGUGAAAUUGUACUUGGUCCAGUCAAACCCCAGUAACAAAAUAUCGACUUGACCGUUGUACCAUGUAAUGACAUUUGAAAGCUGGGUACAUUCUGUUGUAUGGUUUGACAAUUGAAAUUGAAAUUUGUUUUAACAGUUUAUGCAUUCAAGUUUUUUGCCCGUGGUGUGAGAAAUGCUUCAGCAAGAAUUUGCUAUGAUAAAGUAUAAAUAAUCUCCACAGGUUAGGUUUUGAAAUUUAUCAUGAAUUCCGAACCUUUUACAUAGGAGUGGUAUUUGGCCCUUUGCUCCAGUCAGUAGUUCAGAAAAUGAUUUUUACUCCAGGUUUCACUAGUAUUUUUACUUGUAAAGUUAGUAACAAAGGUGGAAAAAAUAUAAAGCCAUGCUUGUUUUUUCGAGUUCUAAGUAUGACAUGGCGCAUUCAAUAUUGUAUUUUGUUCCAUAUUAGAUUGGAACAAAGCCUAAAAUGAUCUAAUAUUCGUUAUGAAUUGACUAUGGUUGGUUUACCAAUGAUGAUAGUGAGUGUUCAAAAAAAAUUAAAACAAAAAGGGGCUUUUGAUGAUGCAAUAGAGCAUGCUUGUUCAUAUUGUAGUCAACCAGUUUUUGCAUAACUUUUCAUGGUUACUUUUGAAAAAUUUUGCAUGAAGUACUGGUCUCAUAUACACUUCUGAUCUCUUGACUGAUUCCAGUUCUUCAGUGUAACUUAAAAAUUAAAAUAUCAAUUCAAAUCUCUUGAAAUUUCUUGCAGUAAUGAUCUAUUAAAUAAAAUGCUGUUAUUAGAGAUGGUAAGUUUUGGUUCACCAGUAUUGUUUGUUAAUGUGCUAAAUUUUCAUGGUGUAAGGUUGAUUGCCAUCAUGUGGGUGAUUUAUCUUGCGAUGCAAAAGCAUGUAGCUAAAUGUAACCCUCUUUAUCAUGUGAUAUCUUUUUCAUUGGGGGCAGAGAAUUUAAAACAUUGAUUUCAUCUAUUUUUGGGCGCUGGUGAAUCUGGUAAGGGCGCUAGUUAACUUAUCCUCGUUUGUUUACUUAUUCUAACAACAAAACAUUAGCAAUUUAGUAUGCAGUUUAAAUGGAAUGGUUAAUAUCUCAAGUUGCUAGUAGAAUAUGCCUAGAAAAUUUGUUAAUUUUUAAAAUGGGCAUGGCUGAGUUGAGAAUGCUGGUUUGGUUACAUGGAGAAGUGGGUAAGACAGACAUAGACAAGACAGCAGUAAUGGAAGAUGGCUGAUGUUUGCUCUGGAAACUGAAAAAGGAAAAAGAGAAAGUCCUGGGAUGUAAGCUUAUGAAUUGCAUUAGCAGAGGUGGAAUUGAUGGAGAAUUAACUGGUAUAAUAUUGUCUUCUGCCCUGGAGACGAGAAGAGACGCACUUGUUGUAGAAGAUUAGGUAUACCUGGAAGUAUGUGAAAAGAUAAUAUUGUCAUAAUGAAAGCUGGCUGGAGGUUCUAAAGAUCGGUUUUCUUUGAAUGAAAAUUUGCUCUUAAGGUCAUGAAUGACAAAGAAGCAUUUAUAACUAUGGUAGAGAUAAAAUGUGAGGUAGCUGCCAUGAUUUGCUCAAAAAAGAUAAUGGUAGAGAUGAUAAAUCAUAGCGACUAUUGGUUCUUGUUAGAUUUCACUGUGCUCAUGCUUGUAUGUUAAUAACUUUUUAGUGAAAAUAUCCGAGAUGUUUUUAUGAUACUUAGCGUAAGCUUGCUUAACAUAGUUAUGAUUUUUUAAGGAAAUUUAUAGUUAUGCUUUAUGACUAUGCUUUCAUUUGUAUCAUAAACACGUUGCUUGCAAUACUUUGGAGAACCAGAGAAGUUUACAUCUCAAGAUGCCAAUCAAACUUUAUAGUUUGAUUGAAAUUUGCUCGUAAAGGAUUUCUUGGUUGAUCUGCAGGCAGUUGCAGAAUGUAAGAGGACUAAACUGUGUUUCGAAAUAUUUUGUUCCACUGGUCAACUGUAUCGUAUAUGGUUCUUAAGAUGCCAUGCAGAUCAUCAUGUCAGCUCUAUUGUUAUUGUUGAUUGGAAUAUUUAAUCUCCUUUAUCUUAUAAUAUUUGAGAUAGUGACGACAUGUGGUGCUGGUCAAAAUCUAUAUGGUGUUUCAAUUAUUUAUAUUUUUGGGAGCUCCUGCAUGCAUAUUUAAUGUGGAGUUGCGCCCGCGCGCUCUCUCUCUCUCUCAUGCGCACUAUUAUUGUUAUCUUGAGCUGCAAAAUGCAUUGCAAUCAGUUGAUGCAAUUAAUUUAGAAUCUAACUGGCUUAGACACGCUAUUCAAUUUUUUGUGAAGGUAUGCAGACGGUACAAGCAAUACCACCAACAAGUGCAAAUGGUGGUCACUGCUUUUGAAUCUGUAGCAGGCCUCAGAUCUGCUACACCCUAUGCUUCAUUAGCCCUCAAGACUGUCUCAAAGCACUUCCGGUGCAUAAGAAAUGCUAUAUCCGAUCAGCUCCGACACAUAAGCAAAGUUCUGGGCGAGGAGCUCAUGUCAUCACCCAGUUCGAGUAGAGGUGAAAUGACGCCAAAGUUGAAACACAUCAAUCAGAGCGUCCUCGAGCAAAAGGCAGGUGAGAACAGCUUAGGUUUUGUGGGUCAGAAUCAGCCUGUGUGGAGGCCUCAGAGAGGCCUACCGGAGCGUGCUGUGGCUGUUUUGAGGGCCUGGUUGUUUGAUCAUUUCCUUCAUCCGUGAGUCACUCCACUGACUGUUAAUGUCUUCUUCAUUCAUUCCUUCUACUCUUCUUACGUCUAUUAUUACCUUGCUAUGUAACUAAUUUCAUUCUCUUGAUGAAAUCUGUGGGGGGGCUACUUUGCCCUCCCUUGUUUCAAAAAGAAAGAAAGAAAAAAAGAGAAAUGUUAAUAUCGCAUCGUUUUGUAAAUUUUUGAUUUUUCUGUUGCUUCCUUUGGUUCACCCAUAUGCUAUUACCAUAUACUAUUACUAUCAUCAAUGCUUGCAUGGUGUUUUGGGUGGGAAAGAGACAGCUCAUUGUAUGUUCGGUGUCUCCAGGUACCCGACGGAUACGGACAAGCACAUGUUAGCGACCCAAACUGGCCUGUCACGGAACCAGGUAACUCUCUCAGAGCCGAUCCUUCUCUCUUGUGAAUACUGUUAGGUGGGCGAGAUGAAUGAAUCCCAGCACUGAUGUCACCUGCAACCAGCUUCGGAGCUGGCUGAGUUGGAGGGUUGGUCUACUUGUAUUGCAGGUCUAGGUUUUAAUCCAAUGGGAAAGGUUGGAUGUUAUAAAUUUUUAGCCUGGAAUUUUGAAGGUCUGAUGAAGUUAGGGUGAGUUCGAUUCUGUUUCCCCGCCUACCUAGGUUUUACUGAAUUUGGUUUGAUCCAUUGAAUCAAUCUAGGUUUAUGGCAGGAAAUGGGACCCGGACUUCAUUCAUGGCAGGAAAUGUGCCACUUUUUUGGCCCGACUUAAUUUAUGACUGUAAACUGCUUGUCUGACCCAUGGCUGUUGUUAAGUUGGUUUGAUUCACAACACACGUGAGGAGCCAGGAUAUAGGAGUCAAACUCUGACCAGUGUCGACUCUGGCAGCUGCUGUUGGUCUGGUCAAAGUUUGACGCAUAAAAUCCAAUGCGGACAAAACCUGACACAUGAUAACCUUGCAUGUAUGGAGAAGGGGGGACUGGGACUCGGUGUACUGUUCAUGCUUUGCUACUUUGUGAUGGGGGCAGGACCUUAAUCAGAGUGUUGGGCUACGGACUCAUCAUCUGAAAGAGCAUGGAUCCUUUGUGGCCCUCACCAUGCAGCUCUCUUGUGGCCAAUACUAUCAGAGGCCUGCAUGGGAGAGACCAGACGCAUUUAAAUUUCAUCAGUGCUGAUGUAAUUUGCAUAUCGUAGUUCUUAGUUUCGUAGUUCUUAGUUUCGCAUCAUCGACAUGGUCUCUGCAGCACAAAUGAGCAACCAUGCAUUCACCCUUAUGGCUGCAAGGUGCAGGCUGGGGUGGCUUCACUCUGAUAAUGUGACAGAAUUCCUUCUCUGACACCUGCUUACAUUUCCCUUUCAUCUGGUGCUUCACCUUCGUGCAGGUUUCCAACUGGUUCAUUAAUGCUCGGGUACGGCUAUGGAAGCCAAUGGUUGAAGAGAUCCACAUGCUUGAAACCAAAGGAAUGAAAGGAGCGGACCUCAACUCUGGCAACAGAAACGAUGCUAACAAGCUGCCCAUGGAUGAUGCAGGGCGACCUUCUAACGAGCAAAGGCCAGAAUCCGGGUGUAGCAGGCCAUUGCAUUGUUCCUCUAUGGAGCCUCUUUUGAAUGAUGAGGGUUCCCGGAGUAUGGAGCAGUGGCAUUACGAGAAGCGAUCAAGGAUUGACGAGUGUGGGAUGCAGACGAGCAUGGAUGGGAACUUGAUAAGCUUCGGAACGUACCAGAGUGCUAUGGAUAUUGGAGGACUUGGAGCGGUGUCUCUCACGCUGGGCCUCAGGCAAGAGGGCGGACAGCAGCAGCAGCAGCAGCAGCAGCAGCAGAUGAGGCACUUUGGAAGUCAGAUGCUGCGUGACUUUGUGGGUUGAGUGAUCUUUGUUGGAAUUGUUCUGUUGCGAGUGCUAGAGAUGUGCUGGGGAGCAGCUAUUGGCAAUGUUAGUGGAGAUAUGAAGAUGUGAGCGCGUACAAAGACUAGUUUUCAGAAAAGGGGUGACAAUUGUAUUGUAGGAUGGGGGAAAGGUCCAUUGUAUGAUUUGUAAUGCUGCUAUUCGUUUGAAGUUUUGGUGGUUUACAAAUACUCUCUGAUUUAGUGCUGUUGUAAGAUUCUGUUGUCUUCUGUCCUCUCGCCCUUAAGCUUGCGGGUGCUUUCGUGCAUGAAACUAUAUUUGACACGGUUGUCCUAGAGAAUGGUAACUUUGGGGCGAUACAACCGUAUGGUUGGAUUGUAAUCAGCUGCGUACGUAUGUUGAAGCUGAUAAUCCUCCAGAGCUCCGCUCAACUUGUCUUUCCAUGCUUAAGCCCGUCUUCGAACAUAGAAAGGGGUUUUUAAAAAAAAUAAUUGAUGUGUUUUGUCCUGUUAAUAUGGUUACUCUAAUCCAAUGUGCCAUGUUUCCUUGUGGAAAGUCUGCAGGGAAAAAUUUAACUCAAAUUAACAGCCUACGAUUCAUGCGGACCUUGUAUCACAAUCCUUAGGGAUCAUCUGCGCUGUUGUCGCCAGACCCUGCCAUUUUGCCAUUCAGACCGAGCCGGCCUCCCUUCAGUCCCAUGUAGUUCUGGUCAACAUUAAAUAAGCAGGGGGCAGGGGCCCCGGUUUGUUUUUUUAAAGUUCAUCGCAGGCUUUGGGAAACCUGGCUUCACGCCGGGCUUGGGCUAAGAUGGGCCUGGGGCGGUCCGUUUCUUGGGUUGUGUUCCAGUGAAUAUCUUUUGAGGCUGGCUUUAGGCUCAGCUCAGGAGUCAGGCCUGGGUUUAUGCUCGCUUCAUCACACCAGGCCUCGGCUAAGAUGACUUGACCUGGGCUUGCUCCAUCUAGCAGAUCAAUUCACAAACAGGGUUAAUUAAUUAUCUCUGAAAUCUGAAUGGAGGGUCAGAGAAAAGGGAAUUCCAUUAUGAGAGCGAACCCAGUUCUUGCAAUAAAAUUUUUUCGGUGGAUGCAUUUGUUCUUGCUCUGCUUGGUACUCAAGACAGCCGAAAGCCAUUGGCAACAGGCAAGCAGAGAGUGGAAGCCAGAGUUUGGUAACUACAGUACUCCAAGUCUCCAUCGCUGUUUUUCUCUCUUCAAAAGUACAUUCCUCAGGCUGCUUGAGCACUUCCACACAGAGCAAUCAGAUUUCAAUUAUCCCACAAUAACAGCAAUCCUGUUACAAUCCACAAGUAUUUCAUAAACCAUCAAUUGCACCAGUGUAUUGUGGGGAAAAAAUUCAGUUAAAUCAGUUUUAACAAAUCACUACAAUUUUGCAAGCCUUUCUAUCGUGAGAAAUAAAUUCUUUCCAACCAAGAAAGUUCAAGUUUAUGAACCAUAGAAGCCAAAGAGACAAACAUUAACAAGCUAAAGAGACAAAGACAAACAUGUCUAGCUUAUAAAUUCUAACAAUCUUCAGCAGCAGAACUAGAACAAAUUCAGCAGGCAACUAGACCGCAGCGACAGCCCUACUGUAACCGACACCCAUAUUGGAUUCUGCCGCUGGGGCGCUGCCUUCGUUCUCGCUGGAAAUCUCCUCCAAAGACUUCCCCUUGGACUCGGGCACCAGGAAGGUUAAGAAAAGCCCCAGGAGGUUGCAGGCUGCAAGCACGAAGAGGGAGUUCCUGACACCAAUGCCAGUAGAGUACCCAUGGUCGGUUUUGGCUGGGUCUGAGCUCUGGGAUAAGUAUAGAAAGCCGAACGAGCCCACGAUCGCACCAAGUUUUCUUCCAGAGCGUUCAUGGAGGCGGCCUUGGGGAUCCAUCCGAUGGCGCUAAAUAUGUCUUUUUGGAAGAGGUUCUGGCUGUAGAAGGCAAUGUCGAGGAGGAACCAGGUGGAGGAGGUGCCGAGAAGGUGGAGGCCAUGGCGAGGCAAGAAUUCUUUGGAGAAGAGGCCGAAGCUGUUGGCUUGCUGGCCGGUCAUCUGAUCGACCUUGGGCUGCUCCUCCUGAAGCUGGACUUGAAGUACCCUGGACAUGUCGGCGGCCGCCUUCUUGGCGUUCCUGACGACGAGGGCAGUGUAGCGGGCGGUCUCCGGCAUCUUCAUCCGCCAGUAGUAGGUGAGCGCCGCCGGGAUGGCGCCGAACAUGAGAACUAUGCGCCAGACGAAAUCGGCCUGGGGGACGGUGGAGGCUACGGGGUCGACGGCGUAGGAGGGGGCAGGGAAGCAGUGCUUGAAGGCGGCAGAGACGAUGAUGGCGACCGUGCCACCGGCGAGGAUGCCGAUACCCUGCAUGGCAAAGACGGCGGCGAUGAAUGCCCCGCGGGUCUUCUUGCUGGCGUACUCGGACAUGAUGGUGGCGGAGAGGGGGUAGUCGCCGCCGAUGCCGAAGCCGAGCCAGAAGCGGAAGAAGCAGAGGGUGGCCAUGACAGACUUGGGGGUGUGGCCGAAGGAGAGCCCGGAGGCGAUGGAGGUGAGGACCAUGAGCAUAAGCGUCAUGCCGUAGACCCGCUUGCGUCCCAUCUUGUCGCCGAGCCAGCCGAAGAAGAGCUGGCCGGAGAGGGUGCCGCAGAAGGCGACGCCGUGACGGCGGCGGAUACGUUGGGGGGGAGGGAUCCGGGUGUCGGGGAGCCUUCGACGUGGUAGUGGAUGCGACCGAGGAGCUAGGUGACGAGGGAGAUGCAGAAGAGGUCGUAAGCGUCGGUGAAGAAUCCCAUGCCGGCGACCACGAUGGCCGUGAAGUGGUACCAUUGCGUCUUCGCCGCGUCCAAAGCGUCCAGCACCUGGAGCUGCUCCCUCGCCAUGGUGACCGAUCGGCUCGUCUCUUAUCGAUAAAGAAUGCGGUUACAGAGAGAGUAAGAGCGAGAGUUCGUGUGUUUGAGAGAGAAGAGGGAACGAGAAGGAGAUCGAGGCAAAUGAGACAAGGGCAUCGGUGAGGUUUUAAAUAAACACGCAGGAGGAGGGUGGGUGCCAGCGGAAUAUUCUCAACUCCUUCCCCGUACCCAUUCACCCCCUCCCGGCAAGACCUCGCCCACGUCAGAGCGCUCACGGCGGAGGGCAGGGAAUUCCGUUUUUUGGUACAAUCUUUCCAUGUCGAGCUCGCAUCAUAGUAGCUUUCCAUAUUUUGCCAUGGUAAUAUUCCCCUAUAUAUUCCUUGUUGGAGAACUUCUUUCUAAAAUUCGCAUGACACAGUAUCAAGGAGGAGGAUUAAGUGACGCGGCGGAGGAAGGUGCGAGCCAUCCCAAUAUUCUCUUCUCUUGCAUUUAUUAAAUAGCUUUCCUCUUCAUUGCACACAACAAUAACCAGCCGUCAUCAUUCUAAUAUCUAUAUAGUAAUAUAAUUAUUAAAAUUCAAGGCAUUGCCUGAUAAUAUUAUAGUACUAGCAUUCUCAUAUGCCUGCAAAUUACUCGAUAUUUCAUUUUUUUUUGGAAGAUAUUUUAUAUCUCAUUGAUUUUUGUUUUAAAAUAACUUGCAACUGGUGACGGUUGACGGCCAUUUUAAAACAUAGUUUUAUAUACCAUAAAGAUCCAUGCAAGCACAGGCACCCGAACAAAGGAAGAGUAGAGAGGAGAGAAUCCAUCUUCCGCGUGAAAGUUGUAACCCUCUCCCAAGCGAGAGGAGGUCGGUUCCACAGUUCCACUCGAAUAUUAUUUUUUUUAUCGAAUCGGUUCAAAUUUGGAUAUUAAGGCUCGACCAAUCCAAAAUUGGAUUUUGAGCCUGAGUAUUUUGAAUUAAGUUGAACUUGGGCCUCUAGCUAUUUAACUUGGCUCGAUCGCAUCCCUGCCAGUGGCUCCCCGCAUUUCUGUAUCAUACAUCAUUUGUACACAUUUAAUUCAUUAAUAUGUUAAUUCACCUCCCCCUUUUGCGCUAAAGAAAAGCCCCCAGCAUAAUGACACGGGCCUCAAAUCGCAAACUCGAAUAUUCCUUUGCACGGCUGCUUACAUGGCAAGAAGGCCUUGCUGCAGUUGCAUGCAAUUUAAAGGAUUGGCUAACGAAGGACCAACCUUCCUGUACCACAAAGCAUAGGCAGCAGCAAAUAAAACAAAAAAAACAAAAAAAAAAAAGGUGACAUGGUUUGUUGACUAGUCAUAUAGCUAUAUUAGAGGUGUCCCAAACGCAGCUAUACAUCACGGGGGAAUUUGAUGUCUCUUAUUCAUCGGCCAACUCGAAAUGGUUAAACUAAAGGCGAACUAACGAGUUGGACAAAUCUAUUCUCUCCCUCUUCUGUAGAUCUCUGUUUCUAGCAGCCAGACGUUUUAUUUUGUCUGGCGGCUCACAGCCAGAUUGUAUUACUUGGGACCAACCUAACUAAAACCUGCAACUAACGAUGCUAAAAAUUUCUACCCGGAACUGGACUGCCCACCCAAACCCACACUGAAAUCACAGCCAGAUUGUAUUACUUGGGACCAACCUAACUAAAACCUGCAACCAACGAUGCUAAAAAUUUCUACGCGGAACUGGACUGCCCACCCAAACCCACACUGAAAUACCAAAUUACCAGGAACAUCAACCUAUAAUACAAAGUCUGCAACUCCAUGCUGAUAAGGAAUUGGGAACAAAGGCAGGCUGAUGACGAGAUCAAAUCUAAUCGCUGGAGCAAAUGAAAGCGAACAGCCUGUUCUACGUUGGAACCAAAUUUCUGGUGGCAGAAGCAUAUUUUAAAUCCUAUUAGUUUUUCACAGCCCAAUUUUGACAAUACUUGACAUCAUAAGCGAUAGACAUAGCUACAUAAUCUUGCACCGCUCACUUCCUUCACCAUUCCAACGUGUGCGCCGCAGCUGGAUUCUGUUCAUCCACCAUACUGUCACUUUUCUGAAUGCCAGUACCCAAGAUGCAGCAUGCCGGCAGGUGCAAAUGAAGGCUGAACUCAGGAUGGCACUCAUUUGCUGUGUAUGAGAGUGAAACACAGCAUGCCAAGGUGGCAGCUUGGCACAACCGUUACCCUAUGAUGCCACUGAUAAUACGCAAUGAACAGCUGACCCAUGCAAAAGACAACGCCAAGAAGUAAUGUGAGAAGAUAGUCGUCCCCUGGGUUGCCCUCACAAGUCCUAAUUUACUGAAGUCUACAAAGCAAUAUCAGUUAUUACAUUAUCCAAGACUAUAUAUUAGUCCUAAUUUCUUCAACAGACUUGGUAUUCCGAAGGAUGGGAGAAUUUCCCAGGAUGACACAUGGCUCUUUAAAGUGAAACUGAUGAGACAAUUAACACAAGCUAAUCCCAUAACUAAUGUACAUAGAGAUCAAGGCGUGUUGCAUGCCAGCUAUCCUGUUCCAGGAACAAAAUUCAGCAACGCUGGCGGAAUGUCAGGCUCAGACUUCCUUGAAAGAGCCCUGGGUCAGCUCUUGAUAGCAGAUUGCAGUGCAUCCACCAUGAUCGCCCAUUCUCAAGCCUUUGCCCCAAGAAAAGACUGCUCACAGAAAGGUCAGAAUUAAUAAGAGGAAAUUAGAGUGAAUUAUCUAUUUGGUUAUGGAGCUUCUUCAGAAUAUACAAUCCAACAGGCAAAGAUGUUAAAUGAAAGAUCAAGUGGAUGCACGAGUGCAGGACACAAUGGGGCAGUGCAUUCUAAAAUCAUGAUAUUGAUUGUAAUAUGGUGGGUAUUUAUAUACUUUGUUACAAGGUUCACAAUCUUAGUAUCGGACCUGUACCAGUACUCUAUUGGUAUAGUAUCGAUAUUGCCGGAAAUGGGGUUGAUUAGGCAUGUACCAACACUCGGUAUUAUCCCCCAUACUGCGCAUCAGUUGGUACUAGUAUGGUAGGUACACCUGGUAUAGAGGGUAGUACGUACUGGUACAAUGGACCUUUCUAUGUAAUUCUGUUAAAUUAUUUGGCAGAGCAAAUUAAGCUUUUAUGAUGUUGGAUGUUACAAGAAUGUAAAAUGACUGCAUCACAUAUUCUGAACUCAUAUUUUUUGACUUCCUCCCUUUCCAGCCUUUUCUAACAUCCUAUUUUUAACAGCCAGACGUAAGAAAAAUGUCAAAUACAAACUUUGAAAAUGAUGGCAUGAAAGAAAACACAAAAAAGUAAUCAUUCUGGGAAUAGACACCUACAAACACAGCCUNNNNNNNNNNNNNNNNNNNNNNNNNNNNNNNNNNNNNNNNNNNNNNNNNNNNNNNNNNNNNNNNNNNNNNNNNNNNNNNNNNNNNNNNNNNNNNNNNNNNNNNNNNNNNNNNNNNNNNNNNNNNNNNNNNNNNNNNNNNNNNNNNNNNNNNNNNNNNNNNNNNNNNNNNNNNNNNNNNNNNAAAAUUUUCAAAUCUAAUUAUCAUAAUUGAAUAGCCAUAUAAAAUUUCAAUCAUUGAGAGGAAAAAGUUAUGGGUUUUGAGUGGUUCCCAGCUUAGGUAAAAGGAACUGACCUUCCUGAGGAUAAUGCAGAUCACCAUAUCUUUCAGAUAAAAUAAGGUAAACACAUGAUGCCAAAACACUUCCAAGGGAUGGUGCAAAUCCUCUUAUUUGAUGUCGAUAAGUUGGCACAUCUUUUGGACAGCCCAACAAGAAAAUAAAAAUCCCCCACAAGUUAAUUAGUUGGUGUUCUAGAAGUCCCUUAUUAUGCAUUCAAGUGCAAAAAUUAUGCGGUAUAUUGAUAGAUCCCACCUUAUAUAAGUAGAUACCAAACAGAAUCCACUAACCCAGUGUUCUAUAGAGAUAGUUGAUGGACCUGCAACGGAUUGCCGGUAGAUACUUCGGCAAGUUUCCCAUGCAAUUCAGAUAAUCAGAGCUUAGAGAUCCUCAUCAGGUGCUUUUCCUACCAGUAAACGUUAGCCAGAUCAGAUUCUAUCAGCAGUACUUGAUAGGGCCAUUGUGAAAGAAAUGGUGUCUCGUUUGUCAUAAUUCAGAUAAUCAGAGCUUAGAGAUCCUCAUCUGCAUCAGGUGCUUUUCCUACCAGUAGACCUUAGCCAGAUCAGAUUUUAUCAUUAGUGAUUUUAUCAGCAGUACUUGAUAGGGCCAUUGUGAAAAAAAAAGGUGUCUCCUUUGUCAUAAUUAACUAUAUCUAUAGCCAAAAUUUAAAAUACUCAUUUAAAUCUUUUCUACUUCCACAUCUGGUAUCCCAAACCUCAAGAUUCAUGUUUUAUAAGUUAUUUUUUGAUCAUUGCAGACAAGGUUUUAAAUCCCCUAAGAUGGGGGUGUCCCAGUUUCUCCAUUGAACAUGACAUCCUACUGUCCCACCCUGUCCUGGCAGUGGUCCCGGCCAUGAAUCUCAAUAGAACACCUCAGUCUCUCUCUCCUUUCUUUUCCUUCUUUCCUUUCUUUCUUUUUUUCUACCUUCCUUUCUUUCCUUUCCUUUCCUUUUUCUUAUCAUUUCCUUUAUUUCUUUUUUCCUUUUUCUUCUUUCUCUUUCCUUUCUUCCUUCUUUCCUUUUUCUUCUUUUCCUUCCUUUCACUUUUUCUUUUUCUUCAUCUUUCCUUCUUUUCUUUCUUUUCUCUUCUUCUUUGGGUUUCGGAGUCCCGACCCUAUCCUAGUCCCAUUUUCUCAAAGGAAUGGGACGAGACAGCCUGAAUGCACCCCGUCCCGCCGGGAUUUAAAACCAGCGGGACCUAAAACCUUAAUUACAGAUGCAUGGCAUGAAGACACUGAAUUGAGUUCAUGACAUAAAGAUAAUGGCUGACAACUGGUUGCAGGACAAAAACAAGUCAGACUAGGGAGAGGGGAAAAAAAUACAGAAAGUGUUCAGGUAUUUCAUGAAAAGUUGCACUAACCUUGACUCCAGGUGGAGGUGUUCCAGUUUUCGCUGUAGUUGUGCUUCCAAAGUUGAACAUUGUCUUCUUCUCCGCAGGCUUUAAUAUUUGGAAAGAACACAUCAGAGUAUCAUCUACAUUCAUCAUGGCACCCGCAUUGUCAAAUUCCCCACAGUAGUUUGGUGCCGAGAAUAUUGUCACAAGUUGCCUGUUAGCAAAGAAUUCAUAUCCAUCUUCCACCACCUGGUACAAGAAGUAUUUUGAAUUAAAAGAGUGAACUUACUUCAGCACCAGCAAAAUAAACAAAAGAAAUAAGCAUUUAUAACCUGAUGAGCACGACAAAUGAGGUCGAGAUCAUGUUUUUGAAGGAACUCAGUCACCUUAUCAGGGCCAAAUGUGUAUGAAACCCCUCUGUCAUUCAUACCCCACCCCUGAAUGUCCUUACUUGGAUCUGACCAAAGAAGAUCACAAAGCAAACCAGUGUCCGGCACAUCAGUAGGGCGAGCCAGGUUUCUUAUUUGAUCCAAAUUAGUCAAGUCUGGAGAAAGACCCCCGUGCAUACAAAGAAUUUUUUCAUCAAUGAGAGCUGCGACAGGCAGACAGUUAAAACAAUCUGUGAAGACUUUCCACAGCCUCACAUUGAAUCUGCGCUUACAUUCAUCAUAAAACCCAUAUAUGCGGUUUAUAGACGCACAUUCAUGAUUCCCCCUCAAGAGGAAAAAGUUCUCAGGGUAUUUAAUUUUAUAUGCCAAAAGGAGGCAUAUUGUCUCAAGACUUUGCUUUCCUCGAUCCACAUAAUCCCCUAAGAACAGGUAGUUGGCUUCAGGUGGAAAUCCGCCAUAUUCAAAAAGCCUUAGGAGAUCAGAAUACUGGCCAUGAAUAUCACCUGAGACCCCAAAGAAACCAUUAUGCCAAAUUUCCCAAACCCAAUUAAUGACUAGACCAAACUAUUUGCAAGCAAUGAGUAUUCCUGAAAUUUUCUCUCUGGAGUUCUCCACAACUGAUUAAGUUAAAACAGAAUGUCAACUUACCAUGAACAAGAACAACUGCAAUCAUAAAGUGAAAUUUGAUAAAAUUCCCAAGGCGGAAUAUGUGAAUAUGUGCAUUUUAUAGAUGCAAAUUAAAAAUAUCCUACAACAAUAGCUCAGCACAUAAAAAAAGAAGCUAAUGAGAAUGCUAAAGGAUCUUAAGUAAAGCAAAGCGCAUGAGAUCAUACCUCCCAACGGUAACUUGUUUGCUAGCUAAAAAUAAUCAAGGUGAUGAAUAAUAAAGUUCAAGAUGAGGUACAUCAGAGGGAGUCUAGCAUUAGGACCAAUUAAUGGGAAAGUCAUAAAAAAACAAGUGAGAUGGUUAGGUCAUAUGAUUCAAAUCAAACAAGGGUCGGAUUGAAUUGAAUCAUAAUCGAACUGCCAUUUAUGAUCGCUGGAAACUCCAUUUAAAAGUAUAGAAUGCAACUUUUCUUAAACAAUAAAACUAAGAACUGAUUAUAUAAUACGAUAUCUUAGCCUACCAAAUGAAAUUCUACUGGAGAUGUAACAUAUAUUAACAUGUUAAUUAGUAACACGUUAAAAAAUGCAUGUAAGAAUACCAAUACCAAAAUAAUACUUUUGACCAGCAACGUAGUACUUAAUACAACUAAACACUAAAUUCAAACAUAGAACUAAUUUCAUAAUACCAACAAUCUAUCAACCAAAGACUGUUUUAUAUUACAACUAAAUUGAAUACAAUUUUAUGAAAACAACCAGAUGAGAAUUAGCAAUACACAAAUUAUUUCAUUUCAUCUGGUAAUCAGUAAGAAUCUAAAUGCAUAUAAUAACAUUUUGCCAACAAUCCUUAUGAAUAAGGGUUAUUCCAAUUUUGCCUAGAAGUCAGAAUUAAGAAAAUAGGUAGAAGAAGACCUAGGCUGAGGUAGACUAUAAAUUUGAGGGCGUAUAUAGGUUACAGGUAAUGGCUUAUCCAUCAGUACGAUUCACAUAGUUAACCCCUUAUGGUCAUAAAACACUAGUUAAUAGUGCCAUAUUUAUGAUCUAACCCAAUAAGUACAAUUUAUGGAUGUUCGUUUCUGUUUAAAUUAUUUAAUGUGUCUAAUCAUUGUCCUGUAUGCCUAAUAUUUAAGAAUACGGCCUUAAUGUUCAGUAACUCAGGCUGAGUGCCAAAAUGCAUCACAAGCCAUCCAAGUUGAUGUUCCACAUUGCUUCAAGCAGAAACAAGUGUGGAAGUGAAAACUGGUCAAGAGCAGAUUCAGGUGUAGGUGCAUGGAAGAGAAUUCCUAAAAAAUGUUAGAAAAUGGAUCACUUAAGAAGCACGUGCAGGAGCAAGUUUCUUAGGAGAUUCCAAAGAUGGUACAGCAUCCUAGUUUAGAAACUUUCCUUCACAUACCACACAACUUAUCACAAUCUACACAUGCUAAAAAGAAAAUGUAAACCAAAAUCUCAAUGGUUCUGACAGAUUCAUGAUAUAGAUCAAUGCAAGCCUCUUUCUCCAUUAUUUGAAAAGCCAUUCAUUUAGUGGUCACUUGAUACAGAAACAACUAAGUUGAUCAAUAGGCAAUAAGUCUCCAAGACAUCUGAAAAAUUGUUAGACACUCCGAACAUCCUGGUUAACCUCACCACAUAAUUUGAUGAUACGACAAAACUAAGAUGAUAACGCCCAAUUAAUACUAAAUCUGUUGCAAAUCAGGGUAUGUUACAUGUUGAUCCUUAACAGGCACGAACGGGCAAGUAAGGAAUACAUUAUAAAAGAUAAUAUCUAUGACACAAAAUAGGGAAAAAGUCAACAUGGUUGCUAUCACAUGAAAUUUCCUAAAAGUACAACACCACUGCUCAUUCAAAUAUAAAGUUAUGAAAUUCUUAGUUCUAUUGUGGAGCACAUGUAUAAUAUAAGGCAAAACAUGUGCAACUUUAUAUAAGCAUUUCAUAUGCAUGUCCAUAUAUUGAACUACAGCUAUUACAUAGUUCUCAUGCAAUCUCAAAGUUUUUUACCAUAGAUAUGCAUGAAUAUUGGUGCCUCCAAGGUGGCAGACUUGUAGGAUUAUAGGAUAAAAGUCAUUAAAUUGAUAGCAAAAACAUAUAGGUCAACACAAAUACCAAGCUUAUGACAAUACAUGGAUGAUCUAUUAACUCCAUUAUAUAUGUUAUGAGAAGCAUGUCCAGCUCAUAACAAAAUAAUGGUUAAGAUGAACACUUAAUCUAAAGAAGACAUGCAGGUGUUAUGAGCACGGUGCAAGAGUUGAGUUGUGGCUCUAGAAUUGGCAUGGCAACCUUGGUUGAAGAUUCCGGCUUUUAUGAAUUGGAACUAAGCAAAUAUCAUGAAAAUUGCAAGACUAAUGUUAUUUCUGUCUUCCAAUCCAUGCAACUAUCUAGCUGAACAUGCAGAAACCUGAUCCGUUUGCUUACAUUGAAAGAGUUAAAAUAAAAUGUAAGCUAGUUGAGUUAUACCGAGAAAAAUCUAUUAAAGUAUGCAUAAACAGAGAUAAAAACAAAACAAAACAAACAUAAAACCUUUUCAUCUCCUAGGCUAUCUCCACCCAUGUCAUUUUAGGCCUACCCCUCCUUGUGCAUUUCAUGCACUCCCUCACAAGCACUUCCUUCAUCCUUCCAUGCAUAUUACCAAACCAUGCAUUACCACACAUGAUACUACAGAUAAUACAGGAAAACCUAUUAGCAUAAGCCAUGUGAAAAGUCCAAAAACAUUGCUCUAUGGUCAUUAACGUCUGAGAUCACAGUUCCUAGCUGAGGAUUGUGAUAACUUUGCAAUGUUUUUUGUCCUCUCCUAAUAAGCUCUUCACUGAAAAUCAAAGUAACAUUCUUCCAUCACGAGUAAAUAAAUGUAAGUUGCAAUAACAUAGUUUCAUGCCUGCUAUUCUCUCUAAUAAAAGCAGACAAACAACAAAAGCUUGUAAAGUUAGCAUCAUUCAAAUCAAAAAUAGAUAAUGUAUCUUAACUAGAGAUCAAUAACAUUGAUUAAAAAUGUCUUUUCCAUGGGGAAUUUUCAGGUCAGGCAUUAAAAGAAAAUCAAGGAACUAAAAAGGGAACUUAAAAAUAUUUUUCAAUAUACCAAGAUCAUUUAUUUAUGUUUCACCAUUUGGGUUUUCUGACAUCUGACAACAAACAUAACUUCAAAAAGCACACCAUAGCUGUCUCGCUGUGUAUAAAGUCAAUACUAGAAAAAUAUUUCUCAUCUAUUGUCCUCGAAAACAAAAUGCUCUAGUUCCAUCUCCUCAUGAACCACAUAAGACUAAAUUUCAGGUUUUAUUAUAUAUAUUAGCUUUCCCAGUAUCACCAGAUACUUCACAGAACCAUUCAAGACACCUUCAUUUUAGGUCUACAAACUACAUGCAUAUGUUCCUCCAAGAAGAAUCUCUUUCUUGUUUACAAGUUUAGAUUUUUCACUUGAUUUGGCAGAAGAAGAUUCAUCUUUCUCUAGCUCUAAGACUACAUUCUUGAAAAUUUUGAGUCUACACAUUGUAUUUCUGCCCACAUACAAUGAAAGAAAAUUAUUAGUUACAAUAUUUUGCAGCAUACCAUAUAAUGAAACCUACGAUGCAUCAAUAUAGAAUAAAAAUUUAAUAUAUGCUUCAAUAUAGAAUAAAAAAUUAAUAUAUGAUUGACAUUAAAGAACCUACAUGGGUCUGAGAAUGCACAGAACUGACGAUAUGCUGGGUUACUAAAAUUGAACAGUAUUCCAAAUUUCUUUUAGUUACCUUUAUCUAUUACAUAACAAUGGAGAAACUGUUGCGUUUUGCAAGCAUCAGAGACAGACAACGACAAUAAAGACUUUGCAACCAGAGUUUCACUUUGCAGAAAGCUCUAACAAUAUUAGUAACCCAAGUAAAGGAUAAUCUGCAAGGGCCUGUUGGACAUUGGUGUUGUUUUCGUGAUUUUUUUUUCUCUACAAAAUAGUGGAAUGCCACGUGGGAAUUGAUAUUGAAGAUAGCAUUUGCACAAAACUUCCGCUAUUCCUUGAUUUUAAUUUCACUCUUUUGUUUGAGAUAGAUAAAUCCUUGCUACCAAAAUCUCUAUGGAUUUCACAAACAAUUCUGAUAACGAAAGGGUUUCGUCAUACAUGCUGUUCAGUCUAGUUCAUUUUUAUUCUUGGGUUUCUGAAAAGAAAACGAGAAAGCAAAAUGAAUACCAAACGGACCGUAAUAUUUUGCACUGGGAAUCCCAUAUCCUGUCUCCAACCACGCAUUCAAACAUUCAGAUAAUAGACAAAAGAAAAACAAGCAUCUCAUCACAACAUUCACUGGUUCAUCAAAGUCCCAACAUUUCCCCACCGACACCAAUAACCAAACAAAACCUAUUCCCAAGAAGCCAUUACGGAAGAAACCCAGAUCAAGAAAUAUCAAAAAUCAAUAACCCAGAAACAGAAAAAUAAGCAACUUUUUAGAUUGAAGAGCCCCAAUGUUUUCAACGCCCGUUGCCUUCAACAUCGCAGUGGAGCAAAUUUAUCUAAUCACGGCAUUCGCUGAUUCAUCCAGGUCCCAUCCUUCCCCACCGACAUCGACAACCAACCAAAAUCCAUAAUCGUGAAACAAUUUUGACACAAACCCCGUUCAAGAAUCAUCGAGAGGGAUUUAUAAGAUUUACCGCAAAUCUUGAUGGGGGCCUCAAGCUCAAGAAGAUUGGGCUGCUGCAAGAAGAUGUCCCUGGACACGACGCAGAGCUGCCGGAUCUCCGCCUCCGAGAGCUGCACCUGCUUCCCCGGCCGAAUCCCCCUCGCUUCCAGCAGCCGCCUUAUGAUAUCAUCCAGAAGACCAGGAUCCAUCCCCCCACACAACAGACCCCAGAUCGAACAAAACCCUAGAAAUCCAGAAGUAAAAGGAGGCCCCUUUUAUUUCUCUUUGCCAAGAUCACGAAUCGACCCAGGAAGAGGAAGGAGGCAGAAGGUGGCCCCUUUCCUCCGCCGCCGUUCCCUUCCUUUCCCUCGCUCCGAUUGAGAUCUCCUCAAGCAUUCCUCUCGAUCUCCCUCGUUUCCUCUCUCGAUCGCAGGGGCUUCUCCUGCUCUCAGAGAGGAAAUGGAGAUCGCCCCCGCCGUCCCCGCUUCCUGCGAAGAAUACCGGAGAGCGAGAGAAUAUUUACGACUUUUUUAUUUUGGUCGCGACUCGCGAGGGAUGGAGACUGAAGAAAGAUCGAGUCCGCCGUUCGGUGUAAACAAUAGCUCCAACCGGGGGGUCCCAUACGCACAUGUGUCCUUAAAAAUCGCGUUGGGCCUGUUGGCCUUAAACACGGAACUCAAAGUCCUACGAGGAUUGCGCUCGUUACAUUAGAUGACGGGAGUUCAAGUUACUCGGACAGCAUGGAGGGGAUGCGGCUGACCAGAGAAGGAUCCGGAGCGGAGAUAGGUGAGGUGAUUGGACGGCAGUGAUUCUGUUGAUUCAGAUUUUUCUUUUUUGAAUUUAAUAGUGGUUUGGUGUGCCAGCGGGAUGGGGAAGUCUAUCGUGGCCGUCAGAUCUGCCGACUAAAUUGAUCGGACGGUGAAGUGCCCGGAGUUGCGGGGCGAGUGCAUCGGCUCGAACGCUGAUAAAUAUUCGGGAUAUGGUGUAGCGAGGGACGGAGUGGACCAUGCGGAUAAUAGCAUAAUAGCUAAUCAUGAAAUGACACGUGGACAACAAGCGGGACAUAUUGUGCACCGCUCGGCCAUCCGCCUACCUCUGCGGAGCGGGCAUGUACAGUGUCCGUGACAGUGGCACGUGUAACUUUCACACGAGUGAAUGUGGAUUAAUAUUCUGGCUGAGCAGUGAGGGACCGAGUGGACCAUGUGGAAAAUAGGAUGAUAGCUAAUCAUGAAAUGACACGUGAACAAUAAAAUCAACAUACUGUGCACCGCUCGGCUACCCGCCUACCUCUUCGGAGCGUGCAUGUACAACGUCCGUGACUUUUGGCACGUGUAACUUUCACACGAGUGAAUCGGUUCUCCCUAAUUGGUUGGCAAACGGAAUUGUAUUUGAGUUUGAAAAGUGAGUAUUUCAGUAUUACUAUUUUGCAUAAAAUCAAUGCAUAAAGAGCAUAGUUUUUAAUGUUUGAUUGUCAUGUGUUCAUUCUAUCUAAUGUUUUUUUUUUCUGCAUUAAGAACUAGAUUUUUGUGUGUCGAAAUCACUUAGAACGAGAAUAAAAACGUGAAGGAUGGUUUGGGCACAUAAAAUAUAAUUGCAUGAUCAUACCCUCUAGAGUAAUGUUGAAAAUUGGAUUGAUGAGUAAUACUUGCGUAUGCCAUGAAAAAUUUAGACUUUUUUCAUAUUGGGCUUUUCAUCUUGAUUGAAUUACAGGUUAAUAUAUUGAUUUGUAUCAAUAUCAAGCAUUCACCGAUACCAUAUGUAUAUCCUUAUUGCUAUUAGUUAUGUCAAAUAUUAAUGAAUAUAAUACUUUUUAUUGUAUAUUUGGAUGAUUGUGCUGAAAAUUCUAUUAGACUCGUAGAUUGGGCCAGAACAAUCAGUAUUAUCAUAGGACUAUAAGCUAGGUUAGACCUGCUAAGGUCUUUUUAUGCAUACCCCAAGCACAGUACAACUAUUUAUGCGUGCAUAUGUAGGCAUGCUCACAGACACAUGCACAACAUGUCCAAUUGAUAUUAUUUAUAUUUCUCAUGCCAACUUAAACUAUACAUCGGGCUGCAAGAAUUGUUGCAACUGCAGGUUAAAUUUCAAGCCCAACUCCACGAGAGCAGCUAAAAUAACAAUUGUUCAACAUCUGAGACCUAUCCACCUUUUUUUUCUUUCUUUCGAUAAACAUAUUGAUGUGCUUCUCUUGAAAUGUACUCCAAAUUCAAACUCAGGAAAUUGUACAUGUUCUUGACAUUUAAUCCUUAUCCUAUAAUAGUGAUCAUAUCUGUGCCUCAUCUGGAUCCAGUCGCCCACUAAUACUACUAACCCAAAAAGCAUGUGAAUAACCCCUGCCAUCCUUUGCAUGGCUUAUUACCCCAAACUGGACAGGGGUUGUAUCUUUCGUACAGAAGGACUCAUGUUUUUCAUGCGAAUCCACUACUGGAUCCCACGAUAGUUGCUUCAAGAUCGGUGCAGGUGGAUAAAUGGAAAGUUUGGAGUGAUUUAAGAUUUGUGUAGAGCAUGAUCCAAUGGUCAAUACUGUAAAAAAGAAUCAAUCACUUUUUUGCAUGAACGGUACAGCUGAGACCCUCCAUACCCCCACCUCUAACAAACAUAGUGAAGCCUUUUUUGUCUUUCAUUGUAUCUGCUUCAAGUUAGUCGUUCUCUUAGGAGUCAUAGCUCUCCCCGAAACCUCCAAUGCUGGCUCCAAACCUUCGAUGAUACAAACUUGACAAGUACAUCUCGAUGCCUUGGCUUAAGUCACAUAAGAAGCUACCGUGACAUAUGAAUAAGUUGUUUCGCCCCGAACCUAUCAUCUAGUUGACACGUGAAAUGGCAAAGAAAAUAAGGGAUCCAGCAGUUGUAGCUUGUUUCAAAUUAUUUGGAUGAGAUUCUAGAUUGUUACACAAGUCAUCAUCAGCUUGGCACCGUAAACCAUCACACAAGCCAUGAAUAGAGGAGUAGUUAUUGGUUGGCCCAGGUCCACUGGUCAGCUAGUGGACCGGUCCAACCGUGAAGUGGACAAGUCCAACUGCGAAGUAACAUAUAGAAACAUGGACCAAAAGGAAAGCCUGUAUGCAUUUAAUACAGAUUUAUAGCAGUCUACUCCACCUCAAGUGAGAUAGUAGUAGAACAGGUUGAUGUUGAAAGUCCGCCAGCCACAAAUCUAUAAAACACAAGAAGAAAUAUGCGUAUGGUAAGGUAGUUCACAGAGCCUUGCUAGCGUUUCUUACAAGAAAAUAGUCCACCAUAUAGCUUUGAGCUCUCGGAACAUGGUUCGUCAAGUCAGGAUCUCCUUGUACAAUUACUGGAACUAUAUUGCAACCAUGAUACAUGAGAUAUAGACUCCGAGAAGCCUCUUAUCUCUAUACUCCAGCAAUGCUCCACAUGCAGCAAGGCAGCCCUUUAUUCAGCGUCAUUUUUAGUUGAGCGGAUCCAUCGUUGAGUUGGUGGACCAGUCCAACCAUCAAGUAUUAAAUUUUAUACUAAAGAUAAUGAAAAAUUUAGAAAAAUCUAAAACAAUAGAGUUAUGGUGCAAGCGGACAAAAAAAAUUAUUAUGGUGCUCUUAUAAAUUUUUAUGAGUUUGAUUAUUAUGGAAAGCUUAAGGUAGCAUUAUUUUGAGGUGAUUGAGUGGAUAUAAACUCACCUAGAAGUUUGAACUAAGACACAAAUGAGUUUAUAUUUAUAAAUUUUUCAAUGAUACAUACUAGUAUGUUAUUGAAGGAUGAUCUAUUCGUUUUUACAUCUCAAGCUCGAUAAGUAUUUUUUUUUUUGCAAGACUCAAAGGAUAAGGAAUGGACUGUUAUCAUUAAGACUAAACCUAGGUACUUGUAUGAUAUGGCGAAAGGGUUGGAGCAAGAGGAUAAUAUAUAAGACUUAUACUCAGUGUAUGCCUUGUAAUAUUGUCCCAACCGAUAAACUAAACGCUAUAACAAGUUUGGUUAGGAUGGAUGUUGAAGGAGAGAAGAAUAAUGCUUGAUUUUUAUUGGUGAGAAAUAUUUACGCUGUAUACAUUGUAUGAAAAAUAUUAUCUUCUUUUAUCAUGUUCGUUUAAUAAAUAUUGUUUCUUAUAAGCAAUUUAUUUAGUAUUGAUUUUUAUGUAACUGAUUGAUUUUUAUUUAUGCAUAUUAGAUAACAUUAUGCGCCGAGAAAAAUGAUUCAAAGAUAUAGAGUUUCAGCAUUCUCAAGCUGGAUCAUUUUUUGAUCAGUUCCUGCAGUCUCAACAGCAACACGAGCCCCAACAGCCUGAUAUACAUGACCAGCAAUACGAGCCCCAGUCUAGCAUGAGCCUCCUACUGAUUAUCCAGGCAAGAAAGUUAUUAUGGAUGACCUGCAGAUUCAGGAUAAUUUAAUUAAAAUAUUAAUAGUGCUAUUCCUAUUAUGAUUUAAUAUAUAUUUUAUUACAUGACACUUUAUUUUAUUUAAUGCAUAAUUAAUAGUGUUGAAUAUGUUUUUUGCUUUUUAUGUGUUUUUCGUAGAUAAAAAGAGGAGACUGGGGAUGAGACAAGGACCUACUUGAGCAAGGGAUCGAUGUGGGGCGGCUUCGUGAGAGUGAGAGGAUUGUCAUCGAUCUAAUGCAACCAAGUGGGCAGCCCCUCAAGAGGGCUGGAAGUAUAUUAGAAGGUUUUCUAGGUUCGAUUGCGUGGAAAGGUUAGUGUCCAUUCAACUAUGUUAAGUAGAAUGAUAUGCUUCUUUCGUAUAAGGUGGAGCUUCUACGAGUUGUACAAAACUCAAAAUAUAACAUCUAACAUCUAAAGCAGCAUAGUACUUUUUCCAUCAUCGUAACGUAACUUUUAUUAUGGAGCUGAUUUUAUGAUCUAGGUUAGACUUUGUUUCUGAAAAAUUUUCGGGGGAUGAUGAUGAGAAAAUACUUAUUGAGGUGUCUUCGUAUGAGAUCAAGUUGAUGGUUCGACAAGUAGUCCUGCGCUUUACUAUUCUGAUCAAUUCGAGGGAACCAACCCACCACUUCAUGCAUGCCUACGAAGGGAUGUAUAUUGAAAGAGUGAUGCUCCAUAACCAACUUAUGAUAAUAAAAUUCAAAACAUAACAUCUAAAUAGCAUACAAUUUUCCCAUCAUCAUCACAUAUAACUUCUAAUUAAACUACUGAGAUGGUUGUAUGGUCCCGGUCUGAAGUACGUUUCUUGUUAAAAAAAAACGAUCAUAUCCUUUUUCGAGAACAUAAUCUCGCUGAAACUUGCCAAAUCGUCUACUUUGUAAGGGGUGGCGUGAAGAUGAGAAUGCUUGGUGCCACCUUUUGAAUAAUGGAAGCACCUACUGCGUGGAAAAAAGAGAGAGAACGGACAGGAAGUGCUUCACCCCGUGUCCCUAGUCACACCAGGAGAGGUUUUAGCGUUGUGAGACGUCUCUGGCCCCGUCGUCCUUGCCGCACCGGGAUUGGUUUCGGCAGCAUCUUGAUGACCGAAGUGUUGAAAGGAGGGACAGACCAUUAAGUGCGGAAAUUGUUGACACUACGCCAUGGGAAAGCAAAUCAGAUAAUGACCUGAAACCAGGCUACUGGAACGUACUAAAGCUACGGUCCCGUCGCCUAGCCUUCUUCGCUACCUUCGUUGCGAGGCUACUCCAUUGCCUGCAGAUCCAAGUCAAACGAUUCUGAGCCCUGUCACGUCUAAAUGUACCUGAGAAAUUUGAUUAGUCAAAAGAGAAAUGUCGAUUACUGGAAAGCCUCUUGCAAUGCAGAAAACUUAUUGACAUUCUACAUACAUCUUCUCCAUUAAGGGGUAAAUAUAUUAUGAUAUUGUUAACCUUUGUUGAAUCACCAACCAGAGAGGGAAGUGCAUUUAUCUAAUGAGGAUUGCGGCCGCUGGUUUUUCUUUUCUAUGGUCUUACGUACCCAUCCAUAUGUAUACUCAGGCACAUUCAUCACAUAUGUAUGGCACUAGUAUGACAUGAAUUCAGAAGAUGUGAUGUAUCAAGGUGUUGAUAGAGGUUCUGCAUCUAGGCUGGAUGAGACACAAGGUUACACGUACAACUCAAUUAAAAUUAUCCAUAAAAUUUGCUACCUGUCUACCGCACUAGCCCGGCACUAGAUCCUUCUACAAUUUUUUAAAUAUCCUACCGUCCACGCUUGAGACAACAAACAGCCGUCCUUUUUGACAAUUUCAUCCACCCUGGGACGCAAAAGUCUUGUAAACGUGCCGCUCUCAAUACCAUACAUCCCACCACCUACCUUUCCAACUCUCAUGCACCCACAUAUCCAUGGCACGAAAAAACGCCUAUAAAUACCCCACCGACUCCAAUUCACGGCACAAACACCCAAGAACUUCCAGACAAACAAAAGCCAUGGUCCCAAAAUACCUUCUUCUAGCCCUUCUCGUAGGAGUGGUGGCUCUCACCACUCCCUCCGACGCUGGCCACAAGCCCCCGGAGACGAAGCCACCAACUCCUAUCCACAAACCUCCAACCGGACACAAACCCCCAACUCUUGCCGACGAGAAGAAGACGUCUGUGGACCAGCACAAGCCUCCUGCUCCUGGUGGCAAGCAUCCUGGUCCUCCUGGACACAAGCCGCCUUCCCUCUCCGAUGCCAAGGAUACUAGCCACAUCCCGGAGCCUAAGCCCAAACCAUAUGGGAAGCCACCGGUGCAUGUGAAGCCGCCGGGACCUUACAAGCCACCUCACAAGCCACCUCACAAGCCACCGUCCGCUGACCACCUGAACUAGAGAGGGCUGCUGUGCUGCAGCUCGACGCAUGGGGGUUGGAUAUCCAAAUAAGAGGCUUCCUUAGACGUUAUAUAAAAUACACACGCGGCAUGUGUCAUAAUUUAACGUUAUGCUUUUAUCUGUAUGCAUGACAUGAUUUCCUGCUACUAGCUAGAGAGGCCUCGAUCGCCAUGUGUACUGCUAUGUAUCUGGCUUUGCUAGUACAAUGAGAAACUUUGACAAGCCAAUAUCUUACUGGAAAAUACGUAAGUAGUGCUAAAUUAUCUUCUUGCCAAUGACUGGAGCUCUGGGCUACGUACCAUUUUUUUUCAUUAUAUAAAAUAAAAUCCGACAAGCGGUGCGAGGAUCCAUACGAGCAAGUUCUUAACCCUAUAUGGGUUGCAAUUAAUUAUACAAAACUAAAAAAUCUAAAUAAUAUUUGAUUGUUCAAUUUUUUUACUAGAAAAAGGUCUUGAAGUGUGAUAAAUGGUAAUAGAAUGGACUUGGCUCAAGGCGUUACUAAGAUUCGGCGGGUGCUGCAGUAUAAUUUUUUUUAGAGAGAGAAUGCUAAAACUUAAACGGAGAGGAGUAUAUGAGAGCUCUUGCAUAUAUGUUUUUUAGGUCAAAAAAAUCUAAAAAUCUAAAUAAUACUUUUUCAGUUGGCCUGUUUGGAUGAGCUCAUGGGUCGCUAUAAACAUAUUUCAACUUUUGGUGGGGUGUAGGGAUAUAGAGAAUUUGCAUGUCAAUGUGACUGAGGCUGUCCCUGUUGAAAAAGUUAUGAAGAGGAGGUGGUCCGUUGAGAAGGGCCCUGACUUUCGCACUGGAUUGCACUCGCCGCCACUAUUGCUCCUUGCCUUCGGCAGGCAUCUUUGUAAGGAAGAGCCCGUCCUUCUCUUUAAACGGCUUCAAUCCCGGCUUUGUGAAGUACAAGAUGGAAGAUUAUCUCCAACAAAUAAACCAACUGGGAGAAGUUGGAUUAUCCCACUAUCUCCAUCUAAGCCUCUCUGUUCUCCGAGGACUAUUUUGAGAAGCUAAUGAGAAUCCAACAAUCUUACCUAAGAAGUGAUGUAUGUUGGAUCGGACCCUCAUCUUUAGUUUCUUUUCUCAAUGAUCUCUUCAAGGAAUAUUACUUUCCACCUUACCCAACAAAGAAUAUUCGUUGUUGUACAGCUCAGCUCAGCACAUAGAGGGAGAGAGGAAAGUCAAUGAGGGGGAAAGGUCCAAUGUGGCAUCGGCUGCAGUCCACAAUAUAAACUACAGAACGUGUGUUGAGGCUAGACGCGUAGUAUACCUAAGAUACAUGUAUUUAGAGAUGCAGUGUUUCAUGAUUUUCAGGCCGGAUCAUCUUCUAAUCAGUCCCCAAAGUCUCAGUAGUCCCACUAGGCCUAGCACCUCGACAUACAUGACCAGCAACUCGAACCCCAGUCCCAGUACGAGCCUCCUGUUGAUUACCUAGGCAAAGAGGUUAUUAUGGAUGGCUUUCAGAUCCAGAAUAAUUUAAUUAAAAUAUCAAAAGUGUUAUUCCUAUUACAAUUUAAAUAUUUUAUAAUAUUUGACUUCAUUUAUUUAAUACAUAAUUAAUAGUUUUGAAUAUAUAUUUGUUUUCAUGUGUUUUUCAUAAAUGGAAAUGGGAGAGUGAGGACAAAACAGAGAUCUACUCGAGCAAGAGAUGUAUGACAGCUUCGUGAGGGUGAGAGGAUCGUCAUUCGAUGCAACCUAAUGGGGCAGCCCAGCAAAAGCGCUGGAAGCAUAUUAGCAAGUUUUCUAGGAUCAAUUAUGUGGAAAGAUCACCUGUAUCCGCUCAACUAUACUAAGUGGAAUGAUAUGCUUUCUUCGUAUAAGGUUAAGCUUCUGCGAGUUGUAUAGGUAAAAAAUUAAAUUUGAUAUUGUAUGUUAAUUUGCUAGAUAUCAUAAUUAUAUAAUUUGAUUUAACAUUUAUAAUAUUCUUUACUUUUGGUGUAGAGUAAGUUUGCGCUUUCUCUAGAAAGCCAUGACUGGGUGCUGAAGUCCCUCAACUACAAAUAGAAAAAAUUUAGGGAGAAGUUGAAGAUGGAGUACAGGGGAAAGGUUAUGACAGAAGAAUAGGUUGCUCGUAAUUGUCCUCCUGUUGUAUACCUUCAUAAGUGGAGAAAACUUGUUCACUACUGAUUUUGUAAGAGAUGACAAGUUAUGUGUACUCUCUUAAUAUCUUAUAUUUUAUUUUUUUAUUAAUAUAGAUUGCAAAUAUACACAUCAAAUAUAUUACACUGUCUACCAAAAUUGGUAGAGCUACAUGAGCAUCUUAUACUGUUCCUCACACAUCAAGCUCUAAGAGUUAUGUAAGGUAUGGAGAUAAAUUCAUAUUUUUCUUUUAAACUCUUUGGCAUAUUUCAAAUUCCUUGUUAGAUUUAUUUGUUUUAUAUUGAAAUACUUAUGCUUCUUAAUAAAACUAUGUAUUAUGUAUCGUGUGCCAUGUAUCAUGAUACUUAUGAGUCUUAUUAAAACUCUUUGACUUUUUUUACUUCAAAUUGAAAUUUUAAUCUUCAUAUUGGACUAUGUAUCAUGCAUCAUGUAUCAUAUAAUGUGUAUCAUGAACCGUGUAUCUUCUACCAUAUAUCACGUACUAUGGAUGAUGUAUCAUAUAACAUAUAUUUUUUGUUGUAGAUGGAAGAGCAUGGGAGGGAACCUGAUGAGGUAGAGUUCUACAGGAUGACUCAUACCCAUCGAGAUGGCAACUAUAUUUUUUCAAACAUUAAUAUGGAACUUUUUUUUAAAAUAUAGGAGAAGGCUACAUCCCUUAUUGCAGAACGUGUUGGAGACUCAUCAUCAUCUAGGGAGACCAGUCACGUCGAAUCUUAGGUGUUCACCAAAUUGAUGGAACCAGAGCGUUAUGGUCGAUUGAGGGGUUAUGACAUUGGAGUUACCCUCACUCAGUUGUCUGGAGUGAACAAAUAUACCCAUAAUGUUAGAUAUAGUAGUAGCACUGCAGACAUCCGUAAGUUGGAGACAAAGAUGGAGAAGAUGGGGCAAAGAAAUCAGAUAGAGAUAUAAUCUUUAAUGGCUCAGCUUGACCAAAUUACAAUUUUGUUGCAAAGGUUUGUCUCUCCUUAGAUAAAUAACUAUAUCUAUUUGAAUAUUUUACAUAAUUAUUGUGCAUAUUUUUAUAUGAGCUUAAUGAUUUAUAAUACUUUGCAAUUCUUGUAUUCUCAACUUCUAAAGUUUUUAUUUUUUUUCUUAUAGAUUUUUGAUACUUCUAGCAAUUGUAGAGAUGAUGAUGAUGAUGCCAUGAACCACUAAUAGCCCUUAGACUUUUUUUAAGAGUUUUAUGUAUAUAUUUUUAUGUUUUUGGAAGCACUUUGAGUUGUAAUGGAUAUUCAAUCAUGUUUGACAACGCAAAUAUAAUCAAAUUUGAUAAUAUAAAUAUUUGCUAUUUUUAUAUAUGAUAUAUGUGUUAUUAUAUGACUUCUGUUACGUAUGUAUUUAAUAUAUACUUUUGUAUACAGAUUUUUAUAAUUUUUAAAAUAAAUUUAAAAAAUACUUUAUAUUUAAGAUACUAAAAAGCGUCACCAUAUUUUAAAGUUAUGAUAAUGGAACUCAAAAUAUAACAUCUAAAUUCUAAAGCAACAUAGUACUUUUCCUGUCAUCGUUGCAUAACUUUUAUCAUGGAGAAGAUUUUAUGAUUUAGGUUAGCGGUUCUGUUCCCGAAAAAUUUCCGGGGGGAUGAUGACGAGAAUUAAAAUAUUGAUGUCUUCGUAUGAAAUCAAGUUGAUAAUUGGACAAGUAGUCCUGCGCUUUACUAGUCUAAAUUCAAGGGAACCAACCCACCACUUCAUGCAUGUAAUGUCCGGGCCCAGAACCUACUAGGCCCAAUAAGAAGUAGGCCCAGUUAGGGGUUUGGGCCCAAAUUUUUACUGUGGGCAGUAUUAUUAUAAUGGUUAUUAUAAUGGUUAAAAAAAAUAAAAACGAAGGGAUAAGACCGACAGGGAAGGGUUACCUCACCCCCUGCUGGCAGCCGAUGCCGGGCCGGAGACAAGGGGGGCGGCGGCCAGUCCCGGAGCAGGGAGGAAUGGAGAGGAUGGGACCUCUCAGAGGGGGGGGGGUCUCAUCCUCUAAACAAAUUAUUUAAGCCUCUGCCGGCAACCCCAAGGGACAGACCCCCUAGAAUACUGAACGAGAGAGUGAGAGAGCCGAAGCCUUGGAGCCGAAGGCAAAGGAGCCCUGAAGCUCCAAGAGGAAGGAGGGACUACCAGGGGGAGAACUGCCCAACGGUAACCAGCAAAAAUCCAGGUAAGUGGCCCCUUUUAAUAAAAUUUUAGGAAGUGGGGAAAUCCUCUGUGGGGUAUUCUCCCCUCUGUUUCAACUAUGGGACAAAGAGGAGGAGACCGGCAGAAGGGAGAAGGGUCACGGGCCGGACCCAUAGACCUCGGACCGGCCUGAGAACGGCCGCGGCCCAAGGCCAGGCCCGAUGACCACUCGGGCCGAGCCGCCUGCAGGGCACCGCNNNNNNNNNNNNNNNNNNNNNNNNNNNNNNNNNNNNNNNNNNNNNNNNNNNNNNNNNNNNNNNNNNNNNNNNNNNNNNNNNNNNNNNNNNNNNNNNNNNNNNNNNNNNNNNNNNNNNNNNNNNNNNNNNNNNNNNNNNNNNNNNNNNNNNNNNNNNNNNNNNNNNNNNNNNNNNNNNNNNNNNNNNNNNNNNNNNNNNNNNNNNNNNNNNNNNNNNNNNNNNNNNNNNNNNNNNNNNNNNNNNNNNNNNNNNNNNNNNNNNNNNNNNNNNNNNNNNNNNNNNNNNNNNNNNNNNNNNNNNNNNNNNNNNNNNNNNNNNNNNNNNNNNNNNNNNNNNNNNNNNNNNNNNNNNNNNNNNNNNNNNNNNNNNNNNNNNNNNNNNNNNNNNNNNNNNNNNNNNNNNNNNNNNNNNNNNNNNNNNNNNNNNNNNNNNNNNNNNNNNNNNNNNNNNNNNNNNNNNNNNNNNNNNNNNNNNNNNNNNNNNNNNNNNNNNNNNNNNNNNNNNNNNNNNNNNNNNNNNNNNNNNNNNNNNNNNNNNNNNNNNNNNNNNNNNNNNNNNNNNNNNNNNNNNNNNNNNNNNNNNNNNNNNNNNNNNNNNNNNNNNNNNNNNNNNNNNNNNNNNNNNNNNNNNNNNNNNNNNNNNNNNNNNNNNNNNNNNNNNNNNNNNNNNNNNNNNNNNNNNNNNNNNNNNNNNNNNNNNNNNNNNNNNNNNNNNNNNNNNNNNNNNNNNNNNNNNNNNNNNNNNNNNNNNNNNNNNNNNNNNNNNNNNNNNNNNNNNNNNNNNNNNNNNNNNNNNNNNNNNNNNNNNNNNNNNNNNNNNNNNNNNNNNNNNNNNNNNNNNNNNNNNNNNNNNNNNNNNNNNNNNNNNNNNNNNNNNNNNNNNNNNNNNNNNNNNNNNNNNNNNNNNNNNNNNNNNNNNNNNNNNNNNNNNNNNNNNNNNNNNNNNNNNNNNNNNNNNNNNNNNNNNNNNNNNNNNNNNNNNNNNNNNNNNNNNNNNNNNNNNNNNNNNNNNNNNNNNNNNNNNNNNNNNNNNNNNNNNNNNNNNNNNNNNNNNNNNNNNNNNNNNNNNNNNNNNNNNNNNNNNNNNNNNNNNNNNNNNNNNNNNNNNNNNNNNNNNNNNNNNNNNNNNNNNNNNNNNNNNNNNNNNNNNNNNNNNNNNNNNNNNNNNNNNNNNNNNNNNNNNNNNNNNNNNNNNNNNNNNNNNNNNNNNNNNNNNNNNNNNNNNNNNNNNNNNNNNNNNNNNNNNNNNNNNNNNNNNNNNNNNNNNNNNNNNNNNNNNNNNNNNNNNNNNNNNNNNNNNNNNNNNNNNNNNNNNNNNNNNNNNNNNNNNNNNNNNNNNNNNNNNNNNNNNNNNNNNNNNNNNNNNNNNNNNNNNNNNNNNNNNNNNNNNNNNNNNNNNNNNNNNNNNNNNNNNNNNNNNNNNNNNNNNNNNNNNNNNNNNNNNNNNNNNNNNNNNNNNNNNNNNNNNNNNNNNNNNNNNNNNNNNNNNNNNNNNNNNNNNNNNNNNNNNNNNNNNNNNNNNNNNNNNNNNNNNNNNNNNNNNNNNNNNNNNNNNNNNNNNNNNNNNNNNNNNNNNNNNNNNNNNNNNNNNNNNNNNNNNNNNNNNNNNNNNNNNNNNNNNNNNNNNNNNNNNNNNNNNNNNNNNNNNNNNNNNNNNNNNNNNNNNNNNNNNNNNNNNNNNNNNNNNNNNNNNNNNNNNNNNNNNNNNNNNNNNNNNNNNNNNNNNNNNNNNNNNNNNNNNNNNNNNNNNNNNNNNNNNNNNNNNNNNNNNNNNNNNNNNNNNNNNNNNNNNNNNNNNNNNNNNNNNNNNNNNNNNNNNNNNNNNNNNNNNNNNNNNNNNNNNNNNNNNNNNNNNNNNNNNNNNNNNNNNNNNNNNNNNNNNNNNNNNNNNNNNNNNNNNNNNNNNNNNNNNNNNNNNNNNNNNNNNNNNNNNNNNNNNNNNNNNNNNNNNNNNNNNNNNNNNNNNNNNNNNNNNNNNNNNNNNNNNNNNNNNNNNNNNNNNNNNNNNNNNNNNNNNNNNNNNNNNNNNNNNNNNNNNNNNNNNNNNNNNNNNNNNNNNNNNNNNNNNNNNNNNNNNNNNNNNNNNNNCAGGCUCGUUUCAGAGCCUGGGUAUAUGAGGCGGGUGCUUCCAAAUCCUGCAGAUGCGUUUUUGGGGAGAAGCAAAAUCGGUGAGGGGUGAAGGACGCUUGCAUGAAGCCCCGGAACCGGCCAACAUCUGGCAGGGGAGCCCCGUGUUUCCCCCUCAUGUGGGCCCGAUAGUCACGUGCCCUGCGCAGGCGGGCCGUGACAUCUAUGAACGUGCAUGGCCAAAGCAUACAUUGUUUUACAAUGGAUUUUUGAAUAUAUCCUUAUGAAAUGUUGUAUUUUGCUAUAACCGCUAUCUCCUUUAAAUUGCAUACCUAUUAUGCCAUGAUGAUGAUUAGAUAAAUAUGCAUGUCAGCUUCUCAAACCCUGCAUAAACAUGGUUACCGUUAUGUUCGAUCCGGUAAGAUUAUGUAUGAUUACUUACUGAGCCGUGUAGCUCAUAUCCGUUCAUUUACUUUUUCUUUCAGAUCCUUACUACUGAUAGCUGUCAGAGACACGUUAAUUUGGUAUCAGGGCUUCUUUCUUUUGGGGUAAAGCAAGUAUACUUUUGUGUACAUAAACUACAUAGAAGCUCUGUAUUUGGGUACUGACCAGCAUGUUGUACUAAGAAUGCUUUCAUAUGAAAAGAUUCGGUUGGUUUGACUACCCUGUUACCCAGGUAUGAGGCUGCGUGCUAUUGUGGGCGGUAGUCGACAAUAGCACGGCCGUGUCACGGAUCCGGGUCCGGGGCGUGACAAUGCAUGCCUACGAAGGGCUGUAUAUUGAAAGAGUGAUGCUCCAUAACCAACUUACGAUAAUAAAAUUCAAAACAUAACAUCUAAAUAGCAUACAAUUUCCCCAUCAUCAUCCCAUAUAACUUCUAAACUACUGAGAGUCUGAGAUGAUUGUAUGGUCCCGGUCUGAAUUUAAGUACGUUUCUUGUUAAAAAAAACGAUCAUAUCCUCUUUCGAGAACAUAAUCUCGCUGAAAGUUGCCAAAUCGUCUACUUUGUAAGGGGUGGCGUGAAGAUGAGAAUGCUUCAGUGCCACCUUUUGAAUAAUGGAAGCACCUACUGCGUGGAAAAAGAGGAGAGAACGGACAAGAAGUGCCUCACCCCGUGUCCCAAGUCACACUAGGAGAGGUUUUGGCGUUGUGAGACGUCUCUGGCUCCGUUGUCCUUUGCCUCACGGGGAUUGCUUCCGGCAGCAUCUUGAUGACCAAAGUGUUGAAAGGAGGGACAGACCAGCCGAACCCUCCGGGCCAUUCAGUGCGGAAAUUGUUGACACUCACACUACGCCAUGGGAAUGCAAAUCAGAUAAUGACAUGAAACCAGGCAACAGGAACGUUCUAAAGCUACGGUUCCGUCGCCUGGCCCACUUCCCUACCUUCGUUGUGAGGCUACUCGAUUACCUGCAGCUCCCAAGUCAAACGAUUCUGAGCCCUGUCACUUCUAAAUCUACCUUAGAAAUUUGAUUAGUCAAAAGAUAAAUAUCGAUCACUGGAAAGCCUCUUGCAAUGCAGAAAACUUAUUGACAUUCUACAUACAUCUUCUCCAUUAAGGGGUAAAUAUAUUAUGAUAUUGUUAACCGUUGUUGAAUCACCAACCAGAGAGGGAAGUGCAUUUAUCUAAUGAGGAUUGCGGCCGCUAGUUUUUCUUUUCUAUGGUCUUACGUACCCAUCCAUAUGUAUACUCAGGCACAUUCAUCACAUAUGUAUGACAACUAGUAUGACAUGAAUUCAGAAGAUGUGAUGCAUCAAGAUGUUGAUAGAGGUCCUGCAUCCAGGCUGGAUGAGACCCAAGGUUACACGUACAACUAAAUUAAAAAUAUUCAUAGAAUUUGCUACCUAUCUACCGCACUAACCCGGCACUAAACCCUUCUACAAUUUUUCAAAUAUCCUACUGUCCACGCCUGAAACAACAAAAGCCGUCCUUUUUGACAAUUUCAUGCAACCCGUGACGCGAAAGUCCUGUAAACGUGCCGCUCUCAAUACCAUGCUCCCCACCACCUACCAUUCCAACUCUCAUGCAGCCACAUAUCCAUGGCCCAAAAAGACGCCUAUAAAUACCCCACCGACUCCAUUUCACGGCACAAAACCCAAAAACUUCCAGACAAACAAAAGCCAUGGUCCCAAAAUACCUUCUUCUAGCCCUUCUCGUAGGAGUGGUGGCUCUCACCACUCCCACCGACGCUGGCCACAAGCCCCCGGAGACGAAGCCACCAACUCCGAUCCACAAACCUCCAACCGGACACAAACCCCCAACUCUUGCCGACGAGAAGAAGACGUCUGUGGACCAGCACAAGCCUCCUGCUCCUGGUGGCAAGCAUCCUGGUCCUCCUGGACACAGGCCGCCUUCCCUCUCCGAUGCCAAGGAAACUACAAACGGGUACGGCCACAUCCCGGAGCCUAAGCCCAAACCAUAUGGGAAGCCACCGGUGCAUGUGAAGCCGCCGGGACCUCACAAGCCACCGUCCACUGACCACCUGAAUUAGAGAGGGCUGCUGUGCUGCAGCUCGAUGCAUGGGGGUUGGAUAUACAAAUAAGAGGCUUCCUUAGACGUUAUAUAAAAUAUAAACGCGGCAUGUUUGAUAAUUUUAACGUAAUGCUUGUAUCUGUAUGCAUGACAUGAUUUCCUGCUACUAGCUAGAGAGGCCUCGAUCGCCAUGUGUACUGCUAUGUAUCUGGCUUUGCUAGUACAAUGAGAACCUUUGACAAGCCAUUAUCUUAAUGGAAAAUAUGUGAGUAAUGCUAAAUUAUGUUCUUGCAAAUGACUGGAGCUCUAUGCUACGUACCAUUUUUUUCAUUAUUAUAAAAAAAAAAAAAUCCGAUAAGUGGUGCGAGCAUCCAUGCGAGCAAGUUCUCAACUCUAUAUUGGUUGUAAUUAAUUAUAC
rnacentral:lncRNA from 1 species